UUUUUUUUUUUUUUUUGUUUAUUGUCACCAUUUACACUUACUCUUACUCUAACCUAUACAAGGGAAGUGACCCAACAGGACCAUGGGAAACCAAUAAGAAUUGAACCACCAUUGGACUAUACGAGUACGUGAGGCAAGUGGAGUCAAUUGACCUCACUUAAUUUUAGAAAAUUAGUUUUUAGCCUUAGGUAAUUUAGAAAAUUUUAAAUUUGCAUCUUAUUUGACUCCACUAAAUUUUACCAUAUUCUCUUUUCUCAUAUGCAUCGACCCCAAACAAUUGAAAUUUCAUAAUUCUUACCAUCACGACAAUUUUGAAUUUAUUUCAAGUUAUUUAAGGAAGUUAGUUCAAGAAUAAAUUCAUCCAAAGUUUCCAAAAACAAGGGGUGAACUGUCUUGAGUAGAGUGAGAAAACCAAUUCUUCAAAUUUCAAAGUUUCAAAAAAAAAAAGAAUUUUUCAAGUGGGCGGUAAAGUUUUUAUUUAUAAUACAAAAUUAAGUUACUAUGAUUUUUAUUUAUAACAUGGUAAAAAUAAAUUUCUUAAAAGAAACUCGUAGAAAAUCAAGUUGAUGGUAAUUCACAAAAUAUUUUUAAAAAAUCAAGAGUUUCAUUUAGUUACAUUGAAAAAGAUGUAUUUAAUAAAAUUGAUAAUGAAUUGAUUUUGCAACGUUUUAAAAAAAAUUGAGUACUCGUAUGGUAUAAAUUUAACUGGUAUGUAACAUUAGUAAUUUGUUUUAAAAAUAUAGGAUUAAUCAUAUUUUAUCCCCUUAAAGAAUACCUCAUUUCUCAGUUUACCCCCUAACCUUCAAUUUUGCUCGCUUAACCCCCUUUAGGACAAAAUUGCCCUUGUAUUAUUUUGACUUUUCAUUUACCUUGUUUUCCUUUCUUUUAUUUCUUUUUCUCUUUCUUUUUUAUUUAAUUCUUCCUCUUUUCCACAAAAAUCUUCACCUUAAUGAUUGAAAUUAAAAAAGAGAAAUUGCAGAGAUCUAUCUUCUCCUUAAAUGAUUAAAAAAAUAUUCAAAUCACUUUCCUAAAAUUCAAUUUUUUUUAGCCUUUCAAUUCUUUUAAUUUUGGAUUUUCCUCAUUCCUUUCUAAUUUCUCAUUUUAUUCUCAAGAAAAUAUCAUAAGAUGAAAUUGUUUUCCUUUCUUUUAUUUUUUUUCUCUUUCUUCUCUCUUUCAUCCUUCCCAAUAGAAAUUUCAUUUCAACGAAAAUUUUUGUUUUGAGUUUGUAUUUGCAUAUUUUUGGAUGAAAGUUUAAAAGGCAUCAAAAACUAAUUUUGAUUUUUUGUAUGAUGCCACGUGUCACAAAUAUCAAUUGAUGAUUAUUAAUCAGGUCACAAUUUCAUCAUAAGAUAUUUUCUUGGGAAUAAAAUGAUAAACUAAAAAGGAAAGAGGAAAAUCCAAAAUUAAAAGAAUUGAAAGGCUAAAAAAAAUUAUAUUUUAGGAAAGUGAUUUGAAUAUUUUUUUAAAUCAUUUAAGGAGAAGAUAGAUCUCUGCAAUUUCUCUUUUUUAAUUUCAAUCAUUAAGGUGAAGAUUUUUGUGGGAAAGAUGAAGAAUUAAAUAAAGAAAAAAGAGAAAAAGAAAUAAAAGAAAGGAAAACAAGGUAAAUGAAAAGUCAAAAUAAUACAAGGGCAAUUUUGUCCUAAAGGGGGUUAAGUGAGCAAAAUUAAAGGUUAGGGGGUAAAAUGAGAAAUGAGGUAUUCUUUAUGGGGAUAAAAUGUGAUUAACCCAAAAAAAUAUGUUUUAUUGUACUAAAAUUUGACCCCACUUAAUGUCUCCGCCCCUGAUGUAGGACACAAUUAUCCAUUAAUUAAUCUAACGAUCCUUCCUUUCAUGAGUUGUCCCUCACAUUGAACCCAAAUUUACAAGCAAAUUUUUAGAGAUAUGAAGCCACUGCAAAUGGUGCGGCUAGUUGUGUUGAAGCAUAAUCAGGCCCUGUUUACCAGAUGUCAGUCUUUUGAUCGUUGCAUGAAAAUGCCUUCUUGCAUGUCUUCAUGCAUCAAUUUCAAACUUAAGUAGCCCUAUGUUUUACUCUUUUGGUUGCCAAUUGUCUGUUCUUAACAAAAGUUCAUCUCUUCAAUUUCUUAUUCACACUAAUACAGUUGAAGAUGCCCAUUUGUUGUAAGGGCAAUAAUCCUAAUCCAGAACCCUCUAUCAGUUAGAAUUUCAAGUCGCGAGCCAUUUCACUUUAUUUAUUUGCAUCUUGCACAAGCAUUAAAGUCAGGCUGAGUCAGUCCAUACUUUAGAUACAUAAUUGAGGUGUUGUAAAGUUUUGUUUUUGCAAAAGAGCUUCACACUCAUAGUCACCAACUCAUUUUUAAACAACUAACACACUGAAAAAGACAAGGAAAGAGGCUAAAACUUCGAGAAAAGGAAGGAAAAUCGCAUGUUCAAUUACUCAGAUACAGAAAAGUAAAGGAUGAAGGAAAUGCAUAAAUCACUUUUACACAACCUAAUUUUACAUAAUAGACAGUGUGUCUGCAAACAUGACAUUCGGAUAUUGUUAACAGUUUUUCUGUAUAAUGUUUUUGUGUGUGUAUAAUACAAGAAUAGCACAUAUACAGGAACAUGCUUCUUGAAGAAGUUCGCUAGUCUGUUGCCUAUGAAGCAUAGGAGAGAGAGGUAAGAGUACUCCAGCUGUGAUGGAUAAGUUCUGCUUUCCAUUUUUCACCAGCAGCACCCAUUGCUACAUGUAAUGGGUAAAAAUGUUCAGGCCAAGGAUGAGCUUCUUUUGCAUAUGGUGCCUUCUCUUCAUACUGGUUAAUAUCCUCAUACCUACCAAAACAGCAGUACUUAUUACCUUCUCUAAUCAAACUAUUGACUAUUUGCAGCAUUUAGCUUGUGCAACCAUCCAACUACCCAACGCAACUGUUAUGCAUUUACAGAUGCUGCCUACUAGAUUAGAUGGUGGUUAUGCAAGUCAAUGUGCUUAUACUUUUCCCUAUGCAUUCUAGAAAUUCUUUUGCAAAAUUUUGCAAGUUUGUUUAAGGGUUAAACACAAGAAAGCCCCUUGUGGUAUACUUAAUACACAAAAAAAUCCCUCAUGGUUUCAAAAUAUACAAAAUGACAUCUCAUAUUUUGAACUAAAUUGUAAACUAACAAAAUUCGUUAAAGUUAACGAAAAUGACGGUUUUCAGCUGUUAAACUUACCGAAUUUUAUUAAAUUUACUGUUAAGUUUACCAGAUUCCGUUAAGUUUUUCAUUAAAUUUACUGGACUCCGUUUCAACAAAUUCUGUUAAUUUACAAUUUAGUUCAAAAUAUGAGGUGUCAUUUUGUAUAUUUUGAAACCACGAGGGAAUUUUAUAUGUAUUAGAUAUACCACAGGAGGCUUUUUUUGUUUUUAACCCUUUGUUUAAUAGAAUAAUUUACCUUCCUGCAAGGAUGGCUUCUUUGAGCCAAGUGUCAAACUGCAGAACACAAGGAUCAAUCGAAGUAGAUUCAGCGAGACUUGUAUUGUGAGUGGCAGCUCCUGAACCAAUUAUAAGGUAGCCCUCAUCCUUGAGAGGGGCCAAUGCUCUUCCCAUUCGAUAAUGGUAAGUCCCAUCCCGGCUUGGCUGGACAGAUAGCUGGCAAACUGGUAUAUCAGCAUCGGGAUACAUAAGCAUGAGGGGAACCCAUGCUCCAUGAUCCAAACCGCGCUUCUUAUCCUCCUCUACCUGAUCAAAACCUGAGGCAGUCAACAGUUCCUUUACCUUCUUUGCCAAUUCUGGAGCACUUGGCGCUGGAUACUGGAUCUGGAAUUUAACAGUAAGAACAUACAUACAGUUAAGCAUGUGAAUGAUCUAUGGACAUAUGUGAAUUUUGUACAUUUCAUUAUGUACAUCAUACUUCUAAUAUGGCCUCCUAUGUUGGUUGAAAGCGUUACCCUGGUUCUUUAAAGUGGAAUUUCAUCAGGAAAGAUUUUUCAUCCCCUUAUAUGCACUUGUUGCUUCUGAUGAUUACUGUCAGGCAACUUACCUUGUCAAAGCUUAAAAUAAAAAAGAUUGGCCAAAUUCAUUUUUCUUCCUCAAAUGGAGAUUCUCUGCAAUUGGCCACAGGUGUUAUGUUUAUCAGUCUGAAGCUUGGAUAAAACUAGUAGCCGUUAACAGAUUUUGUUUUUGAUCCAGUAUGCUCUUGUUAUUGCCCUAGUUGAUGAAUAAAUGUUCCCACCAUAGCAGUUAUUAAUCUGCUUGCGCUUUUUUCUCAAGAAUACCUACGUGAGCUGGAAGCAAAUUUCUAAAUAGGUGUUUCUCAGUAGAAAUCACUGUGGAUCCAAGAAUUAAUAGACCAUUGUUCCUUAUUUCCCAAAAUGUGUGGUGAGUAAGAUCAGAAUUUACAGGACUUAGAUUUUAAAUGACUGUAAAAAAACUCAUAACAAAACUUUGUUACAGUGACUUACUGAACUCAAUAACAUGAUCACACAAAAGAGAAUCCGGUGUCAGUAAAAGUGCAGCAGAACAAACUUUCCAAAAAAAUAUCAGAUUUCUCGAACUAAUCUUCACAUAUUGAGAGAGUAGAAACACAAAAAUAACAAUCAUGUUUCUCUUUUACUUCUAUUUCCACCAUUUUCCCAUCAUGUUCAAAAAUUUCUUUCGGAUCGAUUUAUCUACUUGUAAUUCCAAUGUACACCAACUUAUACAUGGACAUGCACAUACUAUAUGACUUUAAUAGCGUAUACACCACAUGAACAUUGUAUACUUAAUCAGUGCAUGUGUGAGCGUUAAUAUGCAGGAAACUAAGGCAGAGAUAACGAAAGAAAUUUAGCAAUAGGAUGAUGAUUACAUGAGGGUACCUGGUACAAUGCCCUGGGGAAGUUAGAGAUGAAGUCAUGGAUAGUAUCCUGACGGCCAGGGAUCAAAUUCACAGCUGGUUCUGAGGUCUCCCAAUGGGCAGAAAUUAUCAGAAUGCCUUUAGGUCUCUGACUGAACACCCUUUCUUUGAAAGCCAGCAAGAAAUGUCUUGCAGGAAAUGAAUCAUCCAAAGAUAUCAUUGGUGAUCCAUGUGAUAUGAAGAAUGUCUCCUUUAUAGCUCCCAUCUUAUUUUUUCUUCCUAUCUUGCUCUCCAGCUUCUUUGUUUUUCCUACCAAGAUUGAAGCCUGCCAAUCAGCCAAGUUCUUUGAUUCUGUUGUCAUAGGAGCCUCAUAUGCUUAAAAACAAAUUGCAGAACCUUUUUUCUUUGUCCUUCUUUUUCUUUAUUCCAAAAGUUUUUGAAGCAUGUUUUGGCUGUUGCUGGCGACUUCUUUCGUCCAUUCCUCAAUCAAUAUCAAAAUGCUGAGUUGAAAUGCUGGCGACUGCAUGUUUUGGCUGUUGCUGGCGACUUCUUUCCUGUCCAUACCUCAAUUAAUAAUAAAAUGCUGAGUUGAAGUUUGAAAUCAUUGAAAAACCGGCUAAAAUAGUUCCAGUAGAUCAGUGGAGACAAAGUGGGGGCAUCUGCUCCACUCAGCUCACCAUGCCCAAGUCCUUGUCCUGGUACCAAUGUACGUGCAAUAAUUGCGAAGAAGUUUAAAAAAAGUGCUAAUUACAAUUAUAUUUGCCCCAUUGACGAGCAAAAGCAAGUAUCAGUGAGCAAAAAAUAUAUUGCUCCCACCAAUAUUUCAAAGGAUUUUUCUAACGGUGCUUUCAAUAAAAUAUUUAAAUCAUACCUAAGUUACCAUGUAAAUGCACACAUUCACAUUUAUUGCACCCUUGAAUUGUGAUAUUUUUCCAAAUCAACCAUACUUUUUCAAAAAAAAACAAACAUUUGAGCCACCUCUUGUUGAGUGCCCAAGGGCAUUCAUCAGCCAAACCAUAUUUCUAAUGGUAAUUAUGAUUGAUUGAUAGAAAAACUAAUUUAGAAAAAUAUUGACAAUAAUCUAGCUAGGAAUCCAUUGUUUUAGCCCUUUAUUGUAAAUAAAAACAGCGCCAUAUGAACAAAAGUUCUAAGUUUCUGUGUUGGCAGUUACCACUUUCAAAUAAGCUUUUAUAAAGUCAGAGAAAUAUUCAUAGCAAAUGCAAUAUGUCAAAUUCCAAAGCGAUUCUUUCAAAGUUCAACAUGAAAGUUUUCCAUCCUUUAUUUUUUUUUUUACAGUUUAUUUAACAACUUUUCUUGUAUGUAAAUGCUUUUUAUUAUUUAGUUGAACCUAAACAUAAAGUUACCUGCAGGAAUUGAAGCACCAAAAAAGAUAUGGAAGAGCGACGUGAGAGAACAUAGAAUGUCCUGAAAGCAAAUAAUUUUGCCCCCACGAAAUAAUUAUGUUUGGAUUUUAGUUUUGCCAAUAAAAAAAUAUUCAUUUUCCAAGAACACAUUUUUUAAUUAUCUUUUUAUCUCACAUAUAUCAAGUCGUUAUAGUACCUUUUUUUCACAAAACUCCAAAAAAUAGUAAUACAAAUAGUUCAACUCUAACUUCACCCCUAUUUUGGAUUUCAUGUUGAAUGGUACUUUUGCAGGCUUCACUAGUAGGAUAAUAGAAAGUUAGAGUGCAUAAAAAUUUCGAGUUUAUCUUAUUAUAUAUACUGAUAAUAUAUAUACUAUUAUCAUUGGAUACAUGUCACAUAUGCAAAAAAAUGAUAGUCAAAUUUAAAUUCAGAUUAAGUGACAAGCAUACAAAGAUAAAAUUAUAUACACUAUCAGUGUAUGCAAGAUUAAUCCAAAAAUUAAUUAUAAAAUGACAUUUAUGGUCAACUAGGCAUGAAGGUUUGAAGGAAAUCAAUAAAAAUGCUACCUUCACCAGGAUCACUUUCUUAGUGUAAUAAACUAGGGGGGAGUGCCCGCGCAUUGCGCGGGUGUUUGGUCCUUGUGGGGAAGGAGGUUUUUUUUAUUGAACAAACAAUAGUACAUUGUGAGAAGAAAUAAAACUUAGUAUGAAAAGAUAAACGAUAUAAUCAAUCAAUUCACACAGCGUUACUAUAAACUAUAUCAAAUUGAAGGUCGUUGAUAAUGCAGAAAGGCAGAGCAACACAGAAAGCUAACUUUAUUCCAGAAUCUUCAUCGAGAGCUCUUACUUGCUAUUGCUGCAAACCUAUAAAAUUAUAACCAACUCAGACCAAUUGGGGUUAGGCAACGCGAUAAGAGUCGCUAAUUGUAGGUACUAAGAACACACCGACAAAAUUAAGGGAGGAACUAAAAAAUUGGGGGGGGGUGACAUCUAACCUCACGCUGAACCACCAGGAGUAGCUGGGACUGAAGAGCAUUCUGAGCUGAUUAGCAUGAAGCCGGGUAGAAUUAUUUCAAUCCUAAAAUGCGAACAGGGAGAAAUUGAUAAUCAACAGUUUAGGCAUUAACAUUAGGGGUGGCAAUUUCCGACACGACCUGAAAACAUGAUACAAAUCUAACACGAAAUUAAUGGAUUUGGGUUGAAAUUUCGCAGGUUCGGGUCAGAAUCGGGUCGAACCUGAUGGACCCAAAAAGAAAAUGAGUCGAAUUUGGGUCAAUCCGUGAGUGACCUGAUAUGACCCGAUAACUAGUUUUAUGAAUUAAAAAUAAUUUAAUAAACAUAAAAAUUAUUUUAUCUAACUAAACUAAGUUAUUCUUUUUUUUCCAAAGCAUUAAUCACUUAGUCCUAAAUGAAUUUAUUUAACUUUGUGAGGUUGAAAUUAUUAUAUUUGGACAAAUAAUGUAUUAUAUUAUUUUUUACUUUUAUACUGUUUUAAUUUAUUUUAUAUUUGGUUUGGGAUAAAACACUUUUACAGUGUUUUAAUUUAUUUUAGAUUUGAUUUGGGAUUAUUUAUUUAAAUUUUUAUCACUUGAUUAUGUAAUUAGUCUUGUACAAAAUAAAUUUUAUUAGAAAUUACAGUGAUAAAUUAAUAAAUAAAAAUUAAGUUUUGAGUCAUUUCGGAUUGACCCGCCAACCCGCCAAUUUGAAAUUUUCGAAUUCGUGUCAGGUAUUCUGACCCAUUUCGGGUUGGCGAGUCAGGUUUAGGUCAGCGGGUUUUCUGUUACACCCGAGUCUCAACCCGACCCGCCAACCCGAAACGGACCCAAUUGCCACCCCUAAUUAAUAUACCAACGGUUGAGCAAUUGAAUUGGAUGUAAUUAAUGGCGAAAUAAUAGGUAAUUUCAGAGUUGAUCUCAGAUGGACGAGAAAACGAUAAGGCAAAUCGUUGUAGACAAAGGCAAAAAGGGGAAACUUAACUCCUGAAACUGAAAGGGGAUAAACUGACCAACGUUUAUGACUCAUAAAUAUAGAUUAUAAAUGAUAGAUAAAUGAAUUCCUACUAUUGAUAGAGAAAUCGUUGGCUCAUUUCCUAAAUCCAAUUGCCAUUGAAACGCUUCAGACAAAGCAACAUCUCAAACGGUUAUUUGCGGUUGAAAAGGGGAAUUAUUGGUAGUUAAGGGAUAUUCCGGUAAUUACACCAACAUACAAGCAUAUAUGGGUUGUACAAAAUGCAAAAAUGGUUGCACACUAAUUAAAUAUUCCAUCAAUACCGAGAUGGCUCAUCAAUAACAACUUUAAAUGUAUUAAAAUGGGGUCAUUUCAGUAAACAUACCCAAAUACAUGCUUCCUUAACUUGUACCUAAAGAUUUUAAACUAAUACACAAUAUUUCACAUUCCCAGAAAGCCCCCACCUAUGCGGUUGAAAUUCAACCUAUUUUUUGACCAAAACUCAAUCUUAUAUAAUAUAAGGAUAUCGACCAGGUACAUUCAUCAGAUUAUAGUUUGAAAUUAAUGUCUUUGUCAGAUUACUUUGUAUGGUUAUUCUUUUCUAAUAAGUGAGGUAUGACCUAGUUUUUACGCCAUGCAAUAACUGGAUUAACUAAUCGUUAGUACUAUUUAGCAAGAUAAAAUUAGAGAAAAUUGCACAUGUAAUCCCACGCAUGCUUAUUUGUUUUCUUUUUGGUCCCUCAGAUAUGAAACAAAACAUUUUGGCACUGAAGAUUGGAACAAAACAGCAUAGACGACUAGAGGGGGCUAGAAGCGCCUCCCGCGGCCACCCCCAACACCACACACAAACACACAAAGUUUUAUGAAAUUUCAUCUUAAAAUUUUGAUAUCUUUGAAAAUGGCGUUUGUAAAUUACACUUUGGCCCCACAAAAUUUGAAAAUCGAUUAUGUAGUAUACUUAAGGUUGAAGUAGUUUAGAGUUUGCCCCUCAAAAUAAUUUUUUUGGUUUCGUCUACAAUAAAUAUUUCAAUCCUUUAUGACGGCAAAAGUCUUGGGCUCUUAAUUGCAACUUGCUCUUUAAUCAAAGUAAACUAGUUUAGUUUCUAUUUAAUUUCGUCCCUUCUUUUUUACGGAAUCUUUUUUCAGUUGGCGUAACAUAAGAUAGAAAAAAGGGAAAAUAUAUCUAAUUCCUUGGAGUUGAUUGCUUAGAACUUGUUGGAAUCUAAAAUAGUAUUUCUACUGUUAUUUCCCUGUGCGUGGUGUUAUUUGGGCAGCACACAAGUUUUGCUCGUUGUGUAAUCCUAUAGAUUGUUUAUUUGAGCAAAAUACACAGUUCACUGAUUGUGUAAUCCUAAAGAUAGUCCUCCCGUACUUUGUUUUUGCUUAUUUACAUUCUUGCUUCUAAGGUGUGGAAUUUAUGCUUACCUCGUUAGAUCCAUGCAUGUUUAUUGUUACCUAGUCCAAACAAAGAAAAGCACACUAAACCUCAUGGACAUCCAACCUUCGACAUCUCUGGCAUGAGUUUAUCCAUCGAAUAUGGUCAAAUUAAGACUAGAACAAAGAUUUAAGCCGAAAUUCAUAGACAAUGGUUUGUUUGGAUAGAGUAUUAUUUGAAAUAUUAUUUGGAAUAAUUACUAUAGCACUUUUUGUGAUAAGGUGUAUGUAAGAUAAAAAGUUGAUUGGGAAUAUAAAAAGGUGGGUUGGGAAAUGUGUUUAUGAUGCAAGCGAAAUAUUAUUUGGAAUAAUAUGUGUAUCCAAACAAACCUACGUGGAGCAGUUUUAGUGUUAUAGAGAAAAGCUAUAGUUAUACCAAAUGAAGCAGUUGGGUGGUAGGAAUUACAAGGGUAAUUUUUUUCCCAUAAUAAAAAAAUUUUGGUGAAACCGUUAAGUUGUACAACUGGUGUUAGUUUUUAGAGCGAAAUUUGCGUACUUUGUGAGUAUAGGUAUUGAUUUACAAUUCACCAAUAAAUAUACAGGGCAUUUCAUAAUUAAGCCUAAAAUGUAGUAUCACUUUUAAGAGUUAACAAAUAAAAAGGUGCAUUUUUCCUUUUCUGCGAAUUGCGACCGCCUGGUUUUGUAGCCGAAAUGCCACUAAACUGAGGGGACAGCGUUUGGGCCUUGUUAUUUUAAGCCCAAAUAAAUUAGGCCCAGUUUAGAAUAUAAGGCUUUUUUUAAAAAAAAAAGUAGAAUAUUAAUGCAAUCAAUAGGUAUGGACGGUUGUCAAUGAUAAUCUUUUUGAACGAUGUAAUAUUUUUUGAAUAACAUGUAACUCUACAUAAAAUAUUUAUAAAAUGUGGAUGCAAUUAUUAUGUAUAGAACUCACAUGAAUAGUAACAGAAUAUUAAACCUCUGUUGUAAGAAUGUACAAUUGGUUCACUUAGAGUUACAAAACGUUCAAAAAAUAUUACAUUGUUUAGAGCUAUUUGAUCUAACAGUUGUUACUAUCCCACAUCCUGUUACUAUCCCAUCGUCUAGAUUGCUGUCCUUGCUCUCUAUUUGCAUGAGAAGAUUCAGGUGCACCCUGAUUUCCAUUGGAAUUUCCUCUCCUUUGCUGAAAGUGUAAAUCUAGAAAAAUCAAUAUGUAGAUAAAUGUGCAAAAAAUGUUAGCGAAAAUUGAAAUUUAAUACUCGUUUGAAUGUUGCUUUUCUAGAUUUUGGCUCUACUAUUGCUGAUAAGUCCCUCCAUCUUUUAAACAAGUUGCAACAUUGUGGCCAGCCUAUCCACAUUUUCUAUAGUGCAUCCCACCUAUCUUGCACAACUUGGUCCCAUUUCCCGUUUCCUCUAUUAUAUCCCUUCUUCUCGCUUUUUUGGCCUUCCAGGUUGAACAGAAGCAAUUGGGGGAUCCAUUUUCCAAAUGCUUCGAAUCAAGCCAGAAUGAUACCCACUUAUUGGCUCCAAGACAUUCUCAUAAAUUUUAGCAAACAACUCUCCUGAGUAGCAUGGGGCUGUGAACUGCAUUGGAUUUCUACCAGAGACUAGCAUUCCAUAAAUGGUAUGAAUACAAGGAAUACAACUUAUCUCUCAAAGUUGGCAUGUGCAUGUGUUUCUUUUGAAAUUUAUUGCAUAUUAUGCUGCCCUAGGACCUUUGACUUGGUAGCCAUACAAACCAUUCCAGAUUGGCUCUCAAAGGUUGGCCUACUUAAUUCUAUCAUCAAUCAAUUUCUUGAUUAGAGGUCCUACUGGUUCAUUCCAUUUUGACACUCCUUCUCUUCUUUGUUGGAUCCUCUCCAUCGGCUUCUCUCUUAUUUGUUCAAGUAUUGAUAUUAUUGGUUUGGCUCUGGCUUCAAGAAUGAAGGCAUUGAAUGAUUCACAUAAAUUGUUUAUGAGUAUAUCAUAUUUCGUGUGCACUAGAAAAAAUGCCUUAUACCAGUGCCCGGUGUCAGGUGCUUUUUCCAGCUAUUUAAAGGCCUUACUGUCAGAAUCUUUCAUGUCUUCCAUGGCCUUGUUGAACUCUUCCAUAGUUGUGCUAUUAGCUAUACUCCACAUCUUGGUCUUCAAAGCUUUGCUCGGAUGUUUCUUUUUGAAACUUCUAUACAUAUGUUGUACACAAUAUCUAUGCUCACUUCCAGGAACUAUCUCAGACAUAGUUCUGUCUAGCCCUUUUACAAAGGUAAAAAAAAAAAAAGGAGUAAACACCAAACAUAUAAAAUUGAAAAAAUAUCAUAAUACGAUAACAAUUGUUAACACUCAAGCCAAAUCUAGGUUCUUGCCUUUUGCUAAUCGGAAAUGAAGGUGUAAUGAUGUUGAUUCUCAAUGUUCAAGUCAUCAGCAAGGAGUUGAAGGAACCACUUCCAUUGCUCUCCAGCUUCUUUUACUAUCCAUUGUUAGGGUCAACACUCAUGACUGUUAGUAAUUGACCACGAUGAGUUCCUUUAAUGUGACAACCAUCAAGACCUAUUAGUGGCCUACAACCACUGAAAAACCCCUUUUUACUAAAUAGCAAUAAAACCGCAUGAAUGUUUGAUUACCCGGUUUUUUGAAUGGUGUGAAUACAAUUUCGAUUGUUGUACCUGGAUGAGUCUUCUUAAGCUCCUUAGAGUACCUACCCAGGAGUUUGUACUAAGAUUCAGCUGAACACUUCACAGUGUCAACAGCUAGUGCUCUUACUUUGUAUGCCACUGCUCUAGUGAUUUUUGACCUGUAUUAUUUAUCAACAGUUUGUAUUAGCUCUUUCACAGGCAGUUGUCGGUUAGAUCUAUACCUCUCUUCAUACUUAGUUGCCAACCACUUUGAGGUAAUAGCUCUAUUCUUCCAAACAUGGCCAUAAUUUUCAUGCUUAUCAUAGAUUGACUUCACCACCAAGUCGUUUUGUGCCUAAACAAUUUACUAUUGAGGCGAAAACAAACCACCUACAUGAGGGGUUACAUUUUGCUCUAACUCUUUUUCUCUCAUUUUUGCAGGGCUUCACAGGAUUACCAUUAACAAUGGCAUAGUUUUUAAGAACUUCUUUGAACUCCUUGCUAUUAAAAAACCUUUGCCCUUUGAAGAACUUUGGAUUCUUCUUGUCUCUCUCAAGGAUAAAGUCAAUGAAUUUAGGGAUAUGUCCUUCCUUUCUAUAGAUGAUUCUUCACCACUAUCUAGUUGAUCAUCUAGUUUGUCCCCAGCAAAUGCAACUCCAAUUUCUGUAGUUUCUAAACCAAAAUUUGUAGGUUGUCUUGCUCUAUUUCUUCUACCUUUCUUCUGUGAUUGUUGGGUAGGAAUGUCUGAAGUUCCAAUUGCACUUUCCACUGUAGUAUCUUGCUGCUGUCUUCCCAUAGAUUGCUGGCCAUUUUCGGCUUCAUCUAUACUGCCUACAUCCUCAAAUAUUUGGUCAUCUCUGCAAAAAUUAUGGUCGGCACUGAACUGCUCAUCAUUUGAGAUGCUGCUCAUUUCAUCAGCAUCAUCAUUGUCUAUAACCCUACUAGUACCUACCCCUCCCAUUGUUUCAGUUGUUGUCUUUUGUUUCUCACCUUCAAUUUUAACCUGUUUUUGUUUAAGCAUGUCAUUCUGCCCCAGUUUUUCUGUUAAAUUUUCACUUACACUUGCACCACUUUUUUUUUUUCUGGUUUUGAGUUUCAACAUUCGAAAGCUUUUUUUGUUAAUGCCGUACUAGUACAAGGUUCUUCUAUAUCUCUGCCCUCAUCAUCUAUUUCUUCUAUCAGAACACCAGAUUUGUGUGGUGUCGCAUAUGUCCCUAUAGGCUCAUUCAAUUGCAUUUCCAAUACCUCUUCAAUGGUCUUAUGGUCACAAUAAUCUUCCAUCACCUAAUAUUCUUGUACCCAAUUACAGAACUAGUUCACAUGAUGACUAGUUUGCAAUUGUCUCAGUCCAUCAGGUAGAACACUUGUAGGCUCAAGGUAAUAGUACAACACAGGGUCCUCUUCCUCAUACCCCAGGUUUUUUUAACAUUUCAUUAAUCUCAAGUACUGAUAUCCUAUCAGCAUCACAUAAAUCUACAUGAUCAAUUUUACCACCAGUAUAAAAUGUGAAAUCCAAACCAUUAAACUUGCCCUUACGGUGCAAUCUAAUAGUAAAACGUUCACUCCCAUGUUUUGCACAAUCAUGUAUCAAAUUAAAGAAAAAUUCACUAUAUUCAUUAAUUAGACAAAAUAAGCAGCAAAAUUGCUAAAUAAACAACUACCCAUGCAACAUCAACUAUUUUUUGUCAACUCUAUACCAGAAAUUUCAUUAAUUUACUAUUUUUAGUACGCUAAAAAUGGACCACAAAUGUAGUAGGACCCUAUGCAACCUACCAACAAGACAAAACUCUCAGAGAGUGUUUCCACCCAAUUAAUUUAUUAAGCUCCACUUUAUCUAAACCCCUAUCAACCAGCAUCCAUUUCUUUAACAGCCCCUAAAUCUUUUAGUAAUAACACAACAAUUACACACAUAAACCUCAACGAUAUAAGCUUACAAAUUGAGAGGCACAUUACAAUAUACAAGAUAUGGAUCAAAAUAUGCAUCCCUUCUCCUGAUUACCCAAUCCAUUUCUUUAUUGAUUCGUAGCUUUCACCAGAGAUUUUUUCCCACGCAACCUUCAAUAGUUGUAAUUGAAUGAUUAUCCAGCCAUACUUAUACUCUAGAUGACAUUUCACGAAGAAAUGGAUUUUUCCUAUGGGUAAAACUUGAAUUCGGAGGAUUUGCGAAGAAACUCUAAUGGUUUGUUUUAGAAAAUUGAAGAGAUGGUCUUUUUACCUGUUCUUGGGGUUUUAGUUGCUGGUCCCGAUGCUUCAAACAUGAAUGGACAAAAAUGCCCUUUAAAUUUGGCCAAAUUUAUGCAUAAAGUCAUCGGAAAUCCUUAAAGUAUGCAUUUUUAAUUGUUCAAGGGUCAAUCGGAAACAAAAAUUAGAUGAGGGGCCAAAAGUUGACAACAGUAAUAGUUUAACGACUCCCCAAGUUUUUUUACCCAAAAUAUAAAUUAAUAGGUUCAUCUAAAGUGGUUGGUACCACCUAUUAGCUAGCCUCCUCUAUUGUACAUUGAGUCUAGUAUGUUGUACAUUGAGUCUAUUGUACUUUAUUUCAUAAAUAUGCUGUGGGCAUAGAUUAUGCUCCAACUUAAGUACUAGCUAGCAAAAUUAACUAAGUUAAAUAACUUAUCAAGUUUAGAUUGAAAAAUUAGAGAAAGUGGAAGUUAAAAAGUGCAAUCGGUAUAACCUUUUUAAAGUGGUUAAUUAUAUGAAGGAGAUACAGUAUAUAUGAGGAUAAACGAAUAUUUCUUGUUUUCCCGGUUGGUCAAUCUUGAGGGAAAUUGAUACCUAUAUGCCCUAAGUUAGUAGUUUGAGGGUUUUUCAAGCUUGAUGGAAAUUAAGCAAAAUAAUAAAAAAUUAACCUUACAUCAAAUUACUUUUAGUAGAUAUUAAUUUAAACAAAUUAAGUUAGAGCUUGCGCACGAAGGCAAUAUAAGUAUCAAAUUAUAUACUCAAAGUAAUGAGGUUAGCAACUACAUUCACUUACUAAGUGUUCAAUCAAUAGGCUCAGCUACAUGUACAACAUUGUUAAAUUCAUUUAAUAAAUUCUCUUGAAAUAAAAAAUGUUUAAUUAAUUGAAUGUGUAACAUUCAAUUAAUAGCUUCAGCUGAAGUGGUUGGCACCGCCCUUCUGUCAUUUUCAUCCUACAUUGCGUCUAGUAUACUACAUUUCAUAGAUAUUCUGUAGGCUUACAUAAUCCUCCGACUAUUGCUGUAAAACUUUUUCAAAAAAAAAAAAAAAAAGGGUAUUGCUGUAAAAUGCCAAUCAUAAAUUAUAUAAGUUAAUUGACUUAUCAUGUUUAGAUUGAAAAUUAGAGAAAGUGGAAUUUAAAAUGUGCAAUCGGUAAAUGCCUUCUAAAGUGAUUGUUUACAUGAAGGAGAUACAAUAUGAGAAUAAAUGAAUCUUGAAGGAUCUCGUUGCCCCAUUUAGCCAAUUUAGAUAGAAGUUAACACACACACACACACACACACACAUAUAUAUAUAUAUAUAUAUAUAUAUUAAUUGUAAGUUAAUGGGUUGAUAUGCUCUAAGUUGCAAAUUUGAGGGUUUUUCAAACUUGAUGAAAAUUAAGCAAAAUCUUACUACAAGUAAAAAUAGUCCCAAAUAACCAAAAUUAACCCCGCAUCAAAUUGCUUUCAGUAGAUAUGAAAUUAAACAAAUUAAAUCAGAGUUCGCCCAUGAAAGUAAUAUAAGUAUCAAAGUACAUACUCAAAGUAAUGAAGCUAUCUAGUAACUAGGCUCACCGAUUAAAUAUUCAAUCAAUAGGUUCAGCUAAAUGUUCAAUAUGUUAAGUUCACUUAAUAAAUUCUCUUGAUAUGAUAAAAGUUUAACGUUGUUAAAUAUUCAAUUACUAGUUCCAGCUAGAGUGGUUGGUACCACCUUUUUGGUAUUUUUAUGGUACAUCGCGUCUAGUCUACAACAUUUCAUUCAUAUUCUAUAAGCAUACACAAUCCUCCAACUUAAGUAUUACUCUAAAAUGUCAAUUAUAAAUUAAUUAAAUUAAAUGACUUGUCAAGUUUAGGUUGAAAAAAUUAGAGAUAGUGGAAAUUCAAAUGGUAUAUUCUUUUUAAAGUGAUUAACUAUAGGAAGGAGAUAUAAAUUGAGAAUGGGUUUGGCUAACGAGUUCCCUGGUGGCACUCGCAAGAAGGAGUCUCAGGUGUUAAUUUUUUUUUAAUAAAAGCAUUACUAUUUUGGGAAAAUGUCUAAAUUUAAGGGGUGCAAUAAAUGUGACUUUGUGUAUUCAUAUAGUAAAUUAGUUGUGAUAUAUGUGUAAUAAUGAGUGCAUUAGAAAAGUCCAAUGAGAAUAAACUUUUGAUUAGGGAUAUUAAUCAGGUUUUUGAGCCAAACUUUAGUGAGCCAAGCUUGACUCACAAAUUAUAUGGGCUUUUGGGAUUCGAGCUUAUAUUAAAAGGAUCAAAUUCAACUCACACUAUUGUAUGAGUUUUGGGAUCAAAUCGAUCUUGGCCCAAACUCAUAAUUAAUACAUAAUUAUAUAUAAUAUAUAUUUUAUAAUUAUGAACUAAUACAAAUUUACAUAUACAUUAUUAACAUUUUAUGUCAUAAUAUGCAUAUUUUACUAUAAAUAAGGUGGGAGGGAGGGGUUUGGUGUAAAUAAAUUGUGUUAUUUAAUGUAUUGCCUAAUCUAACCUUACUUCUAAAGAGAAUUACGUUAUUUUAACUACACAUCUUCUUACAAUCACUCCAUAUUUGUUGAAUUAACCAUUACUUCCCUAAUUAAAACUACCAUUUUUUAAAUUGCAACAAUUUAAGUAUUUUAACUUACUAUUUUUCAGCAAGAAAAAAAAAUAAUACUAAUCAAUUUUAAUAUCCUUUAUUAGUACAGACAUUGAGUGUACCUUAACUACUAGUAAUUAUAAAUUAUAGAUAUUAUUAAAUAUAUUUUACUUAUCUAAUUAUACUCAUAUACGAGCCGGUUUUAAUCAGGAUUGAGCGUAGUAUGAUCCAACCGUAGCUCACAUUUAGUUUGGGCCUGAUAUUUAGACUCACACUUUAUUCAGCCUAAUUAAAGUUUAGGGUCAAUGAAGUUUUCUUGGGCCAAAUAGGCUGAGCUUGGGUUGGUCUGACCCCAGUCCUACUUUUGAUUUAAUUUUAUGAAGCAAAAUGAAUGAAAAUUUGAGAAAGGAAGGAUGGAAGGUUUAGAAGGUUUGCAGGGUCCUAAGUAAAAUCCCCUUCUAGAAUACAUAUCUUACUAAGCAUAAUGGGAGAGUUAUGUGUUUAGUAUAAACUUUUUUUCGUCACUUUUUUACAUUUCUAACUUUAUCCUCACAAAGACUUAAUUUUACCUUUUCAAUCUAAUUACAUAACUACCCAUGAAGCCAUAUUGCCAACCAACGUAACCGCAACUAAUUUACACCUUCAUGAUCUAAACAAAUGCAGGCUACACAAUUACUGUGUUACCUUUUAAAUCCUAUCCAAAAAACUUAUUCAAAGAUUAAAAACUAUCAAUGUAUACAAGAUUUAAUCAUAGUUAAAUAUAUACAAUAGUUCUUAAGGAACUAAAUAAAAGGUGGGCUAGUAAUUCAAGAGGUCUCACAUAAUAGAAGACUUCAAAAGUAAAAAUGAAGUACUCAAGGGGGUAAAAAUGAUAUUAAUUAGAAUUUAAGUAAUUCAGGAGUGGUAGUGCGUACCAUCAGUAUAGGAAAAAUUAAUCCUAUAUAAAUUGAUAGCUAUAUUUUUAUUAGACAAGCAUUUUCCACUAUAUUGAGGAACAAAGUUUAGACCAGACUGCCGAUCAUGAGGUUAAAAAUCCUGUAACACCUUCCACAAUUGCUUUUUAAUUUCAACUUAAAUAAAUCUGGACCUAACAAUAUAAUAAUGGAAAAACCAAUUAAAGUACCAAAUAUCGCAACAACAAAAACCAGACAAAGGGCUAAGUGGACUAAAACUAAAAGGAAGCAAAAGGUUGAGAGCUAAAUUUUCAGACAAUAGAAUAAAGAAACAGUUUGGUUCAUUUGUUACAAGCUCCUGUAUAGGUCCUGCCCUGAACCAAGAACUUUACUGUUGCAGGGAAAAAAAAGGAAAAAGAACUUUACUGUCAAAUUGAUACGAACGGCACCAAUCCUGUGAUGCAACCCGUACAGAAAGGUUUGGACCUAGAAGGUAGAUACUCACGUUGAAGACGACGAACGCAGCGGAUAACCUAAACCCGUUGAUCACGUGGCCAACGAACCUCGGUAUUUGGUAGAGGACGCCACAAUCUAGCGCGGUCCUAGAUUGAUAAGUCGAUUGAAUACCUAAGAACGAUUCUAAGAUAUUCAAUGGUGCUUCAAUGAAGCUUUGAGAGAAUUCUCAAAAGUGUAUUUUAUUAAUCAUCAAAAAUUGCAUGUAAACAACGACUUAGGGCUAUUUGUAGCCGUAACCAAAACCUAACAAAGCGUGUAAAAGUUGAAGGAAAGGCGGUCAGCCCUUGGGCCUCCCUUUGGGCCGCCACUAGCCCAAUAGCUCCGGGGGUGUUGCCCCCUAGCCCCCACCAGGGGCGCGUCGCCCCCUGGACCCCCGACUCGCUGACUGGGCAGCGAGACCCCCGUAACAGCUCAGCGUAGGGACUAAAAAGGUGGCCCACAUGGCCUAGCCUAUGACCUAAGACUAACAACGACUAAGGUCCAACCCAUAGGCGUGUUGGACCCCUUUAUUGAACUCUACUAACUGAUGAUGGGCCAUGGGCCCUUGGCCGAAUCUUGGGUAGCUAAUCCUCUUGAAUUACCGCGAGUAAGAUGACAUAUUUAGCUUCGUUGAGGCCCUCAAUAGCCUUUGGCUCUCCACUGGAUGCUCGGGCCGCACGAACCAAUAUUUGUAGUGCUUCAUUCAAUCUCUUCGCGCGGGCUCGUGUCAUAGGCCCUAAUGGCACCUUCACUUGCUCCACUUGGAUAGCUCUCUCGACCUCCUCACCACAAAUGCUAACCUAAAAGUUUCUAAGUUCCAAAAUCCAAAAUUCCACAUAUUAAUUCAAUCAAAUAUUAGUCUCAUGCAAAUUUAAAAAAAAAAAGCCAAAUAGCAUAAAUAAUCCCUCACAAAUUACAUUUGUACUCGUUUUCGUCUCUCACUAUCGAAACGAAGCAAAUUUGUCCUUUACACGUACAAAAUGCCCUAUUUGGUCCCUGAAUCCAUGUCAAGCGACUUCAUAAUCAAAACUUAUCAAGCAACUCUAAACAACAUCGGAUACAGACCGUAAUUGGAGUUGUGAAAAACAGUAAAGGUUGACUUGAACGUGAUCUUGAUCUCUGAGCAUCUGAAUUUAUCUCGAUAUAUCUUACAUAUAUAAAGCACGAAUCGCUUGUGAACAGUGCAAAAUGGACCCGUUAUGCCGUUAUUUUUGUGAGCUUGAGGGGCUUUUUGGUCUUUUGCUGAUGGGUGGCAGUGGCUCUGCUGGCAUUUUGCUUCUGUCCGCUGGCUCUCUUGGAGUGGUGAGUGGACCGGUUAUCCAGUAAUUUUCACCAACUUUGAGGGCAUUUGGUAUUGUUGGUGGGGCAAGAAAACGUUUACUUUCCUUCUUCAGGUGUGGUUUCCUUUUGCGAGCAAAAUUCGUAAAUAUCAGGCUGGCUUCUGGUUAACUGUCCAAUUGGACGAAACAUAUUACAUUCAAAUUAGCACCAUCAAAUAAAAAUUAACUCCUCUUACUAACAAAAAAAAUUAAAUUAACUCCGCUUGCGAAGUCUAUUGCAUGGAAAUUAAGACCGCUUCACAAAUUAAGAUCAGUGGUGAGUGGGCGAUGUAACCUUGCACUUUGCUGCAAGCUGCUGCCCGGUUGUUUCUUCAGUUAAAAUGGUUAGAGGGUCUUCCUGUUUUGAAAAAAUAUAUACAUAAGGGUCCCAUGUAAACAUUUUUUUUUUUUUUUUGCAAAAGGAUAAACUUUCUUCAUAAAAAAGUAUAAUUUAACAAAUGGAUUAUAGUUUUUGAACUUUUACAGUAGACCCAACUUUUUUCUUUUCGGGCAUGAAAAAAUGAUUCAAUAAAUACAUAUUUUCUAACCUUAAACACAAGUUUAUUACCCCAUUUGGUAGAAUAGUUCCACCAUUUAUUUCUUAGCAUUUUAUUCUAACUUAUCCUUAAACGCAAGUUGAUUUGGAAUUCACCAUUUAAAGUUUUCAACUAUCUCUUGAUUUUGAAUACCACUUUUAUUUAAAAAGAAAAAUAAAAGAGAAACUCACCUAUUUUAGCACAUGAUUUAAGAACACAAAAUAACCUAUAAUUUUGCAGCUUAUGAUACAGAUUACCAAAAAAAAAAAAUCAUCAACCAAGUAAGAGAAAGAAACAUCAAAUAAGUAAGAAUUAUAAAUCCAAAGAACCUAGAAAGUAGAAAAGAAAAAUUUUAAGCUCAAAAAAUUAUUAGAUAUUGUAUAUAUCUAAGCCAUUAUCUUAGUGAAAAUUCAAAGAGGUUCUUCCAUGCUCCUCGUACUCACCACAUAAAGUGUUGCCUCCCAUACAAAUUAUCAAAACCAAAAUCAUCAAAAUCUCCAAAAAAAAAAAGAAGAGAGAGAGAUAGACAGCCUAAAAAAGGGAAGAACGAAAGAAAAAUAAGAAAAUAUGCAUAUUCACCCUUGCAAGUUAAAAUUGUUCAAUAUUGAGAGUCCAGACUCAUUUUCAAUAAAUGAUGUCCUGUCCAAAAAAACCAUUGUUGCUCCCGCCAUUCUUGAACACUUUUAAUCUAUCAAUCAAACAAUCAUCUGAAUUGCAACAAAAAGAAUAGGAUCCAAUAUGAAAUCCUGAUUAGGAGACAUGUAUAGCCAUAUGCCUUUUAGUUCUACUUAAUUUUAGGCAUUACUUACUGAUUAAUGCUACAUUAAGAAUGUUAAACAAUCAUGCCUUUUAGUUUUGCUUAAUUUUAGGCAUUACUUACUGAUUAAUGCUAUAUUAAGAAUGUAAGAUAACCUGAUUUUAAAGUCAUGUUUAUUUGUGCAAUUAGGAAAAAACACACACUCACACACAUGUAACAUGACUACUAUAUCUAACAAAAAAAAAAAACACAAAUAUAACAGCAAAAUAAUGAGUCUUAGCUACCUGACGCAUGGCGUCAGGGCUUAAAAACUAGUUAUUCUUAAUGUCUAUAUGUUGAUAACUACUAAAGAAGUCUCAACAUAAUAUAUAUAGCAGUCAAAAUAACUAAGAAUGCACACCUGAAGCUGAGAUGUCUCAAGGUCUUUUCCAAGUUGUAAUUUUAUCAUUGGAAAAUUUGAUUUCGAAACUCCUCAGCAUACCAAACCAUGUAGAAAAUCAAUUACAUUCUCUUGAAUCGUGGGCUAGGUGCAGGGUAAGGGUGCAUGGGUGCUGAUAUCAUUUUUAGGCAGGGCAUUAAAAAAAAUUAAUGGCUGAACGAUAUGGAUUUGUAUUAAGUUAACAAAUCAAAAAUCAAAGCUCAGAAAUGGGGCCUCACAAGUUCGAUUUUCGCAUAAGUUGGUGCAAAUUAACAAUUUACUCUCAAUUUACAUCAAAUUGUUUUCAACUUACACUAAAUGAUAAUAAUCAACUUAUACCAAAAUGUACCUAAUUUACACCAAAUAAUAACAAAUUAACAUACAUUGAAUUGCACCUGAUUUACAUCAAACUGAACUUGAUUCACACCGAAAUCCUACUAAUUUACACCAAAGGUCAACUUGUGCAAUAUUGUACGAAACACAAAUUAUGAGGUCCCGAAUCCAUCAAAGCUCUUAGCGAACAUUUAUGCAAAGAAACUCUACAAUUGGUCACAAUGCUAAGCUGCAGGAUGGUAUCAAUUAAAGAAAUGCCUUAUUUAAUCAGGAGUACAGUAGUUAUAUGUAACAAGAUCCUGUAUAAAACUUCUUAGCAUUUUCAUUUAACGUUUCACUUGCGUGUUAGUAAUACUGAUACAUGCAAUUAUACAUGCAACAGGUACAAUGAUAACCCGCAUUACAAGGAUACUCCAAGCUUAAGGGAGGAGGUCAAGCUCAUCUACUGUAGGACCCAAAAAUACUUCUUUUCCAAACCCAUAUACUUCUUCUUAAGGUCGGCGACCAAGCUUAAGGAAGAAAAAAAAUUGUCCAUUAAGAAAGUGGAUGCCGCUAAUGUCCAUAUACUUCUUUGCCAAGUCCUAUGUGGUAUCUAAACUUUUAAGUGUAUCUACUGAAUUCGUCAACUUGCUAAUUUAUCUUGAAAUGAUACACAACCCCAUUUUCACUAGGUUUCUUUUUUUUUUUCUUCUUAAUUUUUGAUUCCCCCAGCCCCAAAGUUCCGUGUGAUCUCACCUCAUCAUGUUUAAGUGUUAUGGAAAUUUGACUAAUAAUGUUAAUUUGUAUUAUGCGAUAACAAAUAUAUUUAGGUUUGGUAGUGAUUAUAGUAAAAGAAUAUCAGCCAAGAAUUAGAAUUUGAAAUAGUAUAAAGGAAUAUCCAUAAAAUGAAAAAAAAAAUAAUGAUAACAUUUGUACGUCUUCUUUUUUGUUUUAAAGUUUAGUUAAUUUCUCAAAUCUGAGUUAUAGAGUGGAUCCUGAUUCUAAUAUGAAAAUUUUCUAGUAUUUAAACCUGUGGAGCACAUUGAAAUACAAUGUAACCCUAGAAAUGCCAAAAUAAAAACUACUAGUGCUAAGUCUUGAGGCCAUUCGAUAUCAUAAAAGUUUAGCGUUGUUAAACAUUCAAUCAAUAGGUUCAGCUAAUUAAUGUGGUUGAUACCACCUUUUAGCCUCUGCUAUGAUACAUUGCAUCUAGUAUGCUAUAUUUCAUGGAUAUUCUCCAGUAGUGGAAAAUCCUCCAAAUGAAGUAUUACUCUGAAAAGUCAAUGAUAAGUUAAUUAACUUAAAGGGAGAAUUGUAAUUUUGGUCCCCAAUCUAUUCAAUUUUGUGCUAAAGUGGAUAAUUGACGGAAUCUCUUCAAUUUCAAUCGGAACUAAGUCACGUGAAAUCACGUGCCGGCACUUAAAACCCCUUUUUCAAUUUUUUAAUUUCUAAAACAUGUUUUUUCUAGUGGCUUGGCUUUUGGCAUGGACUCCUGUCUCUUCAGCCAGAUCAAUCUUCUUCUCGCCAAUUCUUUUCCAAUCAAAACUCUGAAUUAGAGAUCCCAAAACCAAACCUAUCACCCGUUAUGCUAGGCCAGAACCAGGGCAAGAUCUCCUUCCCAUCCCAAAUGGAAUCAGCUUUGAUGGUUGAACCAGCAAGCCUUUGAAUCUCUCUGGCUUGAGGCUUGUUGGAUCAUCCCAAACAUUUGGGUCCCUGUGAACUGCCCAUGCAUUAACUAGCAAAAUUGUGCCUUGCAGAAUAUUGUAUCCCCCAAUUUUACAGUCAUCGGACGACUCAUGUGGCACUAGCAUUGGUGCUGCUAGGUACAACCGAAGUGUUUCAGAAAUAAUGUUAUGAAGAUAAGAAAGAUUGGAUAGAUCAUGUUCAUCGACCAAUCGAUCAGUCCCUACUUGAGCAUCCAAUUCAACUCGAGCUUUCUCUAGCACCUCGGGAUGGUUGAGCAAAAGAGACAAGGCUCAUUCUAUAGUCACCGAUGAAGUGUCUGUUCCAGCCGUAAGCAUGACCUACCAAUAAUAUACUAGUGGUUCAAUUGAAUGCUCAUUCCAGUUCAACGGUGAAGAAUGGCUAAUAGGGAAAGAAUAUACUUACCAGUAUAAUCCUUUUGAUGAUUUGGUCCGUAUAAUCCCUUUGAUUACCAAUUGUUAUUAUCCGCUCUUCUCUCUCGGCUGCUUGCUUAUGAUGCUACUGCUGCUCCUGUUAUUUGUGCAGGAGAGUUGAACUGGGUCUGUCUCUGGCAUUGAUUACAAAUUAUCUCUAUUACUAAUGGAGGCAAGAACGAGACUUGGACUUGGAGGCCAAGCUGAGCUUCUUACUCGUGCUACGGGUUCUAGGGAUUUGAAGGCGGCGGCCAACAAGAGGAGUAAUUUGGAUUGUGAGAUUACCCCUUUCAUGUCUUUGUUUAAUAAGACAAAAGGCAAGAGAAAGUUGAAAAUAUUAAAAAACAUGUUUUAGAAAUUAAAAAAUUGAAAAGGGGUUUUAGGUGCCGUCACGUGAUCUCACAUGAUUUAGUUCCUAUUGAAAUUGAAGAGAUUCCGUUAAUUGUCCACUUUAACGCAAAAUUGAAUAAAUUGGGGAUCAAAAUUGAUUUUUGAAAUAGAUUGGGGAUAAUUUCGCACAUACACUAUAGAUUGGGGACCAAAAUUACAAUUCUCCCUAACUUAAAUGACUCAUCAAGUUUAGAUUGAAAAAUUAGAGAAAGUGGAAGUUAGAAUACGCAAUCGGUAUACGCAAUCAGUAUAUGAGAAUAAAUGAAUACUUGAAGGACCUUGUUGUUCCUGUUGGCCAAUGUAGAAGGUCAAGAAGUUGAUGUGCACUAAGUUACAGUUCGAGGAUUUUUCAAACUUGAUGGAAAUUAAACAAAAAAAAAAUUACAAGUAAAAAUAGUCACAAAUGGCAAACAUUAACCUGGUAGAUAUCAAAUUAAACAAAUCAAGUCUAAGUUUGCACAUUAAAGAAAAAUGUUAGGGAUCGUUUUAAUGAAGGGAGAAACUAAAUUCAUUUAUUAGGAAUCACUGAUUAUUGGUACUUUGGGUAAGGAAAAUUUACACUUAUUUACUGUAGGCUAUGAAGCAAUUGCAAUUAAAAGAUUAGCCUCCAUUUCAAUAGAGCCCUAUCAUACGAUUUUUUUUCUUCAAAAGAUUUUUAUCAAUGGCCCAAAAGUAUUGUUCUUUGAUGAUUUUAAGUGAUUGGCAAAAGGGCUUGUUCUUUGAAUAGUUUUAAUCACUAGUCCAAAAGGCUUAUUGUUGGAUUAAAAAAGGGUUUCUUAUAAAAUUUGGGCAUAGAAAACAAAUGAUUUGAUGGCGUUGUCUCUGGUACUUGAGUGAUGCUAGAAUUCAAGCCUUUAACGCUUAAUUCGAAUUUGACUCAAACUUAAACAUGACUUGCAAAAUGAAAAUCACUUGUGCUAAAUCGGGUGCCACUUGAGGAAAAAACUGAAAACUUGGUUUGUUGGCAUAUUUAAUCAAGACAAAAAAUUGAAGUAUUUGUUUAGUAGUUGUAUUUUAGUCAAGUUUUCAAUAGCAUUAUUAGAGCAAACUUAUGGUAGUUUUAUUAUUUAAGAAUUGAUAUUGUAUUAGGUAAUUUUUUUUUAUGGGUGUGAUUUUUUUUUUUUACUAAGGGUGCAUUUGGCUGAAGUCUGAAAAUUGAAAUCUAAAGUCUGAAGUCUAAAAUCUGAAAUUUGAAUUUGUUAAGUUACUAAAUUGUAAGUACUAAAUGUUAGACAUUUGAGUGUAUAUCACAUUAAGUAAUUAGUGAAUAGAUUAUUAAUUAUUUUUUUGAAGCAAGUUUUGCCUAAAAAAUUCAGUGCCACUUAAUUAAAUAAGAUGUUUUAUUUUUUGUUAUCAAAUGUAUCUGAACAUGUUAAUGUCUGAACCUAUUAAGUUUAAGUGUUGAAUUAGGUUAUCAAAUAAGGCAUAAGUCAUUUAGUUGUAUUAUUAUUGUUGGUUGAGAAGAAUGAAAAUUUGAGAGUAUUGUUAUUAGAGUACUAUUGAUAUUAUGUUGUUGAUAUUAUGGGAGUUGUAUUACUUAUUUACUAAGUCAUUUAGUCUCCCAACUCUUGUGAUUUUUUGAUUUUGCAUGUAGUAUCAGAGUUUUAGAUUCAAAAUACUGAUCUUGGGGUGAGUUGGAUACAAGGUUUGCCCAGAGUAUUCAGCUGUUGAGUUAGAUUACAAAAUUGGUCCUAAUGAAGAAUAGACCAAAAAAAUAGUCCUGAAUUGUCAUAUAAAUUGUAGCUGUGAAGGCAACGAUUGGGGAAGAAACCUAUAAAUUGAGUUGUGAUUACAAAGUGAUGUUGGGUGAAUUUGUAAUGGAGAUUAUUGUUCGUGAUUAUAGUGAACCUAAUUCAAUGGAGAGCUUCAUUUAACGGAGACAAUGUUGGCAUAUUAAAUCAAACCUAAAAAUAGAAGUUUCUAUGUUGUUAUUUAGUAACAGUAUUUUAGUCGAGUUUUUAGUAGUGUUAUUGGAGUCAAAUUAUUGCGGUUUUAUUGUUUAGGAACUGGUGUUGUAUUAGGUAAUUCUUAUAGUAUGAUUACUUUUUUACUGAGUUAUCUAGUUUAUAAAUAAUGAGUCAUAUUAUUAUGAUUGGUUGAGAAAAGUGAAAAUUUGAAAGUAUCGUUAUUAUAGUAUCAUUGAUAUUACAUAUUAGAUAUUAUUUCUCUUUUCUUACACAUAUUUGUAUGCAUGCAAAUUGCCUUCCCCUUCAUUGGUUUAUUUAUGUGUGUUAAAAAAUUUAAUCUCCCAACUCUUACGAUUUUUUGGGUUUUACAUGAAAGACUCAAAAGGAACGCUAAAAGCUGAAGAACAAUUGGCGUAGUUACUAUCCCCUCAUGAUAUCAUAAAAGUUUGACGUUAUUAGAUAUUUAAUCAAUAGGUUCAGCUAAAGUGGCUAAUACGAAUUUUUAGCCUCACCUAUUAUACAUUCCAUCUUGUACACUAUAUUUCGUAGAUAUUCUCCAGGCAUGGAAACCCUUCAAUUUACGUGUUACUCUAAAAGAAUGGUACAUUAAUUAAGUUAAAUGACUUAUCAAGUUUAGAAUGAAAAAUUGGUGAGAAUGCAAGUUACAAGAUACAAAUGAAAUAGAUGAUUUUUAAAGAGAUUACUUAAUGAAUUAAUGAAUAUUUAAGGGGCUUUAUUGUCCCAAUAGGCUAAUCUAGAGGGGUAAAUAGGUUGAUCAUAUUUCCUCAAACUGAAGAUAAAGAGUUGUUAAACUGUUGCCAAAAAGAUACCGACUUUUGGGGUUCUCACGGGAUUUAUGGUUAGUAAAACUGUUGCCAAAAAGCUUUGGGCUUUGGUUAAGGUAAAGAGUUGUUUCUUACAGUGCAAUUCCAUGCCUCAUUCUCGAGCCUUUCAUGUAACGAGCAUUACUUAAUUAGGAUCUAAAAAUGGGACCGGACCAGAAGUGCACCGUCUUGAGAGAGGGAAGUGGGCAGUUUCGAACUUCUGAUAAAUACAUCGAGCAUGUUCUUGUUGAUUAUUUUAACUACUGAUUAUAGAGUCUAUUUUUGUAUAAUUAGUUUUUGUGAUAUUUUUGGUUACUUUUGUAUUCUAAUUAUAAAUUUUUAAUAAUAAAAAUACUAUAAUCUAAAAUCACCCAAAAAGUAAUUUUGUUAAUUUCAAUUUUUAUAAUAAGAUUUUGUAAAAUCUAAAACAAUUGUCCCUUAAAUUGGUUGAGAUGGUAUAAUUGAUGUUAUACUUUUCUGUCAAUUCAAAUUCGAAUAUCUCCUGCGACAAUGUCUGUCGCAUAGGAUUUGCCUAGUGCGUCUUACCUGCAUGUGAUUGGCGGACGGAGCGGAGUUUACUCAAGGUGGCGGCCUUGCUUAUGUGGCCGAUUUUCCACUUCGUGUCCACAACUUCUACCACAUCCACCGCCACAGUUCAAACCAUUUUGAGUACUGAUAUAUUAGUACUAAUCCACAUGAUUUAACAGUGGCAUAUUCAAAAUUGACCACUUCGCGUCCACAACUUCUACACUUUUACCACAUCCACCGACACAUCAGUAACCAUUUUGAGUACUGAUAUAUUAGUACUACCCAACAUGAUUUAACAGUGGCCUAUUCUUUCGAUAUAGUAAUAUGCUGAGUUGGUUGAAUUGCAGGCCGGCUCUGAUUCCCGGAGCUAGAGAACGCUUCACCUCAAUGUAUUCGAUGCAUCUGUGGUUUAAUUCUGGAGGAAGACUGGGUACAAAUGCAGUUUCUGUUGAUGGUGGGUUUCCUUCGUUUAUACCUGCGGAAGUUAAAGAAAUCAAGGAUCCGUUUGCUCGAGCUUUGGCUCAGAGGAUUCAAAGACUUCCUGUAAAGGUAUAUAUGCUUUUUUAUUCCUCUGCACUACAUGUUGUAGCAUAAUUUGUCUUUGAUCAUCUAGCAAGUUUCUGUUUAGAAUAUUGCUCAAGAGGUGAGGCCCAGGAUCAUAAUAUGCAUCACCCACCCGAUUGGAUCGAUAAAAGGAAAGAAUCUUAAUGUGUGUGUGUGUGUCCUUCUGACUUAAAAGACAUUUCACUUCUAUUCUGAUGAUUAUAUGCUCUGACAAGUAAAUUGAGUAGUGGUGGUCCCAGACAAGUCUGCAGAAUUUCUCCUGUCUGACUGCAACUUAUCUUUGACCUGUUUUUGAUUCCUCAUAUUCUGCCUCUCCUAAAGCUGCAGGUUGGAUUUUCUGAGAGUUGUAUAAUGAGCAGCUGUGUGAAGCCAAGGUUUCAACGUGAUACCAAUCCGGCUGUCCUACUCCAUUGUUUCGACAGGUUUUCUACUCUUGUAAUUUUCACUAGUUACUGGACACCUUUUUGUUUUUAUUUCUUUUGUAAUUAUUACUACUUUUGUUAUCCUUACUAGUUACUGAUAUUUACUACUUUUGUCUCUUUUCCCUUUUGCCCUUUUUCUUGCCUGGUGUGCAUUCGAAUGAGUAGCUCUUGUUUAGAAUGGACACGAACAUACCCAUUACUUGAGGACGCUGCAGUGGAGACUUGGGCAAUAGACAUUCUUGGAUGGGGUUUCUCCGACCUAGGUUCGUCUUCAAUUUCAGCACAGAGAUGCAAUCAUAUUCUUCUCUUAGUUCAGGUGCUUUUGAUUUGUGUUAUGGUUCUUGUUCAUUAAUCAUCUUAGCUAAUCCUCAAUUGGUGUAGAAAGACUUCCUCCCUGUGACGCAGCAUCCAAAAGAUAUCACCUUUACCAGGUACUUUGGGAAGAUAGCAUCCUGGAUAUAUGCUGAUUGAUUGUUACCAUCCGUCACGCAAAUGCUAGGAAUAACCUAAUUUGCAGUUAUUGUCAGUUCUUAGACAUUGAUCUAACUUUGUGAGCUUCUAUUAAUUAUAGCUUUGGAGGACUCACAUCAAACGACCGAUGAUAUUAGUCGGACCAAGCCUUGGUGCAGCAGUCGCCAUUGACUUUGCUGUCAACUUUCCAGAAGCUGUAAGCAGUUUUCUUUCAACUGAGAUUUUCCUUGAAUUUGACGUAUAACCACUCAAGUUUCUAAAGUAUUCAAUGGCAAUAAGGCCAACACAUUCGUUGAUACAUUACCAGAUGUACAAAGAAAAUCAAUAGGGGUUAACACAGAUAAUAAGGUUUAUACAUCUUGUGUAAGGGAAGUUCAAGUUAGAGUUGCGUCGCGAGCAGUCUCCCGUUGAUAGGCUACUGAAAAAUGCGCCAGUGGCCCGGGGAUUUGCAUUUUGUGUAGACUUUUUUCUACCAUGGACUUCAAUAACCUCCAAAAAAAAACAAAGAAAGAUGGAAGUGCUUGAAGCCUUAUCCUGCUAGAUGUUGGGGAAACCGGGUAUUUUCCCACUCAAAAUUACAACUAGUGAUUAAACCGAUUCAGUAAUUCUCAGGAAAGAUCGUUGAAACAAUCUCCUUAGACAGAAUUACCAUUCCAAGUAAAUUCCCAGGAAAGGCUGGAGGGGUCACAAGCGGUCCCACUUAAAACCCAGUCUCCUAAACAGAACUUACGUGCACGGUGUAUUAUCACAACUAUACCCGUGUAUACAUAAAUAAUACGUAAACACGAAUAAGAAAAUACACCCAAAAGAAUCGUAUAAUACACUAUGAAUAAACCCGACAAAUAUAUAUUGAAUACUAUACUACAAUAGAAAAGAAACUAAUAAAUAAAUGCGGAACAAAUAAAAGAGAUAAGGAAAGAACACACCCGAAAAAUUGAUAACGGAGUUCGGCCAAUUUUGCCUACUCUCCGAGCACCACUCAAGCAGCCCGCUUUUAUAAAUUUUGGGAGAAGAAAGACUUACAAAAGAAUUACAAAAUCCUUUUUGGUGUAAUUUUUUUGUUUUCUUUUUCUUUUGGUACUUUUCAUUUGGUAGAACUUGAGAGUUAUUUAUAACUCUCAAGCCAUGCUCCUACCAUUAAUCCUACCGAUGUGGGAUUAAGAUUUCUGCCACCAAAGUCCACAAUUGUGAGUUGUGGAAAAAAUUGUCAAAGUCCACAAUUGUGGCUUUGAUUCAACAAAUCUCCACCUUGGCAUAAAUCUAAUCCCACCCCAAAAAUACAAACCUUCUCCCUCAAACAAAAACAAACGGUACUUGUAGUGCUUCCAAAUUUUGCGCCCUCAAGCGCCAACUCAAAUAUGCAGGAUAUUGACCAAGUCUAAACAAUGUUCAAACUUGAAUCUUGUAACCACCUUGGUCAGCAUAUAUGCAGGAUUUUCCGUAGUCCGAAUCUUCUGAAGAAAAAUCUCAUCUUCUUCGAGAAUUUCCCGCACAAAGUGAUAGCGAACAUCAAUGUGCUUCGUUCUUGCGUGCAAGACCUGGUUCUUUGCUAAGUGAAUAGCACUCUGACUGUCACAAAACACAUCAAUGUGUUUUUGACCAACUCCCAAGUCUUCAAGCAAUCCUUGAAGCCAAAUUGCCUCCUUCACAGCUUCUGUAAUCGCCAUGUACUCUGCCUCCGUUGUUGACAAAGCCACCGUUGACUGCAAAGUAGACUUCCAACUAACUGGCGCCUUGACAAAUGUGAACAAGUAGCCAGUUGUAGAACGUCGCUUAUCCAAAUCACCUGCAUAGUCAGAAUCACAAUAUCCAACUACACAUUGACCAAGUGAUUUAUCCUGCUCAAAUACUAAUCCAACAUCUACGGUAUUUUGGAUAUACCGUAGAAUCCAUUUCACAGCUUGCCAAUGACCCUUGCCUGGAUCAUGCAUAAACCUGCUUACCACACUAACUGCCUGUGAAAUGUCGGGUCUCGUACACACCAUUGCAUACAUCAAGCUACCAACUGCAUUAGCAUACGGGACUUUCGCCAUGUAUGCUUGCUCUUCAUCCGUCUUUAGAGAUAAUAGGCUACUAAGUUUCAAAUGAGGAGCAAGCGGAGUACUUACAGGUUUUGAAUCUUCAUUCAUGCCAAAACGUUGUAGUACCUUCUUCAAAUACUGCUUUUGUAUCAGACAAAGCUUGCCGCUCGUUCUAUCCCUGCUUAUCUCCAUGCCGAGAAUCUUCUUGGCUUCUCCCAAAUCUUUCAUCUCGAACUCUUUGCCCAACUGAACCUUCAAUUUGUCAAUUUCAACUUGGCUCUUUGAUGCUAUCAGCAUAUCAUCAACGUACAAGAGUAAGUAGAUGUAGGAAUCAUCUCGUAGCUUGCGCAAAUACACACAUUGAUCGUAUUUGCUUCUUGUGUACUUCUGACUCAUCAUGAACUGGUCAAAUCGUUUGUACCAUUACCUCGGUGAUUGUUUCAAUCCGUACAACGAUUUGCUCAGUUUACAAACCCAAUUUUCUUUAUCAGCAACUUUAAAUCCAUCUGGGUGAGACAUAUAGAUUUCCUCCUUCAAGUCACCGUGAAGGAACGCAGUCUUCACAUCAAGUUGAACUAGCUCCAAAUUUAACUGCGCUACCAAGGCCAACAAAAUUCUAAUAGAGGAAUGUUUAACAACUGGAGAAAAUACCUCAUUAUAAUCAACUCCCUCCUUCUGAGCGUAGCCUUUAGCCACCAAUCUUGCCUUGUAGCGAACAUCAAUCUUGUCAGGAAAUCUUUCUUUCUUUGUAAAUAUCCAUUUGCAUCUAAUUGCCUUCUUGCCCUUCGGUAGUUGUGUCAACUUCCACGUCUUGUUCUUCUGAAGAGAUUGCAUCUCUUCUUCCAUAGCAUCUUUCCAUCUAUCAUUUUCUGUACUUUGAACUGCUUCAGAAAAUGUGGAUGGAACAUCAUCAAUCACUGGAAGUGCAUAAGCCACCAUGUCAACAAAACGAGCAGGUUUAUGAAUUUCUCGUCUUGCCCUAUUGACGGCAAUUGACUCUUGCUGCUGUUGAGGUUCUUGGGUUGAAACCUCUUCCUCAUCUGACUCCUCUUCUGCCAUAGGAGAGUCACUAAUGGUGCUGUUUGCUGGACUCACCACUAUUUGCUCAAACUCCACCUGUUUCGGCGUACACUCCACCUGUUGAGAAGUACCACUGGUUCCAUCUUGUGUUACCUUAUUCAACAUGGCAGAUUCAUCAAAGGUAACAUCCCUGCUGAUAAUGAUUUUCUUUGUUUCUAGACACCACAACCGAUAUCCCUUAACUCCAGCACUAAAGCCCAUAAAGAAAGCCUUCUUUGCACGUGGAUCCAAUUUUGAUUCAUUUACAUGAUAAUAUGCAGUAGAACCAAAAAUACGCAAAGAAUCAUAAUCUGGUGAUGCGAGACGCGGAAGCAACUUCGGAUCUAGAGGAACACGAUGAAGAUUGGAUGGAGUUGAACCUGAACUUGGACCACUCAAGAACAGAUUUAACGGUAGAUUUAACGGCUCAGCGAGGGUACUUAACUGCAGCUUAGCCCGCUAUCUGGAGUUUGAACACUUGCAUUUUCAAUUGUAAGCAGCAUUUUAGUAGUCGUGCAAGGAUAUUCCAACUCAAUCCCUUCAAUGGCCGGUUUCUCUUGAAUUUGGAUGGCACGUACCAAGGCUUGGAGGGACUUAGCUCGUGCUCGUGUCACCGGGCCUAGGGGCACCUUCACAGGGUCUACUUGUACACUUUGGGUCUCGUGCUCAAUCGCAUCAUUCCCCUCUUCUUGAAAAGGAUUUGCCCUCAAAUCGUACUCGUCCCCUGCAAUAAAUGGAUUUAGAUCAGCAACAUUGAAUGUAUCACUAACAUUGUACUCACCAGGCAGAUCUAAGAGGUAUGCAUUGUCGUUGAUGCGCUCAAUGACUUGAAAAGGCCCAUCUCCUCUUGGUGACAGCUUGCUUUUCCGUUGGUUUGGAAAUCUCUCCUUGCGCAAAUGUAACCAGACCCAAUCACCUGGUUCAAAGACAAGCUUGCGCCUGUGCUUAUUAGCUUGUUGGACAUAUUGGGCCGUCCUCCUCUCGAUAUUGGUACGAACCUUGUCAUGUAAUGAUCUCACGAACUCAGUUUUCUUCUUGCCAUCUAAGUUCAUAUGCUCAGAAGAAGGUAAUGGCAACAAAUCUAAGGGAGUUAAGGGGUUCAAACCAUACACAACUUCAAAAGGCGAGAAUUGUGUAGCACUAUGCACAGCCCUAUUGUAUGCAAACUCAACAUGAGGUAGACACUCCUCCCAUGACUUGAUAUUUUUCUUUAUGAUUGCACGUAGGAGUGUGGAUAAAGUCCUAUUGACUACCUCAGUUUGUCCGUCCGUUUGAGGAUGACUAGAGGUAGAGAACAACAGUUUGGUUCCCAACCGACCCCAUAAAGAUUUCCAAAAAUAGCUCAAAAACUUGACAUCUCUAUCAGAUACUAUAGUCCUAGGUAUGCCAUGCAAACGAACAACCUCUUUAAAGAAUAAAUCAGCAAUGUGUAAAGCAUCAUCCGUCUUAUGACAUGCAAUAAAGUGAGCCAUUUUGGAGAACCUAUCUACCACAACAAAUAUAGAGUCAUGGCCACGCUUUGAACGAGGUAACCCAAGCACGAAAUCCAUGGAAAUGUCAACCCAAGGUUGGUGAGGUAUGGGUAAAGGAGUAUACAAACCGUUUGGGUUGACCCGAGACUUAGCUUUGUGGCACACGCCACAUCUUUCAACAAUCCUCUCCACGUCCUUGCGCAUGCGAGGCCAAUGGAAGUGUUCCUGUAAUACAGCUAAUGUCUUGGUGACACCAAAGUGUCCCAUUAGUCCACCACUAUGUGACUCCUGAAUAAGUAAGUUACGUAUGGACCCUCGAGGAAUGCACAACUUGGUAAGAUAAAAUAAGAACCCAUCAUGUACGAAGAAUUUUUCAAAGUCAGAUUUUCCCCAAUUCGCAUAAGCGUUCGCAAAAUCCAAGUCAUUCUUAUACAACUCCUUCAUGAGUUCAAAGCCUAGGAGUUUAGCAUCUAAAGCAGUGAGCAAAAUGUGUCUACGAGAUAAAGCGUCAGCUACGACAUUAGAUUUACCUGUUUUGUAUUUGAUGACGUAUGGAAAAGACUCAAUGAAGGCUACCCAUCGGGCAUGUCGUUUGCUCAGCUUUUGUUGUCCUUUUAGGUGCUUGAGAGACUCAUGGUCAGUUUUGAUGACGAAUUCCCGUGCACGUAGGUAGUGUUGCCAUGUCUCCAAAGCACGUACAAGGGCAAACAUCUCCUUGUCAUAAGUUGAAUAGUUGAGGACCGCGCCAUUUAAUUUCUCACUAAAGUAGGCAAUCGGUCUCCCUCCUUGCAUGAGUACGGCUCCUACUCCUACACCUGAUGCAUCACAUUCCACUUCAAAAGUGAGAUCAAAGUUAGGUAUUGCAAGGAGUGGUGCAUGUGUGAGUUUGUGUUUCAGCAAUUGGAAAGCCUUAUCUUGGGCUUCCCCCCAAAAGAACUUCUCGUUCUUCUUUAUGACUGCGGUAAGAGGUGCAGCGAUGGUGCUAAAAUCCUUCACAAAACGACGGUAGAAGCUUGCUAAUCCAUGAAAGCUGCGCACAUCACUUACUGAGGUAGGUGUUGGCCACUCUUGGAUGGACUUAAUCUUCUCUUCAUCUACGUGAAUGCCCUGCGCACUUACAACAUAUCCUAGAAACACAACACGAUCAGUGCAAAAUGUGCACUUCUUAAGGUUGGCAUAUAGCCUUUCCCUUCGAAGUACUUCAAAGAUGGCUUUGAGGUGCUCAAGGUGUUCCUCUAAGCUUCUGCUAUAAAUCAGAAUAUCAUCAAAGUAAACCACUACAAAUUUCCCAAGAAAAGGUCUCAAAACAUGGUUCAUUAAACGCAUGAAGGUACUAGGUGCAUUAGUUAAACCAAAUGGCAUUACUAACCACUCGUAUAGACCAUGUUUAGUUUUGAAAGCGGUUUUCCACUCAUCUCCCUCUUUCAUUCUUAUUUGGUGGUAACCACUUUUCAAAUCAAUUUUAGUAAAUAUAAUGGCACCAUGCAAUUCAUCUAACAUAUCAUCUAACCUAGGGAUAGGGUGACGAUAUUUUACCGUGAUUGCAUUGACUGCUCGACAGUCGGUGCACAUUCUCCGCGCUCCAUCUUUCUUUGGCACGAGAAUCACUGGUACAGCGCAUGGACUUAGACUUUCUCUAGCCCAACCUUUCCUUAGCAAUUCCUCCACUUGCCUUUGCAAUUCCUUUGUUUCCUCAGGACCCAUUCUAUAGGCUGGUUUGUUAGGCAAUGGUGCUCCAGGAAUGAGAUCGAUUUGGUGCUCGAUUCCCCUUAGUGGUGGUAGUCCAUCAGGUACAUCCUCAGGAAAUAUGUCCUCAAAUUCCUGCAAGAGAGGUAAAAUAGUAGAAGGCAAGGAGUCAGUGGAUAUGGAUGAAGUGACCAACUCUUCUUUGCACACAAGCAUAAGUAAGAGUUGGUUGGAAGACAAAGCUCGCCUUACAUCUUUGGCUUUUGCUAGCAAGCUUAGCUUCCCCUUAUUUUCUUCUCUCAUAGCCGACCCACUUGUUGCCUUUUUCUUCCCUAGGGGUUCGGCCCUUCUCUCUCCUUUUUCUUCCUCACUUUUCUCUCGCUUUUUCCUCUCAAGUUCUAGCUCAUACUCCUUUUGGAGCCUCAUUUGAUCUUCAUACACUUGUUUUGGGGUGAGAGGUACAAGUGUCACCUUUCUAUUGCAAUGAGUAAAGACAUAUUUAUUAGCUCUUCCCUUGAAUUCGACAUCGCGAUCAUAUUGCCAAGGCCGUCCAAGAAUGAGGUGACUUGCUUGCAUUGGCACGACAUCACAAGUAAUCUCGUCUUCAUACUUGCCAAUUCGGAAUGGCACUUUCACUUGUCUAAACACACGUAUUUCCCCUUCAUUGUUCAACCAUUGAAGGCGAUAAGGUCUUGGAUGUUUGAUAACUUGGAGCCCUAGCAUUUCUACCAUGAGUAGACUAGCGACAUUGGCACAACUCCCACUAUCAAUAACAACACUACACACCUUAUCCUUGAUAUGACACCUUGUGUAGAAAAGGUUGUCCCGUUGUACCUCCAUUUCCUCCUCUUUGGCGCGAGUAGUGAGGACCUUUCGAACCACUAGGCAUCCAAUCUCCUCAUGCGUAGGUAUCUCCUCACUCGAUUCAUUCUCUUCCUCUUCUAGAGGUGGCAUCCCCUCGUACUCCUCUUCCUCAUCUGAUACAAUUUCCCCAUUUGGCAACACCAACAUGGUCCUUUGGCUGGGGCAUUGAGAAGCGAUGUGGCCAAAUCCUUGACACUUAAAGCACUUGGUGUCUCGGCCACGUGGUUUGGAAGCUGCAUUAUUAGCCUUAAAGUCAGGCUUGGGCGUCGCCUUGGAAGGGAGGCCAUUCGGCCUUGGAGGGUAAGAAGGAGCUGCGGCCUUCUCCUCCCUUUUUGGUUGAGAAGUGCGCCAAUUUCCAGCUUGAUAAGUAGUGCUUUGUCGUGCAGUACCCCUCCUCUUGAGGCGCCGUUCAAUUGUAACCGCCUUCUCUAGCAUUUCAUUCAUGUCGAGGUAGUGUUGGAGUUCCACUACUUCAGCAAUCUCGGGCCUCAAUCCAUGUAGAAAACGAGCCAUCGUGGCCUCUCCAUCUUCACGCAAAUCCGCCUUCAUGAUGGCCAUUUCCAUCUCCUUGUAAUAAUCCUCAACUGACAUGGACCCUUGGUUGAGAGCUUGUAGCCGACGGUGUAGAUCUCGGCUAUAGUAGCUCGGAACGAACUUUUUCUCAUCAGACUCCUCAUUUCCUCCCAAGUUUCCACAGGUCUCUCACGAUUUCUCCUUCGGCUUAGUCUAAGUUGGUCCCACCAAAUGGAGGCGUAGUCAGUGAAUUCUACGGCUGCUAGUUUCACCUUUUGCUCCUCCGUAUAGGUGUGGCAUUCAUAGACUAACUCAAUUUUCCGUUCCCAUUCCAAGUACGCCUCGGGGUCCGACUUGCCUUGGAAUGAGGGAAUCUUGAGUUUGACACCUUUAAUGGUGUCAUCUCCUCGACGUUGGAACCUUUGAUCAUUUUGGUGCCUCCCCUCAAACGCUUCCUCUUCAUCGUUUGAGUAUGCCGAUUCUUUGCCCUUACUCGGGGUAGGUGGAGGUUUCGAGUUCUCCAACUGAUCAAUUCGAUCAUGCAAUGGUUCAAUUUCAUUCUUAAGCAAUCGUUUGAACUCCCUCAUCAUGGCUUCCAACUGUAGUUUGAUGUCCAUGGUUUGUUCACCAACUUCACUAGACAUAUUUAGUCCACCUGCAAAACAAAUAAACAAAACGAGUUCCUCUCUCUUUUUUUUUUUAAUACAAUGUAUAGGUCACUCACACUCGUGUUUCACUCAAGUGUAUCACUCUCUAAUAAUCUUACCAAGCAAUUCCUUGGCUUGCUAGUUGCUCGAGUUGAACAAACCAGGCGUCACCGCAGUGUACGUUCUUGACUAGUCAACAAGUGACACACAAGCUAGUAGCAAUAAAUGGAGGUUAAUGACUAAGACCUAGACACGACUCAAGACUCAGAAUAUAGCUGGACAAUAACUAACAACUCAAAAGAAAGUAAGACAAUUAACUUGAAUGCUGAAAUUUUGAAAAUCCUAGAAAACUCUACCCGAAACCCAAUUUUCUGGAAUUUGUUGAGCUGCUGGUCCGUGGUCUUUUUGGUAAGGGUUUUGGAGUACUUUGGGUGGCCUUAGGCUGCUGAAAUAAUGGGCACUCUACUACCUAAAACUCAGCCCAAUCGGGUGUCACAAUUGCUCCAACGGUUUUAGGAAAAUUCAAGAAUUCAAGAUUCGGAAAUUGGAAAGUUUGAUCUGAUUUGGACACUUGGGGUUGCCAAGGAUUGGAAACCUUGGAGUUUGGUUAGAUUUGGGAGUCCCAAGUGGUUCAAAUUCGAAAUUUUGGGGCUGGUCAGAUUUGGAAGUCAGAUUUUGCACCAAAUUUGGUAAACUUGUAGGCUGUCAAGAAUUGGAGGUUGUUCAGAUUCGGAAGUCCAAGUUUGAAUCAGAUUUGGUGGCUUGAAGGUUGACCAAGACUAGGGCUGUUCAGAUUUGGAAGUCCAAGUUUGAAUCAGAUUUGGUAAAACUUGAAGGCUGGUCAAGAAUUGGAGGUUGUUCAGAUUUGGAAGUCCAAGUUUGAAUCAGAUUUGGUAAAACUUGAAGGCUGGUCAAAAAUUGGAAACUAGAGCCGUCAUUCUUAGAAUUUUUUUUUGACUUCUGUUGGGGUGUUUUCACACAAUAUCCAGCUAGUUUAGACCAGAAUUUCACAGCAAUUAACGUAAACAACUUGGACAGAUUUAGUUUCAAGAUCAAAGUUCCAUGAAAACAAGAACACGGUUGAAGGUUUAUUUCAGGUUUCAAGACUGCCAAGAUUAACCUCUUUGAUCCAAGAAGCUCAAGACUUCCCCAAUAAGGUUUUGAUGUUCGAGUUUUGCAAAGCAACAACACAAAGGUUCAAGAAACAAGUGCAAACAGAUUCGGUAUCCCAGCAAAUUAAUUCCAGCAACGACUCAAGGGAAUGACAAUAAGGUAUGCAUCACAAUAGAUUUUUUUUUUUGGAUUUAAACAGAACAUAAACACAAGACAAAACUGGACCGAAAAUUUCGUACAACAACUAAACAACAAAGACAGAUUUCUGACAAGGAAACAACCAAGACAGAUUUAGGACUUGACAAACCCGAGCACUUGAGCUACGAAUUUAGAAGACUAAAACAGAUCUAAAAACAAUAAAAAGGGAUAUUCGUGAUACCUCUAACCAGCUCUGAUGCCAGCUGAUGCGAGACGCGAAGCAACUUCGGAUCUAGAGGAACACGAUGAAGAUUGGAUGGAGUUGAACCUGAACUUGGACCACUCAAGAACAGAUUUAACGGUAGAGGACGCCACAAUCAAGUAUGUGUGCUUGAUUGAUAAGUCAAGAACAGCCUAGGAUCAACUCUAGGAUAUUCAACUUAGCUUUCACAAGCUAAGGAAAUUUGCCACAAGGAAUGGACGAAAUUCUGAAAAUUUUAUUCAAUACUCUCAAAAAACUGAAUGUAAGCGAGAUCCCCGUACGGCUCAGCGAGGGUACUUAACUGCAGCUUAACCCGCUAUCUGGAGCUUGAACACUUGCAUCUUCAAUUGUAAGCAGCAUUUUAGUAGUCGUGCAAGGAUAUUCCAACUCAAUUCCUUCAAUGGCCGGUUUCUCUUGGAUUUGGAUGGCACGUACCAAGGCUUGGAGGGACUUAGCUCGUGCUCGUGUCACCGGGCCUAGGGGCACCUUCACAGGGUCUACUUGUACACUUUGGGUCUCGUGCUCAAUCGCAUCAACUUGAAUGCUGAAAUUUUGAAAAUCCUAGAAAACUCUACCCGAAACCCAAUUUUCUGGAAUUUGUUGAGCUGCUGGUCCGUAGUCUUUUUGGUAAGGGUUUUGGAGUAUUUUGGGUGGUCUUAUGCUGUUCAAAUAAUGGGCAAUCUACUACCUAAAAGUCAGCCCAAUCGGGUGUCACAAUUGCUCCAACAGUUUUAGGGAAAUUCAAGAAUUCAAGAUUCGGAAAUUGGAAAGUGUGAUCUGAUUUGGACACUUGGGGUUGUUAAGGAUUGGAAACCUUGGAGUUUGGUCAGAUUUGGGAGUCCCAAGUGGUUCAAAUUCGAAAUUUUGGGGCUGGUCAGAUUUUGAACCAAAUUUGGUAAAGUUGUAGGCUGUCAAGAAUUGGAGGUUGUUCAGAUUUGGAAGUCCAAGUUUGAAUCAGAUUUUGGUAGCUUGAAGGCUGACCAAGACUUGGGCUGUUCAAAUUUGGAAGUCCAAGUUUGAAUCAGAUUUGGUAAAACUUGUAGGCUGACAAGGAUUGGAGGUUGUUCAGAUUUGGAAGUCCAAGUUUGAACAGCCCAAGUCUUGGUCAGCCUUCAAGCCACCAAAAUCUGAUUCAAACUUGGACUUCCAAAUCUGAACAACCUCCAAUUCUUGACAGCCUACAACUUUACCAAAGUUGGUGCAAAAUCUGACCAGCCCCAAAAUUUCGAAUUUGAACCACUUGGGACUCCCAAAUCUGACCAAACUCCAAGGUUUCCAAUCCUUGACAACCCCAAGUGUCCAAAUCAGAUCACACUUUCCAAUUUCCGAAUCUUGAAUUCUUGAAUUUCCCUAAAACUGUUGGAGCAAUUGUGACACCCGAUUGGGCUGACUUUUAGGUAGUAGAUUGCCCAUUAUUUGAGCAGCAUAAGGCCACCCAAAAUACUCCAAAACCCUUACCAAAAAGACCACGGACCAGCAGCUCAACAAAUUCCAGAAAAUUGGGUUUCGGGUAGAGUUUUCUAGGAUUUUCAAAAUUUCAGCAUUCAAGUUAAUUGUCUUACUUUCUUUUGCGUCGUUAGUUAUUGUCCAGCUAUAUUCUAAGUCUUGAGUCGUGUCUAGGUCUUCAGUCAUUCAACUCCAUUUUAUUGCUACUAGCUUGUGUGUCACCUGUUGACUAGUCAAGAACGUACAUUGCGGUGACGCCUAGUUUGUUCAACUCAAGCAACUAGCAAGCCAAGGAAUUGCUUGGUAAGAUUAUUAGAGAGUGAUACACUUGAGUGAAACACGAGUGUGAGUGACCUAUACAUCGUAUUAAAAAAAAAAAGAGAGAGGAACUCGUUUUGUUUAUUUGUUUUGCAGGUGGACUAAAUAUGUCUAGUGGAGUUGGUGAACAAACCAUGGACAUCAAAUUACAGUUGGAAGCCAUGAUGAGGGAGUUCAAACGAUUGCUUAAGAAUGAAAUUGAGCCAUUGCAUGAUCGAAUUGAUCAGUUGGAGAACUCGAGACCUCCACCUACCCCGAGUAAGGGCAAAGAAUCGGCAUACUCAAACGAUGAAGAGGAAGCAUUUGAGGGAAGGUACCAAAAUGAUCAAAGGUUCCAACGUCGAGGAGACGACACCAUUAAAGGUGUCAAACUCAAGAUUCCCUCAUUCCAAGGCAAGUCGGAUCCCGAGGCGUACUUGGAAUGGGAACGAAAAAUUGAGUUAGUCUAUGAAUGCCACACCUAUACGGAGGAGCAAAAGGUGAAACUAGCAGCCGUAGAAUUCACUGACUAUGCCUCCAUUUGGUGGGACCAACUUAGACUAAGCCGAAGGAGAAAUCGUGAGAGACCUGUGGAAACUUGGGAGGAAAUGAGGAGUCUGAUGAGAAAAAGGUUCGUUCCGAGCUACUAUAGCCGAGAUCUACACCGUCGGCUACAAGCUCUCAACCAAGGGUCCAUGUCAGUUGAGGAUUAUUACAAGGAGAUGGAAAUGGCCAUCAUGAAGGCGGAUUUCCGUGAAGAUGGAGAGGCCACGAUGGCUCGUUUUCUACAUGGAUUGAGGCCCGAGAUUGCGGAAGUAGUGGAACUCCAACACUACCUCGACAUGAAUGAAAUGCUCGAGAAGGCGGUUACCAUUGAACGGCGCCUCAAGAGGAGGGGUACUGCACGACAAAGCACUACUUAUCAAGCUGGAAAUUGGCGCACUUCUCAACCAAAAAGGGAGGAGAAGGCCGCAGCUCCUUCUUACCCUCCAAGGCCAAAUGGCCUCCCUUCCAAGGCAGCGCCCAAGCCUGACUUUAAGGCUAAUAAUGCAGCUUCCCAACCACGUGGUCGAGACACCAAGUGCUUUAAGUGUCAAGGAUUUGGCCACAUCGCUUCUCAAUGCCCCAGCCAAAGGACCAUGCUGAUGUUGCCAAAUGGGGAAAUUGUAUCAGAUGAGGAAGAGGAGUACGAGGCCUAUGAUCUAUAGUUAGUUGGGCUAGCUUUCGGUCAAGUGAAGGCCCAAGGGGCUGGCCGAACUUUCCUUGUUAUUUUUCCAGUUUAUUAGGUCUUAGUCACGGCUAUUAAUAGCCUCAAGCCGCAUGUUACAUUCAGUUUUUGAGAGUAUUGAAUAAAAUUUCCAGAAUUUCGUCCAUUCCUUGUGACAAAUUCCCUUAACUUGUGAAAGCUAAGUUGAACAUCCUAGAGUUGAUCCUAGGCUGUUCUUGACUUAUCAAUCAAGUACACAUACUUGAUUGUGGCGUCCUCUACCGUUAAAUCUGUUCUUGAGUGGUCCAAAUUCAGAUUCAACUCCAUCAAAUCUUCAUCGUGUUCCUCUAGAUCCGAAGUAGCUUCCGCAUCUCGCAUCAGCUGGCAUCAGAGCUGGUUAGACGUAUCACGAAUAUCCUUUUUUAUUGUUUUUAGAUCUAUUUUAGUCUUCUAAAUUCGUAGCUCAAGUGCUCGGGUUUGUCAAGUCCUAAAUCUGUCUUGGUUGUUUCCUUGUCAGAAAUCUGUCUUUGUUGUUUAGUUGUUGUCCGAAAUUUUCGGUCCAGUUUUGUCUUGUGUUUAUGUUCUGUUUAAAUCCAACACUUAAAACCCAACUAACUAUAGAAAUCUAAUUUGUUGAUUUUUUCUUCAACGGCCACAAUUGUAGACUUUUGGCCACAAUUGUAGACUUUUUGGCAAAAUUUAUUAUCCCACAUCGGGUAGCUUAGCAUUUGAGAGCUUGGCUUGAGAGUUAUAAAUAACUCUCAAGUCCUCCAAAUUUAAUGUACCAAAAGAAAAAGAAAACAAAAGAAUUACACCAAAAAAGAUUUUGUAAUUCUUUUGUAAGUCUUUCUUCUCCCAAAAUUUAUAAAAGCAGGCUGCUUGAGUGGUGCUCGGAGAGUAGGCAAAAUUGGCCGAACUCCGUUAUCAAUUUUUCGGGUGCGUUCUUUCCAUAUCUCUUUUAUUUGUUCCGCAUUUAUUUAGUAGUUUCUUUUCUGUAGUAAUAUAGUAUUCAAUAUAUUUGUCUAUAUUUGCCGGGUGUAUUUAUAGUGUAUUAUACGAUUCUCUUGGGUGUAUUUUCUUAUUCAUGUGUACGUAUUAUUUAUGUAUACACGGGUAUAGUUGUGAUAAUACACCGUGCACGUAAGUUCUGUCUAGGAGACUGGGUUUUAAGUGGGACCGCUUGUGACCCCUCCAAAACUGGAUCUGUUUUAGAUCUGUUUUGGCUCUGAUGCCAGCUGAUGCGAGACGCGGAAGCUACUUCGGAUCUAGAGGAACACGAUGAAGAUUUGAUGGAGUUGAAUCUGAACUUGGACCACUCAAGAACAGAUUUAACGGUAGAGGACGCCACAAUCAAGUAUGUGUACUUGAUUGAUAAGUCAAGAACAGCCUAGGAUCAACUCUAGAAUGUUCAACUUAGCUUUCACAAGCUAAGGGAAUUUGUCACAAGGAAUGGACGAAAUUCUAGAAAUUUUAUUCAAUACUCUAUCCCCGUACGGCUCAGCGAGGGUACUUAACUGCAGCUUAGCCCGCUAUCUGGAGCUUGAACACUUGCAUCUUCAAUUGUAAGCAGCAUUUUAGUAGUCGUGCAAGGAUAUUUCAACUCAAUCCCUUCAAUGGCCGGUUUCUCUUAGAUUUGGAUGGCACGUACCAAGGCUUGGAGGGACACUUGUUGGGGAAACCGGGUAUUUUCCCACUCAAAAUUACAACUAGUGAUUAAACCGAUUCAGUAAUUCCCAGGAAAGAUCGUUGAAACAAUCUCCUUAGACAGAAUUACCAUUCCAAGUAAAUUCCCAGGAAAGGCUGGAGGGGUCACAAGCGGUCCCACUUAAAACCCAGUCUCCUAGACAGAACUUACGUGUACGGUGUAUUAUCACAACUAUACCCGUGUAUACAUAAAUAAUACGUAAACACGAAUAAGAAAAUACACCCAAAAGAAUCGUACAAUACACUAUGAAUAAACCCGACAAAUAUAUAUUGAAUACUAUACUACAAUAGAAAAGAAACUAAUAAAUAAAUGCGGAACAAAUAAAAGAGAUAAGGAAAGAACGCACCCGAAAAAUUGAUAACGGAGUUCGGCCAAUUUUGCCUACUCUCCGAACACCACUCAAGCAGCCCGCUUUUAUAAAUUUUGGGAGAAGAAAGACUUACAAAAGAAUUACAAAAUCCUUUUUGGUGUAAUUUUUUUGUUUUCUUUUUCUUUUGGUACUUUUCAUUUGGUAGAACUUGAGAGUUAUUUAUAACUCUCAAGCCAUGCUCCUACCAUUAAUCCUACCGAUGUGGGAUUAAGAUUUCUGCCACCAAAGUCCACAAUUGUGAGUUGUGGAAAAAAUUGUCAAAGUCCACAAUUGUGGCUUUGAUUCAACACUAGAUGUAGUAAAAAACUAGAUGUGUCCACUAGAAUGUACUACAAGAGAUUAUUUUAUUGUGUGAAGUGAAUUGAUUUGCUCUUUGUUCAGCAGAAUUCAUGAGAUUGAUAAAGUUAGAACUUAUUGUUGACGUGUCCAUUCACAAAGAUAGUAGAUCGUGAGAUGAGGGAAAGUGUAUAGAUAUACAAUCGCAACAGAUCUGCAAAAUCCUUGUUCUUCGAGGUUUACGAGAUAACUCUGCAGUCUGCUUCUUCACUCAGUAUCAUCCAUUGUGCUAUUCAUCAUUCUUAUGCUAUCUAUUCUGUUGUUUACAGGUUGAUAAGCUGAUUUUGAUUGGUGCAAGUGUUCAUGUUGAAGGCACAGGGCUUCUGACAAAGCUACCCAAAUUUUUAGCAUAUGCUGGGGUAAACUCCUCUUCAUCCUCAUCGUCGUCUUCUUCUUCUUAUUCUUUUUUCGCCUCUUCUGGAAAGCUAAUCAAGGGAGUUAAGCAUCAGCGGUGCCCAUCAUAACAGAAAAGGAAUAUCAUUCUGAAUUUUGUAACAAAUUAUGUCAAGAGGACGAAAGGGUUUUCUGAAGAGCUCCAAUAACAACUUUUACAUUUUCAUGUGGCCCGAGACCUUUGGGAUUUAUUAUCUUUUAUCUCUGCAAAGAGAGCUAUAUUUCCUAAAAAUGUGUUGUACACUCUUGUUUUUACCCAGUCUUUUGUAGGAUAACAAUUUAAAGAGGACUGUUUUGGCACAUAUUCUGGUUCGACAGAAACGACAAGGAAUGUCUAUGAACAUCGUAUCUUUGAAUUCGUUCAUUAAUUGGAUCAAUGAAUCCAUUUUCUCAUUUUACUUCUUAGGACAUUUUGAUGAACAAAAUUUGGUCCUACCAGAUAAACACAAUCAGUAAUUAGUAUUGUCUAAGAGGAUGAAACUCAGGGACUUGGUGCAGCUCUAUCUUUGCUCUAAGUAAUGAAGAAGCUCUUAGAACAUGAUAAAGAGUCUUUUAUAGAGAAGCUUGAAUUUGUAGCCACGAAGAUAAUCAUUUGAGCAGACUUGAUGUUCUUAGACAAACUAGGUACUGCUUGUAUCAUCUUAUUUAUCAUGUUUGCAUCUCACGUAGACAUUUUUCAGGUCUCUUUGUUGAAAAGCCUCCCACUGCGGCUGUAUGCAAAUUUACUAGCUUUUGAUGAUAUAUCCUUGUCAACGUGCUUUGAUUGGACCAAUGUGAGUGUCCCUAUUGAUCUAGCUCGUAUCAAGCAUGGAAUUUUAUUACACUGAUUUUCUGCAGGUUCCUUGCUCUCAGCAGAUGCAAGUCUUGAGUGAUAGCCAUCUAACAGAUGCAUUCUGCUUGAUUGCCAAGCAGGUUGGCCGCCUACACUGUCUUUUGCCCUGGUGGGAAGAUGCUACAGUGAAUUACAUGCUUAGUGGUGGCUACAAUGUUGUUAAUCAAAUAAAGCAGGUAUAAAAUCUUCCAUGCUGUAUCUCCAUUAUCAAACAGAAAUUUCGUUAAUGAUUCACCUUGCGUACAUUCUAUGUUCAUGCCUUUGUGCAUGGAAACCCCAUGCUGUUUUGGGUACGUUUGUGGCUGACUAGUACAGCCAUCUUGUCAUCCUUUGACAACCAUUAAUUGAUAGUCUCGUUGUUAUGGUGUAUGAUUAAUAUAUUAUUAUUAAUUUAUUCCUUUUCUCUCACACAUUUGAGUUCUAUAUCUUGUAUUAGAACCAUAGGUUAAAGAAAUUGAUCCAAAAGUGCCAGUGAACAUACCAAAAAAUUGUGGGAGAUAAAUUUCAUUGUGGAAGCAAUUGAUAGACAUACAAGUAUGUGUAAAAGAAUAAUAAUAAUAAAUCAAUAAUAAUAUAUUAAUCACACAUAAUAGUAACAUGUUCUUCUCAAUUGAUGAUAAUAAUAAAACCCUCUAUUUAUAGAUGAUAUGAUUUGGCAAACAAGUCUUACAAUCACAAGAAAUUUUCCAAUAAAAUAAUAAAUUCGAGAUACUAAAACUAUCAUAACUAGGCACGAAUAGAAUUACUAAAAUAUUAACUUGACUAAAACAUGCUAAAUAAUCAUAUGAAAAUUUUUGCAUUUGAGCCUUGAUACAAUAUGCCAACUACCAUAUUAAAGGCCAAAAUCUUAAAAUCUACUUCCGCAAUUCAUCAUUAUUGACUAAAUGAUUUAAAGUGCUCACUUUUUGCAGGUGAACAAGAGAGUUCUUAUCAUAUGUGGAGAGUGUGAUAACAUUGUCAGCAAUAAGCUUGCAGUGGUCAGCUUCCAUCUAUUUGAGCUUUAGUUUUAAAGGAAAAGUUAUUUUUGUGGAUAAGCGCUAUUCAUAUGGAAAUUGUGUCGAAGCAACUAGCCAGUUUGAAUAGUGGUAAAUAUGCAUGGGUGCUUCUUUUUUAAAUUCUCCAAAAGAUGCACAAAACUAAAAGAUAUAUUUUUUGUGGAACAAAUUGACAGCAAAAUAUCUCAGAGAAAACUUCUCCCUCCUACAGAAAAAAAUAAAAUAAAAAAUCAUAGAGGUUGUUGUCAGGAUGGAGCUAGAAAGGAAAUUCAGUGGGAGCAAAGUUUAUAUAUGUAAUUUUACUAACUAUAAUACGAAAAAAAAUAUGUUUAACUAACAAUAUAUGCCAAAAGUGAUGUGUGUAAUUAAUGCAAUAAAAAAAUAUCUCCCAAAUCUCAAAUUCCUAAUAAAGAAUCCUUUUACUACCCUGAUAAAUUUUCUCUAGAUUUUUAUUAAGAUGAAAUAAAAAUUGAGCAAUGUUCGUGAGUUCGAAUCUGCAGUCAAAAAAGAUAAAAGAGCUUUUUUGUUCUAAGAGCACAUUAGAGUAGAUGAAGAAGAAGAAGAAUAAAUGUAAAUUGAGUCUCUUUCUUUGUUGAUGUCACUUAUUAUAGGUGUUGUUAAAUUAUUUGAAUAUAGAGACAUAUGAACAAAGUGUACACUCACACUGCUACUUCAGAUUUUGUUAAACAGUAGUGAAGGUAAUUUCAUCAAGUGUAGAGGUGAACCUAUAAUUUUAUAUGCAUAUAUGGAGAUUUUAGUGGGGACAAUUCUCUAGUACUUAAAUUUUACUGAAUGAUGGUGGAGGCAAUUUCAUAUGAGUUUGGGCGCAAAGCUACAGUUGCCCCCACUGACUCCACUUUGUCUCCGUCGUCAUCCCGGCCUCCGGCCUCCGGGGAGGUGGGCUAGAAAAGGUGGGAUUGAUCGUUCAAGAAGUGAAACACUCAUUUUCAACUCUUCCUGCAUGUUGCAUAAAUUGCAGAGACUGCAUAGUGAAUUGCCAGAUGCGAGUAUCCACCAGAUACCUGACUGUGGUCAUCUCCCGCAUGUUGAGAAGCCUGAGAUGGUUGCGAGGUUAAUCGCGGAUUUUGCUCUGUCCGGCGCACAUAAAGAGGAGCAGAAUCCAAUUGUCUUGAACUCGGCUGGGGAGAAAAACACAUCGUCGUUCAUUUGCUAAAAGCAGCAAACGCUUAGGGAGCAUUUUAGACUAACAGUCUAGCGCAGGCUUUAUGCAAGUAGAAUGAUGGCUUGUCUAAUUAUGGAUUGCUGGAUUCAUUUAGCCGUCUCUUUGAAGUAAAAAACAGAUAAUGAUAUAUAUCACCGGUGUAUCACCUCCUGCAUGCAUGUCUAUGUAGGAUAUGCCACAUGUCAACGAUUUAUUUAUAAAAUUAAAUUUAUAUAUUUUUUGAUUUAGAAACAUUUAUAUUUGAGUAAUUUUCAAUUUUUUUUUUAUCAAGUUCCUAAUACACAUAUGGAAAGCUUUCCCGAGGAAAAUAUAUACUCUAAUUAUAUUUACGUUUAUGCAGUUAAUCCUCUCUACCACCCCACCUUCUUCUUCCAUGAAUUCAAGUAGACUCCAUAAGCAUCUUUAAUUAUAAAUUUUGCAAGCUUUAGGGUAGUUUUACACAAAAUAUGAAAAUUAAUGAGGGUAAUCCAUACCUAUCAAAGUUUCGUAGCAAGAAUACUCCUGAUGUAUUCAGAACUCCAAUGAUUGAGGUAUGCUUUAUAGUUUUCUUUCUUUUUGUGCAUUUUUCGUAUUUGUUCAAUAAUUGAUUGAUUGAAGUGGAUAGUUUGAUCAUGGUGAUUUUUGUAACCAUAGGAUUUGAAAAAGGUUUUUUCCAGUAGCCAAUUAGGAUAACUAAAAUCAGUGAUCCUUUUUCACAUAUAAUGAUUGAAUUUACAUGUUUUUAUACGUUUAUUGUUCAAUUAAUGUUGUUCGAAGUAGUCAUACAUUAUGCAUUAAAUAGCAAAUCAAUCAAUUUCAAACCAAAUUGGUUUUAGUAUAUUGCCGUAAUUAGCCGGGAAAGAAACAUUCCAAAAUGAUAACCAGUUAUUAGUUUGGAAACUUACAAACAUCAAGCCUUAAUUGAUUUUGUGUAGGAAUUAUUUAUGGUAAGCUUGAAAAGAAUAAUUAAGCAUUAUAAAUUUUUUUAUUAAUUUGAUAUAUCCACAUAAUUAUUGCCAUGCCAUUUGUCCUUAAAAGUAGAAAAUGAAACCUUGUUACACAUUAUCACUCCGUAUAGCGCAUCAAAUCCUCUAUCCCGACAUUACAUUCUAUCUCAUCUAUGUUGUGUUUAUAUGACUGCCACGCAUAUUGAUGCGUUAAUAAUUCAAGCAAACUGAAUAGUAAAUAGAUCAAUUAUAUUUCCUCGAAGCAAAGUUGAAGGGUUCUUUCUCAUGGUGCAAUUCUAUCACCCACUUUAGGUGAAUAUAAAAAGUUCGGUUUCGAGCAAUUUGGGGUAUAUUAAUUCUUACACUAUGUUCAAAAAUAUUUACACCAAGCGAUGAGAAAUCAAAUGUACUUGAUUUGCACUUGAAUCCAACUUGUUUACAUUCAAAUCCAAUUUAUCUAUAACAAACUCCAACUUUUGGAUAUGUAAAAUGAUUUAUACACAAAUUCUACUUAUUUACGUUAGGCAUAAACUUGUAUGAAAUUGUGCCAGACAUAACUUGUGAGAUCCCAAAUCCAUAAUUAAUCCAUCCGUGGCAAAUAUGCCGUCGAAGACUAGGAGGAGAGCAAGCCCCAAAGACAAAGCAUGAUCCUUUUGCCAGGCCAUACCCAUAAUGUAAUUACUUUGAUGAUCAUUCAGGAGAUCAAGAUUCUAUGCCACUUGGAUUAUGCGUUGGUAAAUUCUGCAUUAAGCCAAGCCUAUUAAUAAAUGUUUUUGGUGUUACUCCACUUACAAGAAAUGAUUAUUACAGGUGAUGAUUUGGAUGGUGUUUAAUAACUUAAGUAAACACUCAUUGAACAAUUUGACAUGAAGGAUCUUGACUUUCUUAAUUAUUUUCUAGGUCUUGAUGUAUCUUUAGAUGCUAUUAGUUAGUACUCGUCUCAGGUUAAAUAUACUUCUGAUCUUUUGGCUUUACAGUGGCUUAACAGAUAGUAAGGCAAUUUCAACUCCAAUUGAGGCAAAUACUUAUCGAACUCCUCUAGAUGGCACUUUAUUGGACAGCCGUAUUCGAUGCUCUCAAAUGGUUGAUAGUCUUGUCUACCUGACUAUUACAUAGCCUGACAUUAUUUAUGUUGUUCAGAUCAUCAAUUUAGUUCACGAGUGCUCCUCGUUCUAUUCUUUAUGCUAUUGUUAUAUGAAUCCUUCGCUACUUCAAGGUACACUUUUUCAUGGUCUCCAUUUCUCAGCCCAUCUAACUCUUCAACUUCAUGUUUACUCUGAUGUUGAUUACGCUGGCGAUCCUACUAAUCAUCAUUCUACUACAGUCAUGGUUCGAAGUCUCGGCCGAGUCGUCACCGUCUCGAUCCCUACCGAUACGAUACCGUGACGAAACGAUACCGAGAUAUUUGACUCGCCGACAAAUCGGCCGAGACGUCACCGCGACGGAUUGACUCGGCCGAGUCACACCGAGUCACUCCGAGUUAUCCCGAGUCAAGACGAGAAAUUGGCCGAGUUACACCGUGACAGAUUGACUUGGCCAUUUCUUUUGCUAUUUUUUAUUAUUUUUGUUUAGCAUACUUUUUUAUAUUAUUAAUAAUUUUUAGAAUAUUAAAUAUUUUAAAAUUUGCGUCUCAUCGAGACCGCGACCGAUAUGCCGAAACCGAUGUGGAACGUUCCAAGGCGCGACCGUGACCGUGACCACGACUUUGAACCAUGACUACAGUCUUUUACUUGUUAGGUGAUUCUCUGUUUUCUUAUCAUAGAAAGAAAUAGACAGUCACAACCUGAUUUAGUUUUAAAGCUGAAUAUCGAAUUUUAACUGACAUUAGAAGGGCUAGUUUGGCCUCAUUGAUUUUUUUUUUUUUUUUUUUUUGUCAACAUUGCUUUCAUUAAACACAAAAACUCAAUGCCCAAUGCCUCUACUAAUAUUGCAAAAAUACCAAAUCUGCACUAAUUUGAAAUCUAUCAGGAGAAAAACAGAUUUUUAAGUCUUUAAUUGUUUAAGCGAUAAACAAACAGAGAGUACUCCAAAACAGCACGAACUUAGUAACCCCCUUUGAGAUCAUUGACCACAUCAUAUGGAAUUGGAGUUACAGUCCAUUUUGAUAAUCAUGGUGUUACAGUCAUUGAUUACUUGAAGACAUAGGUGUUACUCACUCAUCUCCUAUUAAUUACUGACCAUUUUGAUAAUCAUGGUGCUAUCCAAGCAACGCUGGUUUUCAUGAGCGCACCAAAUAUAUUAAGAUUGAUUGCGAUUUUAUGCAGCAAUAUCUUUUUCGUGGUAUAUUAUGCCCCUCUUCUAUUCCUUCAUUGGAUCGAAUGGCUGAUCUCUGCAUCAAAAAUUUUCUUCUGAUUGUUUUCAUGAUCUCAAGUAUAAACUUAAGCUAGUUUCUUUACAACCACCUUAAGUUUGAGGGGAUGUUAAUGUAAACAUGUUAAUAUGGAUAUUAGUGUAUCAACUAGUCUAUUAGCAUCAAUUAGGAAUUUCUUUAUGUAGACGAGUCUAGAUUCAAGGUAAUAUAUAUUGUGAGAAAUACAUUACAAUUAUUAUAAAUAAGGCCAUAUGUGCACAAUUCCUUUUAUAUUAUUAUGAGAAAUGCAUUACAAUUUCCCAAACUUCAACUUCUCUAACACAUAUCACAAAAAUUUUUUAAAAAUAUUCUCUUCACAGAUUUUCGAGUUAUCUUUUUAUUUCACAUAUACUUUAGCAUAUUUUUUCACAAAAAAUAUAAAAACUUGCAAUUUAAACAGGCUAUGAGAUCUUCAAGGCUUUUUUUUUUUUUUUUUGGCAUUAAAACCCAAGGAAGCUACGCGGCUGGUCGAGCAUCCACUCCAUGGCCCCCCGGCUGUUGGUUUACUAGAGCCCUCAGGUAAAUUUCCCUCUGGAGAUCUGCAAUAUUUAGAGUUCUUCCCUCCCGAAUAGCAGACAUAAUGGGUGGCAUGACUAUAGUCCGCCAGUUUUUGAUCAGAUGCCAGAUAUAAUAGGAGUCAUAGGAAAUUGUAGUGCUCCACGCCAUGACCACAAUAAGCACAAUCACACCUGUCUCACUCAACUUACCUCUAAUGUCUUUUGGUACAACCGCAACAAGUGAUAUAGCAUACGUUAAAAGUAGGCUCAUAAUUGCCACCGACAUAAUACGAAGUAAAACCACGAGCGAGACCAUGCUACUUCUAGUAAACCUCGUCUCGUCCAUGAGCAAUACAACUGUGGUCAAGGACGAAACAAAUGCUGUGCUAGCUGCCCGAAUCAGACGCCGGCAGAGCGCGGGAUGAGUCUUGGCCAUGACGGCUUCUCCUAUUUUAUGUGGAUUAGGUCCUUCCGAUAAGUCAUCUUGCCAUACCCCUCCUGGAGGGUUCACCACAACUUGAAAAGCCAUAGUUGCUAUGAGCGAAGCCACUACCAUAAUAGUUUUUCUGUUCUUUGCCAUCAGCACCCGGAACGUCUGGUCUCCAUUAAGAACGUCCUUGCCUCUUAAGGCUUCGGACUUUUGAAGAGAGCUUCGAAUUUCGGAUCUGAUUUUACCCUGAGCCGACAAAAGGUCUAAAGCUGUUUUCCCAUUUGCAUUCUUGAUGUUCACCCCAACUCUGGCCUCAUCAAGCAAGUAUUUGAUCGUCUGCAUUUCCCAAUCAUCAGUUUAUGUAGUUCUAAAUUCUAGAUCGAUCAAGGGUGGAUCCUUUCGGUUGUUUGUUAGACUAAGAAUCAGUACGAUGUAUUUGAAAUUAUCAAACCAAAUAAGAAAUUUUAAAAAAAUUGUUUAUCCAAUUAGCUUUGAGCUCGUGCAAUUGUGGUUUGGGGUUUAAGCUUUACUAAGAAAUUAAGUUUGGUUGAUUUUUGAGUAAAUGCAUUGUUGCAUUUUUUAUGGCAAAAGAUUUUGAACUUGUUUAUUGGCUUUGCUCCCUUGUAGGAUUGUAAGUGAAGCCCGAGUCCAGUUGGAAUCUUAACGUUAUGCCUAGUUUGGGGGUGCAUGAGAUACAAGAAGAGGGUUUCAGUUAAGAAAGGAAAUAAGGUUGAGGAAGAAUGACGACAUUUUUCAUGUUGUUUGGGAGUACCGGAAAAACCAAGGAGAGGAAGAGAUCAAUUAACGUAUUUAUCAUACAUAUCUUCAAAAAAUUGAAUUAUUUUUGGUGUUUGUUUUGAUGGACAAACGUGACAAAUCAAGGGCCAAGUUUUUCUUUCCUUUAUAUUUCAUCAUCCAUUUCUCUUCUUCUCUAUUCAGUUAAGACUCCUAAUAAAAGAAAAUGACCAAAUCCCUCUUUCUUCUGACCAUUUUACUUCAAUCCAAACUCAUUGCAAGUACUGACUGAGAAAACGUAUUUAGAGUCAAGUAGAGCUUGGGUGAUAGUUGGGCUCAACUCCGAUGAAUUUGACGCCAGAUCCCAGGUAAGGAUCACCGUGAACAUGGACUCUAUUUGUAAUUCCUAAGUCAUUCUUAGUGUAAUCCUAUUGACAUUUGUGAAUUUUUCGCGGUUUCCCCUAGAGAAAGACAAAGUCACGGCAAAAAAAAAAAAAAAAAGAACAUGAAAAAAGUACCUCAGUCUGCCUGUAGACUAUUGCCAUAUGUAAAAUUGUCAUGCCAUCAUCAUUCUUAGCAUUCAAAAGAUCGGGAUGAUCUAUCGCAUUCAAAGGAUCGGGAUCAUCUAUAGCAUUGACAACCAUCUUCAAUGCUUCCAGCCGACCAUACUUGGCACACAAAUGUAGAAUGGUCCCUCCGUCGUCUGUCUUUUCUCUAACUGCUUGGGGGGUGGAAUCAAUAAUUGCUUUCAAGACCUCUAGUUUGCCGCUCAUGGCAGCGAGGUGUAAAGAAUUCCUUCCAGCCUUAUCACGCAGUAAACACAUGUAAGAGUUCACCUUCAUAACUUCUUUUACGAACUCUACAUGCCCUAGAAAAGCAGCUGCAUGUAGAGGAGUCUUAUGUGGAGAAUUUAAAAUUGCUCGAUCAAGAAUGAGAGGGUCAUUUUCAAGUAACUCAGAAAGUUUAUGAACGUCGCCUUGUGUUGCAGCAUCAUACAGAGUUUUCUCCAUUAGAUCCAUCCAGCUUUUGUAGUUAGUGUGCCCCCUUACCUAAAGGCUUGUUUGAGGAAAACCGAUAGGCUUUGGAAGAGUUUUUGGUGGGGAUCCACGGAGGAAAGGAGGAAAAUGCACUUGGUCAAUGACAUCAAUUUGAGAAGAAAUGUCUCCAUUAAUAAGAAAUGUCUUCAGAAGGAACUUCAGCUGUUCAAGGAAGGGAUUACUUGGAUAGUCAGGAUCCAGGAACAAGGAUGACUAUGACUGGUUAGGAAAAUGACUCUUAGACAACUUUUGAUGAUACUCCAAUAUUCAUCCUGACUGCCAAGGACAUCUUUGAAUUUAACUUUACUUGGGAACUUAAUAAAAUAAAAUUCUUAUUCCUCAAUGGCUAGCUGUCCUCGUUAAAGCUAGCUUUGCUAAUUAGAAUGACUCUUUUUGACGGAAAGGCACUGCUGAUGGUCUAUUCUCCCUUAAGCUUGCCAUCAGUGUCUGAUUCCCAAACCUUUUCUGAAUCCCCUCUAACCUAUAGUCCAAAAUGGCUGUUAAGGACACUCAAAAGAAUGCAACUUCCAACAAUAUGCCCGUUCCUUGUAUUUCAACAGUUCGGGUAAUUACGUUGCUAGUAGCCAAUUACUGAACCUCCAAGAAAUGGUUAACUUCUGGUCAUCCAAAAGACCAUAUUCCAAGCGACUCGAUUGCCUCUAAAUAUAGGGUUUAUCUAAUGAGCGCUCAUUAGUCACUCAUUAAAAUAUAAUUCAGGUAUUAUACAUUUGAAAAAAUAAAUUUAAUUAGACAAAGUAUAUAAAAUAAAGAAGCGGGCUUCAACAUUCAUUUGAACCAAACGGUUAUAUUUUGUGCGGAGGAUACGUUUUCACAUGAUUAAUUGGCUGAAAGUUGCAUGGUGAGCGAAUCAUUUGGACUAGCACUAAAUUUUGUUGUCACACUUGCAAGGAUUAGAGUUGUAAAUACUUCCUGUUAUUAAUGGAGAACCAUUACCCACUAUUCCAAUUUAAGUAAUUCAUGUUACCUCAAAGUGUAGUUUCAAUUUGUUGCCUUCCGAUUGCAAAGGAUUGUUGUACUUUUCGUUUGAGCAAUUCUGAUCCUCUACCAAAAGUAUUUGCUGCUGCGCAAAUAACACCCUCUAUAAUUUAUAGUGAUCACUCCUGAUAUUUAUCACUAAUGAAGUUUUUGAAGGUAAAUACAAUAUAAUUAUGAGGACUUCACCUCCAAUCAAAUUUGAUAGCUUUUCCUUAUACUAUGUAAGAAGGAGUUUAAAUUUGGUCAAAGCAUGAAUUUAAAUUUCAACCAUAAGAAUAGGAGUAUUUUGGGAAUGUGAGUGCUUGGAGCGUGGUUGAGCUUAAGGUACAACUUAUGGCAGUAUGUGUUUCCUUGUGUUUACUAAAAUACCCUUUAUUCAUUUAAAUGCAUUGCUAAUGUGUCGAAGGUUAUGGGUACUUUGAGAAUACAAUAGGAAUUGGAGUGUAGUUGGACCAGUGGAUACAACUCAUGGUAGCUUUAGUUUUGCUAUUAUUACUUAGAAGUCCUUUGAUUCAUUUAUUAGCUUUAAUUUCUUAUGAAUUAAAUUAGCAGUUUCAAUUGGCUAUUUAGUAUAAGGAUUUCAGUACACUAUCGUUGUGCAAGGAGUUAAAUUAGCAAUUAAUAUUUUGUUUCUUGGUUUACACUAAUACCCUUAGCAAGGAGUUAAAUUAGCAAUUAUUUUUUGUUUCUUGGUUUACACUAAUACCCUUAGCUAUCAAGAUUAACCAUCAAAAAUCAUCUAUAUAUUAACAUAUGUUGCUGUUGCAAAAGAUGACCAAUUGAAAGUCUCCUAUUAGCUUAGGAUGCAUUUGAUAAAAUUAAAAUUUGAAAACAGAUGUCUGAAAUCUGAAAUCUAGAAUUUGAAUUCAUUAAAUUAUUGAAUUUUUAAAUACUAAAUUUAAUAUAUUUGAAUGCAUAUCACAUUCAGUGAUAAGUAAAUAGUUUAUCACUUAAUUUUGGAAACAAGUUUUGCCUAGAAAAUGAGUACCAUUGAAUUAAUUCAGAUAUUCAAUUUUUUUAUUAUAAAACGAUCUGAAUAUAUUAAAAUCUGAAUCUAUUAAGUUUAGGCAGACAUGUCCAUGUAAUAAAAUUUAUACUUAUUGAGUGCACAAAAUACAAAUCGUUAGAUUUUGUUUAGUUUGAGGUUCUUAAUUGUAACGCGUUCUUUAAUUAAGCUAUCAAACUAGUUUAGCUUCUCUUUAAUUUCGUGCCCUUUUUCAAUGGUUCCUUCUUUGGUUGUGUAAUAUAAGAUAGAAAAAAAGUGAUUAAUGCAAGUGUUCCAAUCCUUGGAGUUACAUGCUUGAACUUGCUUGAUUCCAAAUAAACUACACCUACUACUAUUUCCAAGUACACGUUAUUAGAAUUUAUACUAUUAAAUACUUAGUUAUUCAACAAAUUUGAUUGGUUAAUGGGGAGUCAGUCCUCGAUCACCACAUAUUUAUGAAAAGUAGCCAGUAAAUUGAGAAAAAUGUUUCACUCUAAUUGACAAUUAAUGUUACAAAAUUAAUAUCAACUGCAAGUAUAAUAAGUUCUUUUUUUUGUUUUUAAAUAAUCUUUUUAUUUAUUCAUGGAAAAUAGAACCAAAUAUUCCUCUUACAUAAUCCUCAUUUUUCUAAUUGAAGGUAUCCCUAUUCUGUCCAAACGGAUUGCCCCACGAGCCAACCUUGGGAAUUUACUGAAAGUAUCGUAAACCUCAAUUUGUUUAUUUGGAUGAGAUAUACCCACAUUAGAUAAAGCAUCAGCAACUGUGUUAGCCUCCCGAUAGCAGUGCGUGAAUCUAGGUGGAUCAUCUAAUAAUUGCCAAAUCUGGUUGACGUAUCUUCGAAUUUUCCACGGACACUGAGUACGACGUUGAAUGAUCCCAAUUAAAACCAAAGAAUCUGAUUGUACACAUAUGUUUCCAAAACCGUUAUGUAUACAGAUCUGAAGACCAAUAAGAAGGGCACAAGCCUCUGCACGGAGACAUGUAGUUUCUCCCAGAUAUGCCGAAAAACCAAUCAUUGGUAAUCCAGUAGAAUCCCGGAGUAUGCCCCCACCUCCACCUAUUCCUGGAUUACCCUUAGCACAUCCAUCCGUGUUAAGAGUAUACCUCCAUGUCUCUUUGGUUUCCCAGCGGAUACGUUGAUAAACAACCGUACCCCCAGGUGCCUUUGACCAAUCAUACAAUUGACAAAAGGAUUGUAGUCUUAUCAAUUGUUUAAAAUGUAUUCCUACCAUGGAUUGGAUUUCUGAGAAGAUGGCUUGGCGAAUGGCCGAUGAUUGCAUCUGAACACCCUCAAACAUUGCUUUGUUCCUUUCCUUCCAAAUCUGCCAGCAAAUUACACUAGGAAGAAUACGGCAAAUAAUCUUUCGUAACUCAGAAUCCUGUGAAUUCAACCACCAAUCAACUAUGCGUGCUCGUAGAAAAGAUCCUGAGAAUUUUAUUCCACAUAACCCUCCAAAAUAAUUCCAAAGGAAUGACGCAAUGUGUCCAUUGGAGAAUAAAUGCUCAAUAGACUCCUCGGAAGGCUCAGUACAGCAAAAGCACUUUGACGGCAAAUGGAAACCAAAUUUACGAAGCUUAUCCGGUGUCGGUAUUCUCCUCAGAAGUAAUCUCAACAUGAAAAAUGAAACUUUCAAAGGUAUCAGAGGGUGCCAAAUGGAAGCAAAUACCAUAGACGUGGGUCGGGUCUGCCUAAUGUCCCCAAAAGCCGAAUGUAGAGAGAAAUUUCCAGUUGUUGUAGGCAUCCAAAAGACUACAGCUAUACUUCCUUCUUCUGGGACCAUUUGUUCUGAGAUGGAAUAAGCAAUUUCCUUUGGCAAUGUGUGGUAUAGAAGAUUCAAAUCCCAAUGGCCGUUGUUUACGAAGUUUCGGAACGUCAAAUUUGGGAUAACUGGAACCUUUAGAAACAAUGCACCACUCCCCAACCAGUUAUCGUACCAAAAAUGACACGCCCCAUAUUUGGCCACCCAUAAUAUUGAGAGUUCCACUUGCCGACUCACAUUGAGCAUCCUUCGCCAAAUUGCCGAAUCCGUUGGCCUGAGUUCUACCUGACAAGGGUGCAGACAUUUACAAUACUUUGCUUUCAUGAAGGUCGACCACAGUGAUGAUUCUGUUCGGAAUUUCCACCAUAACUUGGAGGAAAAGGCUGUGUAGACGUCACAUAAUCUCCGAAAUCCAAUUCCCCCUUCCUCAACUGGAUAGCACAAUUGAGGCCAACGUAUCCAAUGAAACUUCGAUUCCUCGGGUGAGGAUCCCCAGAGGAAUGCCGAGCAUGCCUUUUCUAUAGUUUUAAACACCGAGCUGGGAAUCACUGCAGCUGACAUUAGGUGAACUGGUAUUGAAGAUAGUACAUGCUUGAUUAGAAUAAUUUUUCCUCCAAAGGAAAGUAACCUUGAUUUCCAAGACAGAAUCCUUGCUAGUAUUGCGUGACAAACUUCUCCAAAAUAAGAUGAUUUGCAUCUUCCAAUGUAGAGCGGAAACCCUAAAUAGCGUAUUGGAAAUGACUUGCGGGCAAACCUAGAGAUGCGAUCAAGCAGCCGUCGUCUUGCCAUUGAUACAGAUGGAUGAACCAGAUAACAGCUUUUUUGUACAUUUAGUAAUUGGCCCGAGCAUCUUUGAUAAUCAUCUAACACUUUCAUGAUAGCCUUCAGGGAAAAUGAGGAUCCAUUUGCAAAUAUAAGAACAUCAUCCGCAAAUGCCAAGUGAGUAAUAGACGGGCAUCCAUAUGGAGCUUUGAAACUCACGAAUCUUGGUUGCAUGACAAGAUUAUUCAGUGCUCUAGAUAACACCUCUGCCCCUAUAAUAAAUAAUGCUGGUGAUAAUGGGUCCCCCUGGCGGAGUCCUCUCGAAGACUUGAAAAAACCAUAUGAGGAUCCAUUUAUAAUGACGGAAAACCAGACAUUAGAAAUCAGUCGCCAAACCAUAUCAAUGAAUCUCUCACCAAAACCGAACCUUCUCAGAACAUUUAUAAUAUGACUCCAUGCCACUCUGUCAUAUGCCUUAGACAUGUCUAGUUUCAUAACCACAUUUCCACCUCUAUUCUUUUUCGCCAUACCCGAUAUCACCUCCUGUGCAAGUAGGAAGUUUUCGGUUAUAUUGCGACCCUUCACAAAUCCUGUCUGCUGGAGAGAAAUAAUUUUUGGCAAUAUUCCCGCCAUUCUGUCUGCCAAGAUCCUUGAUAAUAGCUUGUUGAAGAAGUUACAUAGGCUGAUGGGUCUAAAUUGAGAAAAAUCUUGAGGAUUUGGCACCUUCGGAAUUAGAACAAUUGAAGUAGAGGUGAUGAAACGAGGUAGCUCUGCUCCACAGAAAAAACUGAGUACCGCCUUGUAGACAUCUUGGGCGAUUAUUUGCCAUGCAAAAGUAAAAAAUUUUCCCGUGAAUCCAUCUGGGCCAGCAGCACUUUCUUCAUCCAUUGCCUGCAGGACUCUAUAGACCUCUUCAAUUGAAGGGAUUUCUUCCAACUUCACAUUAUCCUCUCCCGAAAUCAUAGGUGGAAUGAGAUGUAGCAUAUCUGCAGAUGAUCCCAAAGAAUCCGAGAAAAGUUCAGAGAAAUAGGUGGUUGCUUCACUUGCUAUAUCAGCUUCAUUGUCCACCCAAACACCAUUGGCUUUUUUGAUACGAUGAAUCAUAGCUUGAGCCCGUCUCUGUCUUACUAUCGCAUGAAAAUACUUUGAAUUAGUAUCUCCCUGUCGAAGCCAUUUUACCCUAGCCUUUUGCCUCCAAAAUUGUUCUUCAAUUGAUAAUGCAUAUCUCAGCUCCGCGUGAGCCUUUUUGAGUUCGAUCUGGCACUCCUCCGAAUCAUCUUGAUCUACCACUUCUUCUGCCCGUUGCACCGCCAUUUCUGCAGAUCGCACAUUAUCGAUCACGUUUCCAAAGUGUUCUUUGUUCCAUGUCUGAAUAGCUUUUCUUGUUGCCAAUAAUUUAGAACAUAGAGCACGCAUCGGAGAUCCAUUGACAUCUUGAGUCCAAGCUUGGCGUAUUACCUCCAAGAGUUGUGGUUUAGUUGUCCACACAUUCAAAAAUCGAAAUGGACGCGGCUUAGUAUCUGAUUGAGCAACAAAUGAGAGCUUUAACGGUGAAUGGUCAGAUGGAUGUCUAGCCAAGUGAAUGACAGAAAUGUUAUGAGAAAGAUCCAGACAUGCCCCGUUGACUAAGAACCUGUCUAACCUCUUUGAAAUCCGAGCUCUACUUCGUCGAUUGUUUGACCAUGUAAAAUUGGGUCCUGAGAAGCCUACAUCGAAUACUCCAGCCUCCUCCAUGAAAGACAGAAAUUCCACUCCUUCUGUUAUAGCAAAUGGACGACCUCCCCUUUUUUCAUGAGGUGCUACAAUAACAUUAAAAUCACCCCCAAUACACCAAGGAAGAAAACUAGGCUUAUCAGCUAACAAUGAGGACCAUAACUCACGCCGCUCGUCAACUGAGCAUAUUGCAUGAACAAAGGACAAAAUUAUUGGAGAAGGAAUUAGGGGACUUUGUACAUGUAGAGAAAUAUGCUGAUCCGAAUUACCAACAAUCGAGCAAAGAAAAGGAUUAUUGUAGAACACCCAAAUAUCACUUGAACAAUUAACAAGCACGUAAUCAAAUAAUAGACGUAGACGAAUGGUUUGUAUUUUAGAUACGUCUAACUUUGGCUCACAAAUCACAACAAAUUGGAGAUGAUGUGUCCGUACUAAAUUGAUUAAUCUUCGUAGAUUAGGUGCUUUAGCUACUCCUCUAAUAUUCCAAAAAAUGCCAUUAAUCAUGAGAAAGAACCUGGAAUGAGUUUUUGGAUGAUGUCUCUGACCGUGAGCGCAAAAUUCUGUCGGUUUGCAGAUUAGCCCUCAAACCUUUUGUCCUUUUUUGUUUGGGAUUACGGUCAGCCCCCCCUGAUUGAUCAAGACUUGAAGAAGGACCAGAUGAUUCAGUCAAAUUUUCUUGUGGGACACCCGGUCUGGGAGACAAAUUUCCUGCAACAGUUGGUGAAUUAACCUCCACUAUCCCAUGCUCUGUAGGACCGAAAUUCUCCACUCCUCGCAACUCAACAUAGAGAUGCUCCAAAGAGUUAUUGUCGGCCAUGGACUGAAGUUUCUCUUUUGAUGCUUCAGACGAUGUAGCUUGGGUCCCUUCAUCAUUUCCAUGGGUCUGUUCUGAAUGCUUUUGCAUUAACAAUUGUUCCCCAACAAGUGCUUGCUCUCUCAUAUGAGCCGUAUUCAAAUUCCCUUGCACAUCAUAUGUUGUCGGCUUGGAUGCAGCAACUAUCACCACUUGGUGAUCAGUAUUUAGAUGAUGAAGAGUAUUUUUGUCGGCCUUACUCUGAAGUUUGUCUGUGGGAUUUAUAUUAGUUUCAAAACGGGUCCCUUGGUAUUCAUUCCCGUGGACCUUCUCCAGCUGGUUUUCCAUUUCCCUUCGUUUCUCACGAACUGUCAGCUCCAUUGCAAGAUCAUUUUGUGGUUGUUCAAAUCCAGCAGAGGACAGCAACUUAGUUACUCCAAGCUGAAUUAGGUGAUCAUCAGGCUUAUUAACUUCUUGAACCUUUGUGGCAGUACAAACUUCCUCCACCACUGCACCUUUUAGUUUUUCCGCAUAAUUGCCCAUCUCAGUAUGCUGCACUUCGUCGGAAUCAGUCACGGCAUCUGUUGUUUUUUCCAAGUUAGCAUCUGGGUUUUUCACGAGGUCUAAAUUAGACACUUGAACAUUAUUAACUUCUAACGAUAGAUCCGUCUGCAGCUUUGUGUUAUGCUUAUAUAGAUACCGAGACCCAACCUCAGUUACGUUCUUCUUGCAUUGCUCUUGGGAAUGACCCAAACGUGAACAAGUUGAACAAUACAAUGGCAUAUUCUCUGGCACAAUCCUUUGCCAAAAUCCAGACUCCCCUUCAACAGCCACCCAAACUCUUUGUGUAAAAGAUUUCGCUACAUCGAGCUCCACACAUACCCUGGCCAAACUUGGUCGAGUCCCAGCUGCCGUUGCCGAAUCUAGAAACAGUGGUCUUCCUACUGGAGAAAGUAUGGAGAAUAAUGAAUGUUUGUCGAAAUAAUGAAUGGGCAGAGCUGGAAGAACUACCCAAACCGGAGCCAGAGAUGAUUCCCUAAGCACAUGAAACUCCCUUGUCCAUCUAAACACACGCAUCGGAUAUUUACCCAGCUGCCAAAUCCCUCUCAUCCAAAUUCUGUUGAAGUCAGCUUCAGCCAUGCACUUAAUGAGAACAUGCCUAUAGUCCAUCAAUCCAAUAGAAACAUGAUCCUUCAGGUUUAAAGAAGCAAAAAACUUUCGAAUGUCUUCCAAAGACGGUCGGCCAUGAGAAAAUUUUCCCACCAAAGCCCAUUGAAACGGCGCUGCAAGUUUGUCUGCAUCUGCUUUAGAAAAAACUACCGCAGCUUCUCCCUUGUAGACAGAAGCCUGCUGAAUGUGGAUAGGCGAUGUAGCCGGCUGAGAAAAAAGUUGAGAAAAAGAUUUUUUUUUUUGUAGGUGAUAAUCCUUGCCCCUCAGCCGACGGCUGAAGGGCAGCCAUGAAAUAGUUGAGAAAUUAGAGAAAAUAAUAAGAGAGAAGGAAGAGAGUUUUUUCUAGAGAGAAGAUAUUGUUUACUAUCUAAGUAUAGUAUAAUAAGUUCAAGAUAACAAAAGAGCUUCGAAAACAUACUAAUAGUCGCGGAGCCAAAAAUGCAAUUCAGUGAGGGCGAAUGUAAUGUGUAAAUGUAACCGUGCAAGUAUUGAGGUAUAUAUGUUUACCACAUAAUUUAAACAAUAUACUUGAACAAUUAUGUAGACAAUCACUAUGUAGAUUUCUUUCUUCUUUUUUUUUUUUUUUUUUUUGCAAAAGUGAAAUGAAGAAAAAGCAAUUUUUUUGAGUUUCAAUCACAGUUAAAAAUUUGACAAAAUUUUACAAAUGUAUUUGUGUUUUUAAAGUGUAUUGAGAAUGAAGUCGAAAAUGAGUAAAAGUAAAAUUUAGUCUUUGUUUGUGGUUUUAAUUAAGUGUAAGAGGUGAAAUGUGCAGUUAUUUAUUUAUUUAUAAAUUGUUGACUUAGAAUAUCACAUAAAUAUUUUGUUGAAGAUUGAUGGCCAAUAUUCACUAAAUGUGGGCGCAUAGUUAUUAAUUUACACAUAUAAAUUAAAGAUUUUGAUUCGAUUCAAGCAGUUAGGGCAAGUAAGCAAUAUUUUAUUAAUGUUGAGCCAACCGUUUUAAUUUAUACAUAUAAACUAAAGAUUUUGGCAGGAUUAGUGGAGGCAAAAUUGUUAGUUUACACAUAGUGUAGUUUACUCUAAAUCCGUCUCUGCCUACAAGUUUCUCUAAUUUUUUACCAAAAACAAUACAAGUUUCUCUAAUCAAUUAUUGUGUAAUCCAAGGGAUAGUCCACUUAUACUUUGUUUAUUCGUACUUAAAAGUUUUUGUUUCUAUUGUUUGGCUCGUAUACUUUUGUUGUUAGGUCCAUGUUACUUGUGACCCACAGCGGAAAAGAAAAGGACAACAAGCUUCGUAGGUAUCUAAAACUUCGACAUAUUUCGCGCGAGUUUGUCCAUCGAAUAGUCAAAUUAAGACUACAAUAACGACUUUGGUCAAAGAAGUUCAUAGUGAAUAUAAGAAAGAAGUUCAUCCUUUUUUUCUCAUAGAAAUUAACGUUUCAUUCACAAGCUCUGCAAUAAUGUAAUAGCAGAAAAUACAUCAUCAAAUAUAUCAUAGAAAUAUUAGAUUUGAAAGAUCUACAAACAUAGCAGAGUUGAACAAAUUACGAAUAUUACAUAGUAAAUAUCCAACCUACUAUAUGAUACUAUCAAUCUUUCUGAGUCUAACAAACAUAUAUGAUAUAUACAUGUCUUCUCUCACCAAAUCUAUUAUUUAACUACUUUCAAAUCCAUAUAUCAAGUUGAUAUCUGACAAAAUAAAUUUAGAAUUUUCAAAUCCGAAUUGAAGAAAUUGAGUGGGGUUUGAGGGGAAGCCUUGGAUUUGGAGUAAUAAAUGGGAUAACACAUGAGAGGUAAAGGAAAGACUGGAUAGAGUUCUGAUGGAUAGUGAGUGGAAGGAGACCCAUGCAAGAGCAAAGUGCACUCACAUUCAUGUUGAAGCAUCGGAUCAAUGUAUGAUGUCGGUGGAAACUGAACCAAUAAAAAGAAAUUGGAAAAGGAGAUUCUAUUUUGAUAGGAAAUGACUUGAAUAUCAAGAAGUAGGAGAGGUAGUUGCAAAAGCAUGGGGAAACAGGCAGGAGGGUUCCAGAUUUUUCAGACUUCAGAAUAAAAUCAAAGAUUGUAGAUUUGAGCUCAUGAGAUGGAACAAAAAGUUAAAGGGUAAUGCCAAGAAGGACAUUGAGGUACUAAAGCAGAAAAUCACAGAUAGCAGGCAUGCAAGGGGGCCUAAUGCAAAAGAGGAAACCAAUUAUCUGCUAAAAAAGCUUGCUGAUGCCUAUAGAAAAGAGGAAGUCUUCUGGGGACAAAAAGCUAGAGUAAAGUGGCUUCAGGAGGGAGACAAGAGUACAAGUUAUUUUCAUGCUGUGGUUGAGGCUAGGGAUAUAAUCUACUCGCGAGCAGUUCGGUCAAAAACUUGACUCGAACUCGGGUUGACCGAGUUUGAGUCGAGUUCGAGCGGCUCGAUAAGCUAAACGAGUCGAGUUCGAGCAUCCAGAAGCAAUGCUCAAAGGCUCGUCGAGCCUUAUCGAGCCUUUUAAUUUUAAUUAUUUAAUAUAUUAUUAUUGUAAAAUCACCCUUAUACCUAAAAGAAUUGUUGAAUUUACGAAAUGUUUCAAGUCGUAUAAAAAUUUUAAAAGGGCAAUAAUGUCUUUUCACUCAAAAAUUAUCAAGAAAAUGAAAUCUAAUAACUCGAGCUCGAGAGUACUGCAAGCAUGCUUCAAGCUCAAGCUCCAAUAAUACUACUCGCUCGAGCUCGAGCUCACCUUUUUUGUAUGUCGAGUCGAGCUCGAGUAUGGUGAUACUCGAGCUCAACUCGACUCGAUUACAGCCCUAGUUGAGGCCAGACGAAGGAGAAAUAAAAUAUCGACACUUCAGAUGCAAAAUGGAUAUUAGUGUAAUACUGAAUUUGAGGUGGAGAAGGAAGUAACAAACUACUUUGACAACCUGUUUAAAGCCUCACAGUUGAGCCAAGUUGAUGUAAUCCUUGAAGGAAUUCCUCAAACAAUUACCACUCAGAUGAACAUGAGGUUAACAAGACCUAUUACAGAAUGGGAGGUCAGGAAGGCAGUGUUCUCAUUGCAUCCAAACAAGGCACCAUGGCCAGAUGGUAUGACACCAGUGUUUUUUCAAAGAUUUUAGAACAUCAUAAAAAGAUGAUCUAACUACUGCAAUUUCUAGCUUUUCCAUUCUAGCCACCUUUUGCAGUCUAUCAAUGAAACCAUCAUUACUUUAAUUCCAAAAACUGAAUUUCCUGUGAUGGUGUCCCAAUUUAGGCCUAUAAGUCUAUGUAAUGUUGUGUAUAGAAUCAUGGAAAAAGCUUUUGUCAAUAGAGUUAAGCCUUUACUAAAACACCGUAUCAGUCUUAACCAAUCUGUGUUUAUACCUGGUGGACAGAUUCUGUGUGACGACCCCACCUCUCCCUAGGGCAUAACCCAAGGGUUCGGUGGACCGCCUGCCUAGUUCUCACCAGAACUCACUCACUCACAUCAAGAAAAUAGGGUGCAACCUCAAGAAUAAAGGAAAUAACAGUUCCCAAGUUUGGAACAUACAGAUAUAUUCAUUUCUAUAUCAAACAUCCAUACAAUCCCAAAUAUAUCAAAAGAUUUAAGUUCUCAAUACAUUCAACCCGAAUUGAGCAACUAGUGCGAAUACAAUCGCAAAAUUUCAAAAAAACUAGACUAUGCUAACCUGUACCAGUCUCACACCUCGCUCAUACCCCCUGUAAGAAAAACAAAUGGCGUGGAAUGAGUUAAAAGCCCGGUGAGGUUCCCAAACAAGUAAUUAGGUAUAGAAAUUAGGGAAACGUUACAUUUAACAACUUGCAUAUUUUGCACAGUAAUAUCCAGUCAUUCAAGAAAUAAACACUCAAUUAUUGGAAGGAUGCGUGCUCACUUAGAACCAUUCAUUCAAGUCAUUCAUUCAUUCAUUCGCCCAUCAUUUUCCUUAUUCCUUUGACAUUAGAAAACAUUUGCAAGUGAAAAUUCCUCCAGUUUAUUGACAUUUAUUCAUUGAUUUCAUUUCCCGCCACUAGCCAAUGAAUUGGCUAGUUCUCCACCAACUUUCAUGGUCAUACUCGAGUAUACCAAAACACUGUCCCAGGGUCACCAGCCACCCGACCGAGUCCGUUUCUGGCUUGAGUCGACUGGUAAUGAAGGGCAAGGGCUCAAUUCAGCCAAAAGACUUGCAUUCAUGCACAAGUAGCAUUCAAUCAUUGAAAAUUCACUUUGGCUUGGGUUGAGUGCGAUAAAGUAUACACUCGCCCAUCCAAAAUCCAUUUAGCAAUCCUUAGAAAGCAUUUAACAUUCAAUCAAAUAUUCACAAAUAGGCACAUAGUCACUUAUUGUACAAACACACAAGGAACACUCACCUAUCUAAGCCAAAAUAAUGUCAAAAGUUUCCUUCUGGAUUAUGCCCUUGAUCACCGACAAGCCCUAAGAAUAACCAAUCCCAAAUUGAAGUGAGCAAAUGUAAUUCAAAGUUUUCGAGAUAAAACUAACACUUUUCAUCUUAGUUGAUACCAAAUCUUGGUCAAAAACAACUCAUAUACUACUAUUAAAGUGCAUUUAAGGAUACAUGUGUAAUUUAAGAUCCAACUAACCCUAAAAUCAAACCUUACAUCUUACUAAUAUUCAUAAGAGCAAGUAAUAGAAAUUUGGGUAGCAUGCCCUUUGUAUUUAACUAUUUUCCAGCCACUUAGGGCUUCAUUUCUUUCCUCAACUCAACCCAAAUUCACACAUAAGCAAUCUUAACACAAUAGCUCUUCAACUAGGCUUAAUAUCAUCCAAUUACAAGUCAAUUCUACCAAUGAAACCACCAAGACCAAAGCUGGAAACUAGUUUUAAAGACAAAUAGCUAAAUAAUAGGUUUGACAUCUUCCGGAGUUUUGGUGACAAUUGAAGCUACGCUUAUCAUAUUGGGGUAAAUUUUAUGGUGUUUCGAAGCUAAGACAGAGGCCUACAUUUUCUAUGAAGACAUCGACACCCAGUUCGUGCAUUUUCAAGGUCAAAAUGUGAAAUCUCAAAGAAAACAGAAAGCUUCCUGUGAAAUAGGGCUUUUGGCAGUCAGCGGUAAUUUAGUCAUUUCACAAGAUACAGUGAUCCGAUUGAGCUGAAAAUUUUCAGGUAGAUAUUUAACUCCAUUUCAUACAACUUUCAUGUUUUGAGUAAGACCUUAUUCGGCCUUUAUCAUGGACGAAUAUGCAGUGCAGAAACAGGACAGAUUCCACUACACUUGCUGGCAUUUGAUGUUUUAAUGCUUAAAAUUAACAUUCAUGCCUUGAAUCACUACCCCAAGCCCCUAUCCAAGCUCAUCAUCAUCAUGUACUAGCUAAACAACAAUAAUCACAACUGAAAUUUUCAAACCCUAGCUUAACAUUCCACAAUAUCAUUCAAAACUAAAUAAUUAACCAUAGGAAAUCAAGAACACAAGUUUAUCUCCCAAUUUUAACAAGAUUAAGCACAAGAAAAGGAAAGGAAACCAUUAUACCUUACAAGAGCUGCUUGUAAGUGAAAACCAAACCUCUUUCUUCCAAAACUUUUACCACACAAAGCUUGCAAAACACCACAAGGUAAGUUUAAUCGGUUUAGAUUUUGAGAUUUCACUCAAACAAGAUGAAUUCAAGGUUGAAGUUGCUAGCUUUCCUCACUUGUUUUUCUCUCCUAUCACUCUCGGCCAAGACUAGCAAGAAAUGAAGAAAAAUGAGCCAAGAAGAAAGAUAAGAAGAUAGGAAAUUUGCUUGGUUAAAGUCAACAAGUGUCACACUUUGAUUUGUGGUCAAUUUUUUUUUCUUUUCUCUCUUUUUCUUGGUCCAAAAUUUUGGUUGGCUUGAGGAUAUUUUGGGGCUGAUUUUUCUCAAUUAAUCACAUGGAGAUUAAGGUAAUAAAAUGGUGUUCAAGUGGUGCACUCAAUCGGUAGCAAACGGUGCACCAAGCUUAUUUUUCGUAACUCGCGUGUACUAGGGUUUUAACCUAUGAUUCACUAACUUGUUAAUAGUACUUCUAAUCACACACUUUCUCUUAUCUAAAACUCACUCUUAACUACCAAAUUUAGUACCCACACCUCACCAAUUAAUUACACUACCAAAAUACACGAAAACCCUAAUUUAUCCUAACGAUGAAAGUAAAGGGAAACUCUUAAUUCUAUGAUUUAUUGCAACUAUGAAGAAGGUAAAUGAGUAGUAAAGCUAUUAUAAAGUAAUUUAUUCAAAAUAAAAGGAAAUUUUAAGAAAAUAAGAAGAAUUUUACGAGUCCUCACAUUAUGGACAAUGUGGUAAUUGCUCAUGAGUUUUUUCAUUAUCUAAGUACCAAAAGAGCUGGAAAAGUAAUGCACAUGGCUCUUAAGCUAGACAUGUCCAAAGCAUAUGAUAGAGUCGAUUGGGUCUUUUUGGCAAAAAUUAUGCAGAAAAUGGGAUUCUAUCCGAUGUGGAUCUAGUGGGUGAUGAAAUGUGUAUCAUCUGUUAGCUAUUCUUUUAAUAUUAAUGGAGAGAGAAAGGGUUAUGUUAGACCUCAAAGGUGACUUAGACAAGGAGAUCCAUUGUCACCCUACUUGUUUGUGAUGAUUACUGAAGGUCUAUCUAGUUUGUUGCAACAUGCAGUGCAAUGUCAAAAACUAUUUGGACUGCGAAUAGCAAAGGAGUGCCCUGCAAUUUCUCAUCUGUUUUUCGCAGAUGACACUCUUAUUUUCUACAGGGCAACAAAGGAGGAGGCACAACAGGUAAUGCAGAUUUUAAAAAUAUAUGAAAAUGCAUCUGGUCAAAUGAUCAAUGCUGAUAAAUCAUCUGUGCUUUUUGAAAAAAAUAUGCAAAAGGAUAAAAAGGAAGAGGUGAUAGAGGUGCUAGAAGGCAUGAAGCAAAUACAACAGAGUAGGUAUUUGGGCCUACCGGUGGUAAUAGGAAGGACAAAAAAACAGGUGUUCAGCUAUAUAAAGGAGAGAGUGGUGCAUAGGUUGAAGGGGUGGAAGGAAAAACUGUUGAGUCAAGCUGGUAAGGAAGUAAUGCUGAAAUCUGUCAUACUAGCAAUGCCUACAUAUGCAAAGGGAUGUAUUAGACUGUCAAAAGGAGUCUGUGUUGAUAUAUGUAAAGAGAUGGCAAAGUUCUGGUGGGGUGGAAAUGACAAAGAUAGGCAGAUUCACUGGUUAGGAUCGGAGAGACUCACAGAUGUUAAAGGAAAUGGAGGAUUGGGUUUUAGAGAUCUAAUGGAAUUCAAUACUGCAAUGCUGGCAAGACAAUUAUGGAGGAUUUUAACUAGGCCAAAUCUGAUGAUGAGUAGGAUACUGAAGGGAAGGUAUUUUAAGGGGGAGUCAAUCUGGAAGAUGAAAAUUCAUGAGAGUGACUCUUGGAUGUGGAAGAGUGUGCUCAGUGCAUGUGAGUUGCUGGAAAGGGAAGCAAAAAAAAGAGUGGGAGAUGGGUGUACAAUUGAUGUAUGGGCAGAUAGGUGGCUACCUGAUAGAGGAAAAGGGGUGGUUACUACAGUAAAGCCUCCUGGUUGCUCUAUACGAAAAGCAAAUGAGCUUAUUCAGAAUGGGGAAUGGAGAAUGGAGCUCAUGAGGUCCAUUUUUAAUGAGGAAGACUGCACGAAUAUAAAAAAAUCCCUAUUAGUAUCUGCAAUAGCAAGGAUCUGGGAAGUAUACUAUUAAGACAGGAUAUGUUUUGGCAAAGGAGUUGCACAAACAAAGGAGUAGUAGGUAUGAAAUGAUCAGAAUGCAGGUGGAGGGUGAUAGCAGAAAUGAGCGAAAUACAAAGGUUUGGAAGUUCAUUCGGAACCUAAACAUGAAGCAUAAGCUGAAACAUUUUAUAUGGAAAUGUCUGCACAGGAUCUUGCCAGUGAAUGAAGUAAUAAAGAGUAGAACUGGGAAAGGGGAGGACAAGUGCUUAUGUUAUGGAGAGGGAACUGAAACACUAGAGCAUAUGUUAUUUUUCUGUCAGCAGGCAACAAUGAUAUGGAAGGAUGCACCUGUGAGAUGGGAUGGAAUGGAACAUUUUAGGCCCAAUUUCUGGUUAUGGUGGAACAGCCUAAUGGAUGCUCAGCAGAGAAAGGAUAGAAGAGAGCAUAUAGUGUUGACAGUAAAUAUUCUGUGGCAGGUAUGGAAGGCAAGAAAUAAAGUUCAAUUUAAUAGAGAGAAAAAAUGUCCUAGGAUGAUAAUUAACCAAGCGGUGCAAGAGUGGCAAGAGUAUGAGUUGGCCAAUCAGAAAAUAAGAGGGGCUGAACAAGAAACAGGUCCACAAAGUCAAGACAGAUGGACACCGCCAAUAGGAGGAGUUGUAAUGCUCAAUACGGAUGCAGCAACUGAUAUAAAGCAUAGGAAAGCUAGCUGGGGUUUCAUAGCUAGGAGGGGAGAUGGUGAUAUUGUUGGAGCUUGGGCUGGUAUUGAAAAAAGAUGUAGUGAUCCUGUUGUGGAAGAAGCUUGUGCCAUUAGGAAAGCUUUAACGGUGGCAUUGCAGGAAGGAUGGGUGAAUAUUGAAGUACAAUCUAAUUGCAAGAUAGUAGUAAGCAAGAUCCUAGAUGAAGACAUAAGGGAUGCAAAGAUUGGAACGCUAGUUGAAGACAUAAAGCUGUUAAAAAACAACUUCAGAAAUUGCAGCUUUUCCUUCAUUAGACGAGAAGGAAAUGUGGCCAGUCAUAGUUUGGCAAGGUUUGCCUUGAACUUAGUAGAGGAUGUCUACUGGAAGGUUUCCUUCCCUCUCUGGUUAAUUAGAUUAGCUAGGGAAGAUUUAGGAGCAGUUGCUCCAGUUUUGUAAGCAAACUUGCAAAAGUUGUUAUGGUGCAAUUUAAUAUACCGUUUUACGUUUGAAAAAAAAAUUGAAAAGAAAUUGAGAUUUGAGAAAGAAAAACAUAUAACUAAUAAAAACUCUCACAAGGAAUCUUAGGAGAGAAUAAACUCUCAUAAAAAAAAUUCUAGAAGACAAGAAUUCUCUCAAUAGAAAAUUCUAGGAGUGAACAAUUCUCUCAUUUGAAAUUUUGGAAGAGAUUUUAUUACCUACGAAAAAAAAUCAUUGCGUGGAUGGAAGGAGACCAAAUAGCCUCCCCCCUCCCAUGGAGGAAGGUGUUGUUUUGUUUGAAAGGAGUGGAGAAAUUAGAGAGAAGAGGAAAAUUUAGAAAGCGUGACUGCAUUAAUUCCCCCUCCUGCUGAUUUGUACAUUUUGUAUUGCAUGCUGUUUGGGAAUCUGCACAAUUUGUUUGCAAUGGGGUAAUUAUACAUAACUCCCUAAUGUUUCAAAAUAUUUAUAUCAUGACCCUACAGUUUUAUGUAAGUUAUAACUUGACAGAAAAUAGAUUUUGUAACGUAAUUAGUUAAAAUAUUAAUAUUACCCUUACUUAAAUAUUGCUUAGAACAAAGGCUCGAGCACCUUACCCAAAAGCAUGCGGAAGGAGAUUAUGUGGCUAAAUAAAUAAAAAAAAACACAGUGGGUAAAGUGAAUUUUCAUAUAGUUUACUAUAGAGGAUUAAGUGAAUUUUCAUAUAAACUAUAGAGGAUCAAGUGAAUAUAUGAUUUCAUCACAAGCAAUUUUUGAAAAUUGGUCAACUCAACUGUCAUAACCAUUGGUGUUUUCUAUCGAUUUUUCGCUUCAUAUACAAACUUUAGGGAGGUUACAUCGAUAUAUGGAAACCUUAGAAGGGUCAUGUAGUAAUAAAGAACAGUUGAUCGAAUUGGGAGACCAUGUAUUUUGUUGGUUUGGAUUUGGUUACCGCUGAUAUACGUCUUCAACUCUUCAUUAUGGAAUGUGGAUGAAAAGAAACUCAGUUAUGUACUGUGGCCUUCUUCAACUCUUCCAUUUCAGUCCUAGCGCUUUAUGGCACCAAAAAAAUUGAAUCAGAGUACGGGUACUUUAAGACAAACUGCUAAAGAAAAUGGAACAAACAUAUGAACACUCGAUACUCUUUGUACUUCUCUGUUCUGAACACUAGGGAACGGCAUCAGAAUGAGGACAGAAUGAAAGAGUCGACUGAUUACGCAUAUAAUAAUGUAACUGUUCAUUCCUUUGCUUAUUAGUAAAGAUAUGACAAAUGAAUUAUGACUUCUUGGGACAUAUGAUUAAAGCAUAGUGGAUGGAAUGUCUGGUUCCCUAUCCAUUGUUAAGAAAGUACUCCAUUUUUUUCUAGUCAAGAGCUUGACUGAGCCAAUGUAGACCAUCCUCGUGCUUAUCAAAGUUAGUGAAGACUUAUGUUACCAAAUACUGGUUAGGGACCACCAGCCUUUGGGCUGGUGGCUUGCUGGUAGGAUAAGAGGUAAAGAUUUUAAUUCUUAUCUUUCAUCAAUUAUCAUGAUACGUAAUUUUUUUAAAAAAUUCAUAGGAAUACGUAGUUCAUCCGUCUGAUCUGUUGAUGAUUCAGUUCAUCCGUCUGAUCUGCUGAUCAUUCAAUUCCCAUUGAUCUUUUGUAAAUCUAGUUGAACCUUCCCUAGAUAAAUUAGAAUAGAGUAAAAUAUAAAUAAAAAAGCGAUGAUGACAAUAUAUAUAUGCUGGUUAGGCAGCCUAGAUUUAACUCUUAAAAUUCUUGUUUGUUUUUUGCUACUGUCUGUACAUAUUUACUUGUAGCCGGCAUUGUGUAGAUUUUUAUGUGGGAUUUUGCAUCAUCUGGUCUGAGUUCAUGCCUAAGCUUGUCCUAUCUUAUUAUAUAUGCAGUAUUACCAUCACCACACUCGUCUUUUCAUAGAUUUAUAUGUUUCUAUAUGCUAGAAUAAUUUAGACUGAAUUGAUGGCAUCUGAGAUUACUAAAGAGGAAGACGAGGAGCCCCCUUGUGUUAUUGAUACAGAAGCUCAAAAACAAAACAUUAGGCAGAUUAUAAAGUACCAAAAAUCCCUCUACUAUUCCUCAUCUUCUUCAUCGUCAUUUUCCUCAACAGGGGCUUCUUGCUCUUCGUUUUCCUCUCCGCGGAAGAGCAGUAGUUUGUUAGACUUGAUGAAGGAAGGAAGCACAUCGCUUAGGAGAUUGAUUGACAUGGAGCAUACGAGCUUGAAAACAUAUUUGACGGAUUACAGUGGCUCCCCCAUCAUUAGGCCUAUUCUCUUGUGGGGUAGCGAUGCAGAUGGUGGAAGUCAUGAUGAUCCCUGGAUGUCAAUAAAGGAGGCUACAUCGGCUAUGAUUCAUUGCCAAAGUGAUGGUCAGGGUUGGUUAGCUUCGGAAGAAAUUUACACGAAAAGGAACCCCAUGAUAAAAAAAUGAGCUGCCAAAAACUGGCAAAAGGAGGCUGACAAGAAAAAGGUCAUUUAGGAGAUUACCUAGACUCGAGGUAUGGAUAUUUGCAGGUUGGAAAUUCAGGCUGAGGUUGAGAAGAUUGAGAGUCAUUAUCUGCGGUAGAAAGUUUUGAUAACAAAAUUUUUUUACCUUUUUAUUCUUCAUUGAUUAAACUACUCAAAGACUCGAUGAAACACUUUUUCCAAUCCAGGUAUAUACACUUAACAAUUAUAUUCCUUGUAUAGAAAGUACUGGGAAAGUAAAGCUUGAAUUUAGUAACGCUGUGGCCAACUGCCUAUUUACCUUGUCAACAAAUUCACAUUGUGCAAUAUCUACCUGGCUGAACUGCCUUCAUUUCAAUUAAGCUGAAGAUAAGAUUUCUUCAAGAGCUAGAGACUUUCUGGCAUAUGAUGCAAUGAUCAGCGAUCAAUGUGGCUACAAUACUUCCCUCUUCAAUUUUAGUUCUGCUACUUUGCCUAUUCCACAGGUGAAUCCCAUAAGUGUCACCACCAGUAAUCUGGCGGAGCUUGGCCUUUGUCCAUUUCGGAUUACUUGUUCGCAUGAAUAGCCCAUCUAUCCGAUUCCAGCCACCGGGUAGAAGGCCAUAGGAGGCAAGACAGUAAAGUUGUACUUAUGCAGCAUCAUAUUGGUUGCCAGCCUCUCCACCACUCUGGAAACCAGGUAUGGUCCAUUUUGUCCCCAUCUGUUUCCAUCAAAUGUCUCCAUGAACUCGUACAGAAGUGGAUGAUUCUUGUCAAAAACCAGCAAUGCAUUGUUAAGUCUUGUCCAGUUUCCAUUCAAAUCCGCGGUUUGAGCUCCAAUUACAUUCCUUAACCUUGAAAAAUCUCUCAAAACUAUAAAAUCUGUAUCCAGAUAAACACCUCCAUACUUGUAGAGGACUACUAGCCUGAUCAAAUUAGAUAGAUUUUUGGGCCAAUGGAACUUCACCAGGAUUCCUGUUUCCGCUCAGAAUAUCAUUGAACCAGGCUUAUGCAGAUGUGUUGUUGAAUAGAUACAACAGGUCAGGUGUCACAGGAGCAACUCUAUAGCCACGAUCCAUCAAAGGCUUUAAGAGCAUAAACCCUUGGAUCAAAUCCAGAGUUUCUGAUAAGAUGAUCAAGCAAGCUUUUGGAUGUGUUUUGAAGAUACUCUCUAAUGCAGAAAACUCCCUCCUACCAAAUAAUGAUGCAGGGAAUAUCCAAAUCAUGAAGAACUGAACCUGACAUUGCUGGUGAUCAUCAUAUAGGACUUCUCUAACUCUUUCAUCAAACUUCUGCAUAAUUCUCCUCGCCUUCAACAUGUCAAGAUCCGGCAACUUGUUCUUGAGCCAAGUAAGAUUGAAGGGGGGCAUUGAACUUCCAUUGUUUGCACCAUCUACUCUUUGCUUGGCUUCCAGUAUUUGCAACCCUCAAAGAUUGCCUUUAGUUUCACAGGCAACCGAAUUGAACAAAAGAUCACAGGCAAGACUAUCAGCUAUGACAAUCACAAAGACCAGCACUGCAAACAAUACAAUUAAGAAGAUAUGCAGUUCCAGGCGCCAUAAUUUGCAGUAAUCCAACAUCUUUCUGGAAACAUUUGUCAUUAGUCAUUCACUAAUCUGAUAGGAUACUGAACAUAGCUAGGAAGAUGAGCCAAGUUUUCUUGACAGCAGGACACGGAAAGAAACAAGUAGCUACAGGCAAUGAAGCCUUCAACAUCAACAAUUUCUAUCUGUACUUCUCAUUGGUAGUUUAUUGACGGGAUUUUUGUAUCAAUGCAAGUUUAAUUCCGAUUUUACACCCGUUGGACUGCAAGUAUACAGGUCGCAAUUGUAGUACAAAAUGUGUAUCAGGUCGAUCCCACGAGGAGCAAUUUAAACAAUUACUAAGCCCUUGUUCUCUCUAUUAUUUAGACUUACAAUUAAUUUGAGCAGAGAAAGUCUAAUGCUGUAAUCUACAAAUCUGAUAUACAAAUCUAGUUUAACAAAUGCUGAAUGCAAAUAGAGAAAUUUCACUUAAGGAAGAUUCUAGGGAUGUAGAUUCCACUUAUGGCAUAAACUACACAAAUGAAUGGAUUUACUUCUUGCUAUUAUUCUUGCUUAACCAGAGAUUUAUUUCCAAGAUUACCAAGUCUCAUUUUCAUGAUGAAAUGGCCUAGAGCAAUAUAGAUUUCCCUAUUUUCAUGGUGAAAUACUACUACUACUCCGUUUUAUUUCAUGAAAUGCUCAAUAAUCCACCUAAGUGUAUCUCUAUUUUCAUGAACAUACAACUCAAGCUCUACUCAUGUGUUUCAAUUGUUAUUACCAAUUCUCAUUGAAUAAUAACACUAUAAACAUGCUAUUGGUGAUCAAUCAAUAACAAGUAUAACAGCUACACAAGUAGACAAGUUAAUACAAGAUAUAACAAGUGUAAAUCACAUUCAAUUAGUAUUAUUUAGCCAUAAGUUUCAUCUACUCCCUAGAUGAAGGAGUUUAGCUACUCAUGAAUGAUUUAACAAUCAAACUCACAAGUUUAUUAAUGCAAAACAUCAUAAAGUACAAGUAUGAGAAAGAUAAAAGAAAGCUUAGCCAAUUGAAGGUGAAGCUCUCCAAUUCCUGCUAUGUUCUUGCACAAUAUGAUUAUAAGUGAAACUCUCCAAAAAAAUGCUUCUCCAAGUACUCCUAUCUAGAGAGAAAAAAUGUUACAAAAUGAAAAACUAGCUACGUAUGGUCCUCCAGGCUUCUCCCCUGUGUUUCUACAUAAAAGGUGGUAGAAAUUCCAUUCCUCUCACUUCAUAAUUUCCUCCACUCAGAUUUUGUAAAAAGAAGUCAAAAAUAUGAUGUUUCCUUUUGUCCACACUCAUUUGGUCUUCUCUUUUGUUGCAGAAGCAUGUGCCACCGAUUUCUGUCCCUCAAAAUAGCUGAAAAAGUUGUGAGAAAGGUAAAGAAAAACGGCUGUGCCACUUGCUGAAGAGAGAGACAGAUCCGAGGCUCGGAUCCGAGGGCUGAAAAUGGAUCCGAGCUCGGAUUAUAGGAUCUGAGGUCUUCCCUUGGUGGAUCCGAGGUCGGAUCGUCCUGACCUCGGAUACACUCCACCAGAAGUACAGACGAGGGGUCGGAUCCCUCUUAUACACACGGAUCCGAGCUCGGAUCUGUGUUGAGCAAUUUUCCAGUUUUUCACUUCUUCCUUUUUUCUACAUUUUUGUUCCCAAUUUCUUGUAUACUUUGUCCUCUGGAUGACCCUGACAUUUCUUUCAACUUGUGCAUGAAUUUCAUAUAUCAAUUACCUUCACAAUUUCACAAAAUUAACGCAUUAAUUCACUCAUUUAUCAAUUUCUUAACCCUUAAACAAUAUUUAAGCAAUUAUCACCAAAAGAGUUCAAAUAUGGCUUUAAUCUUCUCAAAACAUACCAAAAAUUCAUGCCAAAUUCGUACAAAAUGUACGUUAAAUAUUCACUUAUCAAAUUCCCCCACACUUGAAUCAUUGCUUGUCCUCAAGCAAUUUUACACAAAACUUACUUCAAAUAUUCAAUAGAGAUAGAGAAAACAAUAUGCGUACUCUUCUCAAAUUUAAUUCCUCAAAAACCUAGAAACCAAUUAUUAUGCCAUUUCUCAGAUUACACUAAAUACUCAUAAUAUUCAAUUAAAUAAAAAUAAUUAUGCCUAUAUUUUGACAAAUUCAAAUCAAUUCUCUCAUUCUAUCCUAAUUCCACAAAUAAGUAAAUCACAUAGUCAAAUUUAUGGCCUUCCUCAUCCCAAAACUUAACAAUUUAGAGGGAUUUAUUCACAUUUCAUCUUAUUUAAAUAGUGAAAACGUCUUUUUACGCGAAAAUCAACACUUUUAGGUGAAAAUUCCCUGUUACUCAACAUUUCACUCAUUUAAAUUGCUAAUCAUACUCUUAAUUCUAAUACCUUUUUACGCGAAUGUCGACAUUUGUAAAUGUCAACCCCCGGUUACUCGGUAUGUGAAUCAUUGGAGUAGAAGUUUAAUAAUAUUAUUUUUCUUUUUCUUCUUUUUUUUUUGAUUUAACAAGUAAUUUCUUUUUCCCUCUAAGUAUAAUUAAAGGAAGAAUUUGGCCUUAUUUUUUACUAUAUCAAUCACUUACCUAUAAAAUUACGUAAAAAUGAGAAAUAUCAUUAAUCUUGCAAAAUUCUAAGCAUAAUUUUUCUUAUUUAACCAAAUAUACUUUUUAAAAUGUAAAAAUUCCUAAUUGCAUAAUAAUUCAUUCCAAGUCAAAUAAGAACUAAACUUUUCCAAGAUACACAUAGCAUUUUAUCCAAUGGAAGAAUUAGACACUUAAAAUUUUAACAUUUUGGCCAUUUAAUUGGAAGAAUUGCAAUGAAAUAUUGGAAAAUAUUUUUAGAAAAAUUUUGACAGAGUUUCCCCAUAAAAAUAGAUGAAACUCCCUGCCAACAACCUCAAUGUCACAAAAAUUAUCCUCAUGACAAUAUUUCCAAAUAUAAUUCCAACAUUUUUAAGCUAUAAACAACUAAAAUCAUGCAUUUCAAGACACAAUCACCCAUAAGAUAAAAUAAUCCACACAAUCACCCAUAAGAUAAAGUAAUCCCUCCCCCACACUUAAAAUCUACAAUGUCCUCAUUGUAGAGGAAGGUAAAAGAACUGAAACUUCCCUCAAAUAGGUGGUGAUGCAAUUUGAAGCCUUUAAUCAUCACGAUCAUCCAUUUUCUGUCCAAAAUGAGACAACAAGGGUACCAAAUACCAUAAGUAGCACAAGAUGAUUCAACUAAAAGAAAAAUAAAAUCUACAAGGUUGUCUUAACAAAAGAAAAGAAAAAUAAAUAAAGACAUAAAAGAUCAAAUCCGCUAAGUAGCGUCAUGGCUGCUCGGAACGAGGGUCUACUGCCUCCUCGGCUCCAUGAGAACCCUGUGAGGUACCAAUAUGGCCCUCCUCCUGAUGAGGUGUCGGAGUAGGGGACCGUCGGAUAUGGAAAUGAUCCUCGAUCGCACGAAGGCGGCGAUCAUGUCGGUCGAGGCGCUGUUGACCUUGGUCGAUGGUUUUGAUGAUUAACAAACCAAAAUAUAGAUUUGGGCUAAUGUUUUUAUAUGAGUAAUUUGUUAGAACAGAUUCUUGUGGCACAAAAGAAGAAACAAAAACAGGGCACUCAUGUCGGACGUCCGAAAGGAAUCUAUCGGACGUCCGAAAGGAUGAAGAACAUCAACGGACGCACGCCUCGGACGCACUUCGAUCGCAUCGGACGUCCGAGAAAUUUCGCAAAGAUUUGAUGACUUUCUGACGACGUUCGGACGCAGGGUUCGGACGUUCGACAGGUGAUUCGGACGUCCGACAGGCCAACGGCUAGUUUUGACAGCAUUUAAUAUUUGACCGUUGGAGAGCCUUUUGGAGCCAUUUCUCACCUUCUAUAAACACCCCAAAGCACAAGAAGACUAUAGACUUUUGCCAACACAAAAUACAAGCUUACAAGUGAGAUUUUUGAAUAGAAAGAUUCUUUGUUGGUUGUAUAAGGGGUUGGGAAAGUUGGGUUGUGAGGUUGCUGAAGUGAAGGUUACUCUCUAGGAGGAGUAAAACCUUGGUGUAGGUGAACCUAUCACUUAGAGUGGUAAAACCUUGGUGAAGGUUGCCUCAUUUGUAUAAAAUAGUUCUUAAUUGGGUAAGUGAUCUUUCAAGUGUAGGUUGUUAAGGGUUAACUAGUAUUGUUGUAAAACUCCUUGGCUCAACCAAAGUGUAUUUGGGGUGAGGAAGGAGUGAGCCUUCACUUGUACAUCUUGGUUAGCAUCGCCAUCAAUUGAAGAGGCUAUUUGUUUGAUAUUUGGUUCGCAUUUCUUAUCUUUUCUCUUUAAUUAAGUUUUCUUUAUUGUGUUUAAAUUUAAUAUAUCUUUGUGCAUCAUUGUGAAUUUGUUUGUACUCAUUGGGUUGCACCGGGCACUUACAAUUGGUAUCAGAGCUUGGUCUCUUUUGAUCAAACUUAACCGCUUAGAGUAAAGAUCAUGGCAAUCAUAAAAGUUUCUUUUUUAGAAGGGCAAUCUAUUGAUAGACCACUUAUGUUUAAUGGUUCUCAUUUUAGCAUGUGAAAACAAAGAAUGAUGAUUUUCUUACAAUCCGUUUAUAUUGAAUUAUGGUAUGUGGUAGAAGAUGGUCCUUAUGAAACUAAAAUAGUUGACUCUACCACCAAUUUGAGUAGAUUAAAGACUAGACAAGAAUUGAAUGAAAAAGACAAGAGAUACCUUUCUUUGAAUGCCAAGGCCAUGUGUAUAUUGUACAAUGCAUUAGAUGUAAAUGAAUCUAGUAGGAUUAAAGGUUGUAAAUCAGCUAAAGAUAUUUGGGAUAAAUUGUGUGUAUUUCAUGAAGGUAACCAAGAUAUUAAAGAACAAAAGAAAUCUUUGCUUGUUUCUCAAUAUGAUUUUUCAAAAUGCAUCCUCUUGAAAAUGUUGAUAAGAUGUGUAGUAGAUUUUGUGACAUUAUUGAAGAUCUUAAAUUGCUUGGAAAAGAAUAUUCUUUGGGUGAGAAAAAUAGAAAGAUUUUGAAUGCCUUGCCAAAAGAAUGGGAAAACAAAAUAAAUGCUAUAGAAGAGGUAAAGGAUUUAAAUUCUAUGUCCAUUGAAUCUCUUGUGAAUUCCCUAACCUCUUAUGAAUUAAAGCUGAAAUUCAAAGUGCAAGAAGAAGAAAAUGCAAGAAUGUAUAAGAGAGGCAUCUCAAGUGGGGGAUAACCCAUCCUUCAUGGGUAAUGAAAACAUGGAAGUGAAUAAUGAUAUAACUCCUCACAUCAAAAGUUUCAAGAAGGUCUUCAACAAGAGAAGUUCAAGAGGAGAUUACAAAAUUACAUGGGAUGAAUGCAAUUCAAAAAGAGAAAAAGAAGAGUUGGCACAAAUGGCACUAAUGGCCUUUGGAGAAGAUGAGGUAAAUUCUUAUCACUCUUCUUGUGAUGAAGAUAAUGUAGAUGAUGAUGUGAAAAUUCUUAUGAUUAAAAUGCAUAAAAGUUUGAGAAAAUCUUAUGCUAAAAAUAAAGAUUUGAAAACAAAAAUAAAUGAUUUGUUGGAAGAAAACUCCAAACUUUUUCAAGAAAAUAAAUGUUUGAGAAUGGAAAAUGAUGAUUUAAAAAAACAAAAAAGUGUUUUUGAUUGCAAAAAUAAUUUGAAAAGGAAGUUGGAAGAGAAAACAAAGUUUUAUGAAAAAAUGUUGGAGGAACAAAAUUUGUUAAAGAAAAGAAUUAAUGACUUGAACGAUUUUCUCCAAAACGAAAAACAAAAGUUUUCUCAAACAAAAGAAAGCAAAUCUUUUCAAGGCACAAAUAAGUUUGCUAUGAUAAGAAGUAAGAAAAUUAGUUGCAUUAAAUCCACUUAUGUGCAAAAUACUUCUAUCAUGUGUCACUUUUGUUGCAAAUUUGGACAUAUGCAAAAUGAUUGCUAUGUAAAGAAAAAUAUGAGAAAAGGCAUGAAAUCCAUGUGGAUUGCUAGAUCAUGUCGUAUUAACUCCCAAGGACCCUAUAAAGAAAGGGUACCAAAUGAAAUUUCUCAUAUUUAGGUACAUCAUGAAGAUUUGAUCCAAGGAGUGCUGAAUGGUUAUAAGUACAUUUGAAAAUUUUGAUAUUCAAUAUGGUCUUGAUUUGAAAAAUAAAGGGGGAGUUUGUUUUUUUUUUUGAUUGAUGCCAAAAGGGGGAGUAGGAUUUAUUGAAAUUUCUUUGUAUGUUGGCACUUUCUAAGGGGGAGCUUUAAUUGAACUUAUUUGAUAAAAGAAAUCUUCAUUUUGUUUGUCAUCAUCAAAAAGGGGGAGAUUGGUAUCAUAGGAUUUAUUGAAAUUUCUUUGUAUGUUGGCACUUUCUAAGGGGGAGCUUUAAUUGAACUUAUUUGAUAAAAGAAAUCUUCAUUUUGUUUGUCAUCAUCAAAAAGGGGGAGAUUGUUGACCUUGGUCGAUGGUUUUGAUGAUUAACAAACCAAAAUGUAGAUUUGGCCUAAUGUUUUUAUGUGAGCAAUUUGUUAGAACAGAUUCUUGUGGCACAAAAGAAGAAGCAAAAACAGGGCACUCAUGUCGGACGUCCGAAAGGAAUCUAUCGGACGUCCGAAAGGAUGAAGAACAUCAACGGACGCACGCCUCGGACGCACCUCGAUCGCAUCGGACGUCCGAGAAAUUUCGCAAAGAUUUGAUGACUCUCUGACGAUGUUCGGACGCAGGGUUCGGACGUCCGAUAGGUGGUUUGGACGCAGGGUUCGGACGUUCGACAGGUGGUUCGGACGUCCGACAAGCCAACGGCUAGUUUUGACAGCAUUUAAUAUUUGACCGUUGGAGAGCCUUUUGGAGCCAUUUCUCACCUUCUAUAAACACCCCAAAGCACAAGAAGACUAUAGACUUUUGCCAACACAAAAUACAAGCUUACAAGUGAGAUUUUUGAAUAGAAAGAUUCUUUGUUGGUUGUAUAAGGGGUUGGGAAAGUUGGGUUGUGAGGUUGCUGAAGUGAAGGUUACUCUCUAGGAGGAGUAAAACCUUGGUGUAGGUGAACCUAUCACUUGGAGUGGUAAAACCUUGGUGAAGGUUGCCUCAUUUGUAUAAAAUAGUUCUUAAUUGGGUGAGUGAUCUUUCAAGUGUAGGUUGUUGAGGGUUAACUAGUAUUGUUGUAAAACUCCUUGACUCAACCAAAGUGUGUUUGGGGUGAGGAAGGAGUGAGCCUUCACUUGUACAUUUUGGUUAGCAUCGCCAUCAAUUGAAGAGGCUAUUGGUUUGAUAUUUGGUUCGUAUUUCUUAUCUUUUCUCUUUAAUUAAGUUUUCUUUAUUGUGCUUAAAUUUAAUAUAUCUUUGUGCAUCAUUGUGAAUUUGUUUGUACUCAUUGGGUUGCACCGGGCACUUACAGGCGCUCAGUCAUCAUCCGCUCCGUCUGGUCAAUGCGCUCGACGACUCGCGUCUCCAUACAGCAAUUAGCAUUGAGAAGCUCUUGCCACUUGGAGCGCGGUUGAGGAGGUGGUCGCGGAACCGGAGGAGGAAGAGUCUGCUGUGCCUCCGUCUCUUGAGUUUCCGCUUGUGGUUCAGUGUGAGGCGGAGGCUGAGUGGAAGUCGAUGCUUCUCCUGUGUCCCGGACCAAAGCAGCUCCAAAAUCCGUAGAAAUAGCCAAGGAUUUGAGUAUCGAAGUAUUUACCUCCUCGGCCGACCUAGUUACCACCGCUCUUUCGGUUCCAAGAGGAACCUUGAGCUACUCAAAAACGAGGGAUAGCAGUCGGGGAAAUCCGAAACAAGUCUCGCCGGCCCUCAUGCGAGUUGUGGUCCGUAUAUAACUGAUGAUAAUGUUGGGUAGAGGAAUACCGAUCAACUGCCUACCCAAUUCAUGUAUCAUCUUAUCCAAAAAAUAGAGAUCGCUAUUUCGGAUCUCCCGUUUACCACUCUUUUUCGGCACCACAUUAAAGGCAAAAAUAUAGAAGAUCAGGUGGUAUCGAUGCUCAAAGGAGUCGGCAUAUACCGUGAGUUUUUUCGAAGUUCCUCGCUCACGGUACUGACCCUUUAGACGCUCUACGGCUUCUCCCACUUGCCAAGGGUCUCGAGCUUUGAAUUCCUUGGUCAGUUUGACAUCUUCGCCUUCGUCUAUUAGUUGAACGAAGCGUCGCAGUGCAUCUCGAUUGAGAACCACUUUCCUGCCUCGAACCCACGAGACGAUGAGGUUGCCACUAUGGCUCUGCUUGUUCUCCACAUUGGCGUAGAACUCCCGGACCAAGUUGGGGUAGUAGUACUUGGGCAACUGAAAGAUGUUCUCCCAUCCAAUUCGCUUGAGUGCUGUCGAAAUGUGGUAGUGCGCAUCCACCUCCAAUGCCAAGUGUUUCUCAAUGAUGAUCUCCUUGGCCAGGCCAGCUUCAUACCACUCUUGGUUUUCGAGCGAUGUGAAUCGUGUGGUAUCGUAGUCUGGCGGUGGCUCAUCACGGCUAGUGGAUGCGGUUUUCCGGCGAGACCGAGAUGGUGGCUCAGGCGAAGGAGAUUCUUCCUCAGGCGACUCCUCAUGCAGAGAAGGUGUAUGUUCUUCACUUGACGAUGGUGUAGGAGUACGAAUACGAGCCCUCCUUGUACGAGCCAUAGCACCUAUAAACAAGAUGAGUAUUUAUUAGAAACGAUAGAAACUCUCUCAUACAUGUUAAAUAGGAAUUUAAGAAAAUUUCGGCAGAGUUUUCCCUUGAAAAAGGGCUAAACUCCCUGCCAAAAUGUACCCAAAAUUAAACAAAUAAACUUCCUAACAAUUCUCAAAUCCAAUUCCCACACUUAGAAAGGAUAUUAGCAGUAAAGAAAUCAUUUCAUGCAUAUUAAGUGCAAACAAUUUUAAAUUAUAUCCAUUUGUAAGAAUGAACACUCAAACACUUGAGAAUAUCUCCAAUCCAAUUCAUAACACUCGUUAACACUUAAGUUAACUACACAUGAGUCCCAAUUCAUCCAAAUACUAAUUAUUUCAAGUAAAAGUGGUUCAAUGUGCUUAACUUGAUCGGGAACACACACUUUUACCCAAAUGGCUAUUUUUCUAGUGAUAGCAUAUCAUUUUCAAUUGGUAUAACAGUGAUUUAUACCUCUCGGAACAAGUUCAUGUAUUCAAUGAAAGCAAAAUUCACAAGUUUAAAUCACUAAAAUGCUCAAACCCAAACAUUGAGAAGCAAAUCUCAAAACUAUCACCAAAUCCAUAAUUCUCUCACAAAUAAGCAUGAAAAUCAUUAUAACAGCUGAUUUGAGCACAAUGUAGCACAAUUAUAUCAAGAAUUUUCAACAAUUAAGCUAUUAGCAAAAUAUAUUGAAAAACUAAAAAUAUACAAAAAUGAGAGAUAUAAAAUGUCACAGAAAUUCGAAAUUUGUUACCUCAGAUAGAUGGAGUGAUGAUGGAGGAUGAUAAUGAUGCAAAAAUGGAGAACAACCAAGCCCAAAUUCGACCUCAAAUUGCAAGAUUUCAAUUCGGCCCUAAUUUGCGUCUUGAAGAUCAAAACCCCUCAAUUUGAUGUUUUUGAUUCCAAAUUGUUGAGGGUUAAUGCUCACAAGAGGUUAGGGAAGGUUUUUAUUGUGAAAAAUUGGGAAUUUUAUGGAUGAAAUGGAAGAUUGGAGGAAAGGGGAUAGGGUUUCGGAGAGAGAGAGAAAAGAAAUCUGGAAAAUGAGGAACCGAGGCCUCGUUUCCAUUCUUAUCGCGAACGGAUCCGAGGUCGGAUCCUUUCUGGAAGGUCUCGGAUCCGACAGGGCUCGGAUCAGUCUCAACAGAAACACAGACGAGCCCUCGGAUCUAUCUGGGUUGGAAACGAUCCGAGCUCGGAUCUAUAGAUCCGAGGUCGUAUCUGUCUGGGUUUUUUCAGAUCCGAGCUUGGAUCAAUAUUUCCCUGCACUUACUGCAGAAACUGCAAUUUUUUUCAAACUUUUUCUCCCUUUUCCGGCCAAUUCCAAAACACACAUUGGACAAACUUUUUAUCAAAUCUAACCUCCCACGCACAUGCAAUAUACCUUAAACACAAUAUCCAUCCUCUCAAAACACAACAAACACAUUUACAUUGAAAAUCGAGGGGUGAGGUUCUUUGAUCAUUUUUGCAUUUUUACAUCAAAAUGGCAAUUUUGAGCAUUAAAUACACAUCAAAUGAAUCCAUGAACCUUUAUAACCAUGAUAUCACCAAAACUCACUUGAAAUGCACAAUGUAUGUAUAGGCAUAGAAAUUUUAAGCACUUAAAACACAAUUUGGUAAGAAAAACUCCCUGCCAACAUGUUCUUCAAGUGCACCUCCAAGAUGGAUGAUAAAACUCCCGUAUCUCCUACAAACAAGUGAAAUACAUAUAAUUAGUUAAUUAAAUCACACCAAAAUGUAAGAAACACAUAAAAACACACAAAUACACAAUUAUUAUUGGGUUGCCUCCCAACAAGUGCUUUUGUUUAUAGUCGUUGGCUCGACUCUCCUAUAACUUCUUUAAUUCUCCAUUGCAUUUCCUAAGGAGUAAUUUACUCCUUUAGGAACAUUUUCUCCUGCCAAAUAGGGCUUCAAUCUUUGUCCAUUUACUUUAAAUGGAGAACCAUUUUCUCCUUUUAUUUCCACUGCUCCAUACGGAAAUACUUGAGUUACUUCAAAUGGUCCCGACCACCUUGACUUUAAUUUUCCUGGAAAUAACCUCAAGCGUGAGUUGAACAAAAGUACAUUUUGCCCUACCUGAAAUUUUUUAGGAAUAAUAUGCUUGUCAUGCCAAUAUUUGAUCUUUUCUUUAUAAAUUUUGGCAUUUUCAUAUGCAUGUAGUCGGUGUUCCUCCAAUUCACUUAGCUCAAGUAAUCGCCUUUCUCCUGCAGAAUUAAAAUCCAUGUUAAUAGAUUUAAUUGCCCAAUAAGCUUUGUGCUCAAUCUCCACAGGUAGGUGACAAGCUUUCCCAUAGACUAAAUGAUACGGUGACAUCCCUAGGGAUGUCUUAAAUGCCGUUCGGUAAGCCCAUAGUGUAUCAUCUAGCUUUGUAGCCCAAUCCUUGCGUGAUUUAUUCACAGUUUUCUCCAAAAUGAGCUUUAUCUCUCUAUUAGCUAGCUCUGCUUGUCCAUUGGCUUGAGGAUGAUAUGGAAGUGAUGUCUUGUGCCUACAACCAUAUUUAAACAAUAAGGAAUCCAAUUGUCUGUUACAAAAAUGUUUCCCUUCAUCACUUACUAUGGCCUUGGGUAUACCAAAUCUACUGAAAAUAUUCUUUUUAAGGAAUCUAAGUACAAUCUUAGAGUCAUUAGUAGGUGAAGCGAUUGCUUCAACCCAUUUAGAAACAUAAUCCACUGCUACUAAGAUGUACUUAUUAUUAAAAGAACUAGGAAAUGGUCCCAUAAAAUCAAUAUCCCAUACAUCAAAUUACUCAACUUCCAAGAACGUAGUCAGGGGCAUUUCAUUUUUUCGAGAUAUAUUUCCAGUUCUUUGGCAUGCAUCACAAUUUUUAACAUAUUCCCUAGCAUCUCGGUACAUAGUUGGCCAAUAAAAUCCUGAUUGCCAUACCUUUGCCACAGUCUUUGAAGUACUGAAAUGACCACCUGUUUCAAGGUUAUGACAAUGAUAUAAAACAUUAUGUUCCUCAUCUUCAGGAAUACAUCUACGUAUCAUACCAUCGGCACAAUGUCUGUAUAGCAAUGGUUCCUCCCAAAAGUAACUUUUGACGUCAUGUAAGAAUUUCUUCUUUUGAUGAUAACUAAACCCCUUUUGAAUCUCUCCACUAACCAAGUAGUUAGCAAAAUCUGCAUACCAUGGAGAAUUUCUAAGUGCUAGGACAAACUCAUCCGGAAAAUUCUCUUGAAUUGGAAUCUGAUCUUUGAUUGGGAUAUAUUCCAAACGUGAUAAAUGAUCUGCAACUAGAUUCUCCGAUCCCUUUUUGUCUUUUAUCUCUACAUCAAAUUCCUGCAAUAAAAGAAUCCACCGAAUUAGUCUAGGUUUUGCAUCCUUCCUAUGCAGCAAAUAUUUAAGAGCUGAAUGGUCCGUAUAUAUAAUAACUUUAGAUCCUACUAAAUAGGAUCUAAAUUUGUCCAAAGCAAAUAUCACUGCCAAUAGCUCUUUUUCUGUCGUUGCAUAAUUGAGUUGUGCCUCAUUUAGCAACUUGCUAGCAUAGUAAAUGACGUGCAAUCGUCCUUCUUUCUUUUGUCCCAAAACUGCUCCAACAGCAUAAUCACUUGCAUCACACAUCAAUUCAAAUGGUAGUGACCAAUCGGGUGAAGUUAUAAUUGGGGCCGAAAUCAGUUCCUUCUUCAACCUUUCAAAUGCAACCAAACAAUUGUUAUUAAAAAGGAGUAUCUUUACAUAAUAAAUCGCAUAAUGGCUUUACUAUUUUAGAAAAAUCUUUAAUAAAUCGUCUAUAAAAGCCAGCAUGUCCUAAAAAACUCCUUAUCCCCUUGACAUUGCUUGGGGUGGCAAUUUUUCGAUAACUUCUAUUUUGGCUUUAUCCACCUCAAUUCCCUUGGAGGAAAUCUUGUGCCCUAAGACAAUUCCUUCUUUUACCAUAAAAUGGCAUUUCUCCCAAUUUAAUACAAGAUUUGUUUCCUCGCAUCUCUGCAAAAUCAAUUCCAAAUUAUGAAGACAAUGGUCAAAAGAUGAACCAUACACAGAAAAAUCAUCCAUAAAUAUCUCCAUAAUUUUCUCAAUAUAAUCAGAAAAAAUAGCCAUCAUGCAUCGUUGAAAAGUUGCAGGAGCAUUGCAUAAACCAAAUGGCAUUCUUCUAAAGGCAAAAGUGCCAUAAGGACAUGUGAAUGUGGUCUUCUCUUGAUCCUCUGGAGCUAUAGCUAUUUGAUUAUAUCCUGAAAAACCAUCAAGAAAACAGUAAAAUUCAUAUCCUGCUAUUCGCUCCAAUAAUUGAUCAAGAAAUGGUAGGUGAAAAUGAUCUUUUCUUGUUACCGUAUUUAACUUACGAUAAUCAAUACACACUCUCCACCCUACCACAAGUCUAGAUGGAAUCAAUUCAUCAUUUUUACCCACGAUUGUAGUUAUUCCACCUUUCUUUGGUACCACAUGAAUUGAACUAAUCCAAACACUAUCGAAAAUAGGAAAGACUAUACCUGCAUCAAGCCACUUAAAAAUUUCAUUUCUUACCACCUUUUUCAUGUUUGGAUUGAGUCUUCUUUGUGUUUCCACCACUGGUUUGCAAUUGUCCUCCAAUAAAAUGCGAUGCAUGCAUAUAGAAGGACUUAUACCUUUAAUGUCUGAAAUUGUCCAUCCAAUUGCCUUCUUACGCUUCCUUAGAACUCUUAGCAACUUUGUACACUGCUCAUCAUCAAGGUCAGCACUAACAAUUACAGGUAAAGUACUAUUUUCUCCAAGAAAUUCAUACCUUAGAUGAGUUGGAAGUGGCUUAAGCUCUAACCUUGGAGGUUCAAUUUCUGAAGGUUGUGAAAACCCUUUUCCUUGGCCAAGACUUUCAUACAAAUUACCCCUUUUAUAAGGUGUUUGAAAAUCCAAGUACUUGGCCAAUUCUUCAAUUUCUUCACAAACAUCUUUUUGCUUACCUAAACUCAUUAAACAAUGCUCAAGAGGAUCUAAGUCAAGGUUGACUUGACUCAUCUCUUGGGUUAGUUUAUCAAUUGUGCCAAUAGAAUAAGCAUGAUCAGUAAAAGAAGGGUAUUUUUCCAUUUCAUUCAAAUUAAAUUUUACUUCUUCUUCACCUACUUGAAACUUAAGCUUGCCAUUUUUUACAUCAAUAAUAGUACCUGCCGUAGCUAGAAAUGGUCUACCUAGAAUAAUUGGCAUAGAUAUAUCUUCUUCCAUAUCUAAUACCACAAAAUCCACUGGAAUGAUAAAUUUUUGAACUUUUAUCAAUACAUUCUCCAACACUCCCAAUGGAUAUCUAAUAGACCGAUCCGCUAGUUGCAAAGUAAUAUUUGUGCGUUUAAGCUCAUGCAAACCCAAUUGUCUAGCCACCGUUAAAGGAAUUAAUGAUACACUAGCACCAAGAUCACACAAUGCUUUAGAAAAAUUCACGUUACCUAUGGUGCAAGGUAUAGAAAAACUCCCUGGAUCCUUCAACUUCGGUGGUAGCUUAUUUUGAAUAAUUGCACUACAUUCCUCCGUUAAUGCUAUUGUUUCGCAGUCUUCCAACUUUCUUUUUCUAGUCAUGAUUUCCUUGAGAAAUUUCGCAUAAGACGGAAUCUGCAAAAUAGCAUCGGCAAAAGGAAUGUUAAUGUGCAAUUGUUUGAAAAGUUUAACAAAUUUUUCAAAAUCUUUAUCAAACUUAUUUUGCUUUAAUCUUUGUGGAAAUGGAACCGCAGGAGGUAUUGGAAUGGUAGCGGAAGAUGAUGGUUGAUUUUCUCUUGAUUCCUCCCGGCUAUUUUCUUCCACUAUCGCCUCUUGGUUCCUCUGCUUUUCUUCUUGUUUUUCAUUCUCAUCUUUCUCAACUUCCAUCACUGGAGGAUCUUCUAAUUGCUUACCACUACGAAGAAUAAUGGCUUUCACAUGCUCCUUAGGAUUGACCUCUGUUUUGCUAGGUAAUUCGCCUUGAUUUCGAUUAUUCAACGAACUAGCAAUUUGACCAAUUUGGACCUCUACAUUCCUGUACAUUGUAGUGAGUUGGUCCAACCUUCCUUCUACUAGCUCAAAUCUGUCUGAAGCAACUUUUGCGAGCUUUUCCACUGCCAUCUCCCAACCAGGUUUAGUUUCAGUUUGUUGUUGCCUUGAUUGAAAUCCCGGUGGAUUAGUUGGCCUUGGUUGAUUUCCUUGAUCCUUCCAUCCAAAGUUUGGAUGAUUUCUCCACCCCGGAUUGUAAGUAUUUGAGUAGGGGUUAUUUUGAGCAUUACGAUUGUAAUUAUUGACGAAUUGUACCUGCUCAGAAUCAACACACUCAUUAGUAUCAUGUUCACCUCCACAUAUAGAACAACAUGCUACAUGUGCAUUAGAUGAACUUGGACCAACUCCACCUUGUCUACUUAGCAAUUUCAUCACAUUAUUCAUUUGAACACUCAGCAUAUUGAGAGUGUCCAUUUCUAUCAUACCUGCAUGACGUCUUGUAUUACCUCUCUCAUUGGCCCAUUGGUAAUUAUUUGCUGCCAUUUCUUCUAUCAAAUUAUGAGCUUCUUGGGGUGAUUUACCCAUUAAAGCUCCACCUGCAGCUGCAUCGAUCAUAGUUUUAGUAGAAAAAACUAAACCAUUAUAGAAGAUUUGUAUGAUUAACCACUCCGGCAGUCCAUGAUGUGGACAUUUCCGAAGCAAAUCUCUAAACCUUUCCCAUGGCUCAUAUAAUGAUUCACCUUCCAAUUGGCUAAAACUAGUGAUAUCCAUUCUAAGCUUAGCAGUCUUACCUGGUGAAAAAUACUUAUUUAAGAAUGCUCUUGAUAAUUCAUCCCAUCCAGUGAAAGUAUUAGGAGCAUGAGAGUGUAGCCAAAAUUUGGCCUUAUCUCUCAAUGAAAAUGGGAACAAUCUUAGCCUUAUAGCAUCAUCACUAACUCCAUUCAUUUUAAUUGUAUCACAAAUUUCCAAGAAUGUAGAUAAGUGUGUAUUAGGAUCUUCUACUGCAUUACCUCCAAAUUGAGAUUGUUGAAGCAUUUGGAUAAGUGAUGGUUUAAUCUCAAAGUUGUUAGCAUUUACCGAAGGCCUUGCUAUGCUCGUUUGAGAUCCUUGUGUUCCCGGUAGAGCAUAAUCUCGUAGAACUCGCCUAUUUGCUUCAUUUUCUGCCAUGUCUUCUUCAAAUUGUAAUUCUAUCAGGAUAUCUUCUAUUGGCUGCCAAACCUCUUGUUCCUCUUGAUGUGAUGUACUCCUCCUUUUUCUGUGUAAUGUUCUUUCAAUUUCAGGAUCGAAAUGUGCAACUUCUCGAUUUGAUCGGUGCAUACACUACAAACAAAAACAAGAGAAAUUUUUCAGUUUUAAUUCAACAACUUGAAUAAAAAACAAUGAAAAAUAUCUAAAUUAAUAGAGAUGAUUAGGCCCUAAUAUUGCCGCUCCCCGGCAACGGCGCCAAAAACUUGACGGGAUUUUUGUAUCAAUGCAAGUUUAAUUCCGAUUUUACACCCGUUGGACUGCAAGUAUACAGGUCGCAAUUGUAGUACAAAAUGUGUAUCGGGUCGAUCCCACGAGGAGUAAUUUAAACAAUUACUAAGCCCUUGUUCUCUCUAUUAUUUAGACUUACAAUUAAUUUGAGCAGAGAAAGUCUAAUGCUGUAAUCUACAAAUCUGAUAUAUAAAUCUAGUUUAACAAAUGCUGAAUGCAAAUAGAGAAAUUUCACUUAAGGAAGAUUCUAGGGAUGCAGAUUCCACUUAUGGCAUAAACUACAUAAAUGAAUGGAUUUACUUCUUGCUAUUAUUCUUGCUUAACCAGAGAUUUAUUUCCAAGAUUACCAAGUCUCAUUUUUAUGAUGAAAUGGCCUAGAGCAAUAUAGAUUUCCCUAUUUUCAUGGUGAAAUACUACUACUACUCCGUUUUAUUUCAUGAAAUGCUCAAUAAUCCACCUAAGUGUAUCUCUAUUUUCAUGAACAUACAACUCAAGCUCUACUCAUGUGUUUCAAUUGUUAUUACCAAUUCUCAUUGAAUAAUAACACUAUAAACAUGCUAUUGGUGAUCAAUCAAUAACAAGUAUAACAGCUACACAAGUAGACAAGUUAAUACAAGAUAUAACAAGUGUAAAUCACAUUCAAUUAGUAUUAUUUAGCCAUAAGUUUCAUCUACUCCCUAGAUGAAGGAGUUUAGCUACUCAUGAAUGAUUUAACAAUCAAACUCACAAGUUUAUUAAUGCAAAACAUCAUAAAGUACAAGUAUGAGAAAGAUAAAAGAAAGCUUAGCCAAUUGAAGGUGAAGCUCUCCAAUUCCUGCUAUGUUCUUGCACAAUAUGAUUAUAAGUGAAACUCUCCAAAAAAAUGCUUCUCCAAGUACUCCUAUCUAGAGAGAAAAAAUGUUACAAAAUGAAAAACUAGCUACGUAUGGUCCUCCAGGCUUCUCCCCUGUGUUUCUACAUAAAAUGUGGUAGAAAUUCCAUUCCUCUCACUUCAUAAUUUCCUCCACUCAGAUUUUGUAAAAAGAAGUCAAAAAUAUGAUGUUUCCUUUUGUCCACACUCAUUUGGUCUUCUCUUUUGUUGCAGAAGCAUGUGCCACCGAUUUCUGUCCCUCAAAAUAGCUGGAAAAGUUGUGAGAAAGGUAAAGAAAAACGGCUGUGCCACUUGCUGAAGAGAGAGACAGAUCCGAACCUCGGAUCCGAGGGCUGAAAAUGGAUCCGAGCUCGGAUUAUAGGAUCCGAGGUCUUCCCUUGGUGGAUCCGAGGCCGGAUCGUCCUGACCUCGGAUACACUCCGCCAGAAGUACAGACGAGGGGUCGGAUCCCUCUUAUACACACGGAUCCGAGCUCGGAUCUGUGUUGAGCAAUUUUCCAGUUUUUCACUUUUUCCCUUUUUCUACAUUUUUGCUCCCAAUUUCUUGUAUACUUUGUCCUCUGGAUGACCCUGACAUUUCUUUCAACUUGUGCAUGAAUUUCAUACAUCAAUUACCUUCACAAUUUCACAAAAUUAACGCAUUAAUUCACUCAUUUAUCAAUUUCUUAACCCUUAAACAAUAUUUAAGCAAUUAUCACCAAAAGAGUUCAAAUAUGGCUUUAAUCUUCUCAAAACAUACCAAAAAUUCAUGCCAAAUUCGUACAAAAUGUACGUUAAAUAUUCACUUAUCAUUUAUCACAAAGCAUUACAUUAUUGUCCUUGUAAAUCCACAAUAUCACUUGAUCACAAGGUUUGAGAUACUGAAUCUCCGUCACAGGAAGAAUAAUAUGAGUUGUUGAAGUUUGAUUUCUGGACGGCGAAAUUGACUGAGCUAGAAAAACGUGUUUGAAUUGUUUAUGUUCUCACGGUUCCACCAGGAUAUAGUACUAUAUCGUGUUGAAUUAUGUUGCGUUGAAUUGUGUGAAUUACGUUCUGUUGAAUUGUAUGAAUUGCUUAUCUGAUAAGUAUAGAUUAGAUGUGGUAGAUUCAAAUCCUCAUCCUUCACCUGAUAGGGAAAAAAAAAAGUCUAUAGCAGGACUCCUAAAUGGAAAGUUAGCUAUAUGUUAAUUAUUUUUUGAGAGGACCAAGUGGAAUUAACCCUAUAUGUAAUUAAUCUUUUCAACAUUUAAGAUCGGAUUUGAUUGGAUAAAGACGAAGACUUGCAAAGUAGACCAAACGGUCAAUUUUCAAAUACAUCCAUUUCACUCCAGCCACUAAUUACCAAUAAAACUCCCCAUCUCAUUAUCUCAAUAACCAAUUGAAUAACAAAUAGUAGUAACUGAAAAAAAUAAAAAGGAAAAACGCACCCCAAAAAGAAAAAAAAAAGCAAAAUUACUAAACCACCAACAAUCCGCCGUCUUCUCAAUGAACAACCGCGCUGCUAUUGCCGCCGCCGCCGCCACCGCGGCGGAAGCAGAAAGAGUAGAAAAAAUGGGAAGAAAUAAUAUGUUUUGUGACUCCUAUAUAGGAAAGUUAACUACAUAUUUACUUCUUUUUCAAGAGAUAUGUUUUCAGGCUUAUGUGGUAACAUUUUUAAACUUUUCAUAUACUCUAUCAUGUACAUCUUCUUCUGUUUCAAGAGACAUAUAUUAGGCUGAAGUGGUAAUAUUUUUAAACUUCUCAUAUGUACUCUAUCAUGUACAUCUUCUUUCCUGAGAUCUGGUCUUGAUGACAUUUAUCAAAAAGCAACAUGCGCAUAAACGCAACUGCAGGGAAUGUUGUUAAAUAAAGGGAUAAUUUCAGAAACCUCCCUUGAGGUUUUUAACAAUUUCAUUUAGCUUCCUUGAUGUUUUAAAAAUUACACAUACCUCGCUCAUCAUUUAAAAUGACAAUACUACCCUUUUCAAUGAAAUUUCUCUGUUUGGUAUGCUUAUAUUUAGAAUGACUUUUAAAAUUAUUUUUUCAUUUUUUUCCUUCUUAUUCAUUUUUUUAAAAUUUUUUGCCAAUAAGACUGUAGAAUGACAGGUUGUCAGGCCUGUGCAAUAAUAAAAAUCUGCUCAACUAAAAUUAAUUUUUGUAAAUAGUGGUAAGUAGGGUCGAAUCCAUAGGGAUUGGGUGUAACUGUUUCUUUUCAAAUUCACAAUAACCAGGGGGUGUUUUUAUGCAGAAGAUGACAAACAAAGAAAAUCUAAGAAGUUACUAAAAAUUAAAUAACAAUCUACUAAAAUCAAAUGAGUGAUAAUUAAGAAUCUAGCCAAGAAAUAACUUCAGCAAUGGUUCACCUAAUUGAUCGUCGAUGCAAAACCAAUUCCAAUUAUUUAUUAAUAAAUAGGUUAUAACUGUCAAACAAGCAAUGACAGUCAACCCCUCCUUACUGUGUCGGUGAUUAAGGUAUGCCCGUUAAUCACUGCCCUAAUUGGAAAAUAAUUCUAGGUACGCCCGUAAGAUUUAAUUCUCCAAUUGCCUUACGUUUAGAUGAGCCCUAUUCUAACCAAAUAACAUACUACCAGGGUUAUUUUAGAUUAGCCCGCGUAUUUCCCUGACAUAAACCUAAUCAUGUCAGUUGUCACUAUAUCAAGGCAAUUAAACAAUUACGGAUUUAAUGCCCUAAUUGACAAUAGAUUACCAAAUUAACUAAUUAUCCGGAUCCAAGACAAUCAAUUAAUUAAAUAACCAUAAGUACUGAAAUCAAAGAAUAUGCGAAUACCAAUAAAUAAAAGAAAAAGAUAAAAUUAAAUCGAUCUCAUAAUUUUUAGGCAAAUCAAAACUUCCGUUGUUCCUUAACUAGACAAAGAGAUUCAACUCAUCCCUUGUUUACUCCUACGGAAGAGCAACUAAAGACGAAAAGAAAAGUCAAAGGCUAAGCUCCCCUCCUCUGACAUGCGUAGGAAAUAAAAAAUAUGAAAAAGAGAUCUCAGCGAAAAGUUAAAAGAAAACAACUCUUAGUUGCUCCUGCCAUGCGCAGUAGGAGUCCUACUCAAAAGCAUCCGUUUCCUCUUGACCUUUUUUAACCGAAGUUAAAGUUACAGCUUUUACAAAUCUAAACCCCAGAAGAACCUCCAAAAGCCGGGAACUUUUGGAGGCCUCCCAUUCCUAUCUAAUUGCAAUCCUAUCUAAUUGCAAUCCUCUCUAAUUGCAAUGCCGCACUAUUGUGCGGCGGCCCUCACCAGCAAAAAGGAUCCCUGCCUUCAUCCUUGCCUCUGCAGUAAUUGCCAAAAUGGGAAUAAGUUUUCCUUUUCCAAAAAUACCCCUGGAAUAAGUUCUAUUAUUUAGAUUCCUCUUUUGUCAAAUGGGCACUUGUUAUCAUAUUUUCGUUCUACUCCCUGAAAUAAAUGCAAAAUACCAAAAGUGAGUAGAAUUUAACAAUUAGUCAACAUCGAGUCAGGUAAUAGGAAAAGUUAAUAAUAAAAUAAAUGAUAAAAUUGCACCCUAUCAUAGAAUUAUCACUAUUACCUCUAGCUUCUAUUAUAACCAAAUAUCGAACAAGUAAUUUUUUUAAUCAGUUAACUUUAUAUGCAAUCCAAUGUUUUGCUUAUCUUCAUUUUCUAUUUUUUGGUAUUAAAAUUAACAAUAAAUCAAAAAGAAAUGGCCUAAAACCAUUACUAAAUUAUGAUAAUCCCACUACUCAAAAAUUCAUAAACUCCAAAUGAAUUAUUUCAACAUUUUUUUCUAUCUUAUAAAUCUAAAUCCAUAAUAAAAUAGCAUCAAAAGUAUCAUAUCAUAGUGAUAAAUUUUCUAUUAUUAUUAUAGUUGUUUAUCAAAUAGUAGUUAUGAACAUGAAAAUUUUGACACCUUUUCCUUAUAAUUAUACUAGAUAAUCUUAUAAUUGUAUAGGGGAUGUAAAUUAAAACUCAUUACACAAGGACAUUUUUGCGUAUUCACUUAAAAAUUUAACAAAGUCAAUAUUAUUUUAAGGUUUUGUUACUAAAACUACCAAAUCAAGGGAGGUAAGUAUAAUUUUUCAAACCUCAAGGGAGCUCGGUAAAAUUGUUAGAAACCUCAGGAGAGAUUUCUGAAAUUAUCCCUUAAAUAAAUUGAAUUUUGCACUCUGUCGAUUGCAAACUAAAUUUAACUUUCCAUUUCCAGAAUUGAGAUUUAAUCUUGAGGGCUGAUGAGUUGAUCGAAACAAAUAUUUGAUCUUACCAACUAAAUUUAACUUUCCAAUUUCCAGAAUUGACACAGACUUAAAUACCGUUAAAGGUCAUUUUUGUUGUAGUGCAUUGAACAAUUUGAAAUGAAGGAUCUUGGCUUUCUUAAUUAUUUUCUAGGUCUUGAUGUAUCUUUAGAUACUAUUAGUUACUACUUGUCUCAGGUUAAAUAUACUUCUGAUCUUUUGGCUUUUUACGGGCUUAACAGAUAGUAAGGCUAUUUCAACUCCAAUUGAGACAAAUACUUAUCGUACUCCUCAAGAUGGCACUUUAUUGGACGGCCGUAUUCGAUGCUCUCAAAUAGUUGAUAGUCUUGUCUACCUGACUAUUACAUACCCUGACAUUAUUUAUGUUGUUCAUAUCAUCAAUUAGUUCACGAGUGCUCCUCGUUCUAUUCUUUAUGCUACUGUUAUAUGAAUCCUUCACUAUUUCAAGGUACACUUUUUCAUGGUCUCCAUUUUUCAGCCCAUCCAACUCUUCAACUUCAUGUUUACUUUGACCCUGAUUAGGCUGGCGAUCCUACUAAUCAUCAUUCUACUACAGUCUUUUACUUGUUAGGUGAUUCUUUGUUUUCUUAUCAGAGAAAGAAAUAGACAGUCACAACCUGAUUUAGUUUUAAAGCUGAAUAUCGAGUUUUAACUGACAUUAGAAGGGCUAGUUUGGCUUCAUUGAUUACUUGAAGGCAUAGGGGUUACUCACUCAUUGCUUGGUUUUCAUGAGCGCACCAAAUAUAUUAAGAUUGAUUGUGAUUUUAUGCAGCAAUAUCUUUUUCGUGGUAUCUUAUGCCCCUCUUCUAUUCCUUCAUUGGAUCAAAUUGCCGAUCUCUACAUGCAUCAAAACAUUUUCUCCUGAUUGAUUUCAUGGUCUCAAGUAUAAACUUAAGCGAGUUUCUUUACAACCACCUUAAGUUUGAGGGGAUGUUAAUGUAAACAUGUUAAUACGGAUAUGAGUGUAUCAACUAGUCUAUUAGCAUCAAUUAGGAAUUUCUUUAUAUAGACGAGUCUAGAUUCAAGGUAAUACACAUUAUGAGAAAUACAUUACAAUUAUUAUAAAUAGGGGCAUAUGUGCACAAUUCCUUUUAUACUAUUAUGAGAAAUGCAUUACAAUUUCCCAAACUUCAACUUCUCUAACGAAUAUCACAAAAAUUUUUUAGAAUAUUCUCUUGAUAGAUUUUCGAGUUAUCUUUUUAUUUCACAGUAUUAUAUUACUUUAGCAUAUUUUUUCACAAAAAAUAUAAAAACUUGCAAUUUAAACAGGCUAUGAGAUCUUCAAGGCUUUUUUUUUUUUUUUGGGCAUUAAAACCCAAGGAAGCUACGCGGCUGGUCGAGCAUCCACUUCAUGGCCCCUCGGCUGUUGGUUAUAUAGAAACCUCAGGUAAAAUUCCCACUCAGUUGUUCGCUCCCGAAUAGCAGACAUAAUAGUCCGCCAGUUUUUGAUCAUAUACCAGAAUUCAUAGAAUUCAUAGGGAAUUGAAAUGCUCCACGCCAUGACCACAAUAAGCACAAUCACACCUGUCUCACUCAACCUACCUCUUAUGUCUUUUGGUGCAACCGUAACAAGUGAUAUAGCAUACGUUAAAAGUAUGCUCAUAAUUGCCACCGUCAUAAUAAGAAAUAAAACCGCGAGCGAGAGCGUGCUACGUCUAAUAAACCUCGACUCGUCCAUGAGCAACAUAACUGUGGUCAAGGACGAAACAAAUGCUGUGCUAGUUGCCCGAAUCAGAAGCCGGCAGAGCGCGGGAUGAGUCUUGGCCAUGACGACUUCUCCUAUUUUAUGUGGAUUAGGUCCUUCCGAUGAGUCAUCUUGCCAUACCCCUCCUGGAGGGUUCAACACAACUUGAAAAGCCAUAGUUGCUAUGAGCGAAGCCACUACCAUAAUAGUUUUUCUGUUCUUUGCCAUCAGCGCCCGGAACGUCGGUUCUCCAUUAAGGGGAUGAACGUCCUUGCCUCUUAAGGCUUUGGACUUUUGAAGAGAGCUUCGAAUAUCGGAUCUGAUGUUACCCUGAGCCGACAAAAGGUCUAAAGCUGUUUUCCCGUUUGCAUUCUCGAUGUUCACCCCAACUCUGGCCUCAUCAAGCAAGUAUUUGAUCGUCUGCAUUUCCCAAUCAUCAGUUUAUGUAGUUCAAAAUUCUAGAUCGAUCAAGGGUGGAUCCUUUUGGUUGUUUGUUAGACUAAGAAUCAGUACGAUGUAUUUGAAACUAUCAAACCAAAUAAGAAAUUUAAAAAAAAAAAAUUAUUUAUCCAAUUAGCUUUGAGCUCGUGCAAUUGUGGUUUGGGGUCUAAGCUUACUAAGAAAUUAAGUUUGGUUGAUUUUUGAGUAAAUGCAUUGUUGUAUUUUUUAUGGAAAAAGACUUUGAACUUGUUUAUUGGCUUUGCUCCCUUGUAGGAUUGUAAGUGAAGCUCGAGUCCAGUUGGAAUCUUAACGUUAUGCCUAGUUUGGGGGUGCAUGAGAUACAAGAAAAACGAAGAGAGAGAGUUCCAGUUAAGAAAGGAAAUAAGGUUGAGGAAGAAUGGCAACAUUUUUCAUGUUGUUUGGGAGUACCGGAAAAACCAAGGAGAGGAAGAGAUUAAUUAACAUAUUUAUCAUACAUAUCUUCAAAAAUUUGAAUUAUUUUUUGUGUUUGUUUUGAUGGACAAACGUGACAAAUCAAGGGCCAAGUUUUUCUUUCCUUUUAUAUUUCAUCAUCCAUUUCUCUUCUUCUCUAUCCAGUUAAGACUCCUAAACAAAAGAAAAUGACCAAAUACUAUCUUUUCUCUUUUCUUCUGACCAUUUUACUCCAAUCCAAACUUAUUGCAUGUACUGACUGAGAAAACCUAUUUAGAGUCAAUUAAAGCUUGGGUGAUAGUUAGGCUCAACUCCGAUGAAUUUGAUGCCGGAUCCCAGGUAAGGAUCACCGUGAACAUGGACUCCAUUUGUAAUUCCUAAGUCAUUCUUAGUGUAAUCCUAUUGACAUUUAUGAGUUUUUCAUUGUUUUUCCCUUGAGAAAGACAAAGUCAGAGCAAAAAAAAAAAAAAAAAGCACAUGACAAAAGUACCUCAGUCUGCUUGUAGACUAUUGCCAUAUGCAAAAUUGUCAUGCCAUCAUCAUUCUUAGCAUUCAAAAGAUCGGGAUCAUCUAUAGCAUGGACAACCAUCUUCAAUGCUUUCAGCUGACCAUACUUGGCACACAAAUGUAGAAUGGUCUCUCCGUCGUCUGUCUUUUCUCUAACUGCUUGGGGGGUGGAAUCAAUAAUUGCUUUCAAGACCUCUAGUUUGCCGCUCAUGGCAGCGAGGUGUAAAGGGUUCCUUCCAGCCUUAUCACGCAGAAAACACAUGUAAGAGUUCACCUUCAUAACUUCUUUUACGAAAUUUACAUGCCCUAGAAAAGCAGCUGCAUGUAGAGGAGUCUUAUGUGGAGAAUUUAAAAUUGCUCGAUCAAGAAUGAGAGGGUCUUUUUCAAGUAACUCAGGAAAUUUAUGAACGUCGCCUUGUGUAGCAGCAUCAUACAGAGUUUUCUCCCAUAGAUCCAUCCAGCUUUUGUAGUUAGUGUGCCCCCUUACCUGAAGGCUUGUUUGAGGAAAACCGAUAGGCUUUGGAAGAGUUUUUGGAGGGGAUCCACGGAGGAAAAGAGGAAAAUGCACUUGGUUAAUGACAUCAAUUUGAGAAGAAAUGUCUCCAUUUAUAAGAAAUGUCUUCAGAAGGGCCUUCAGCUGUUCAAGGAAGGGAUUACUUGGACAGUCAGGAUCCAGGAACAAGGAUGACUAUGACUGGUUAGGAAAAUGUCUCUUAGACAACUUUUGAUGAUAUUCCAAUAUUCAUCCUGACUGCCAAGGGCAUCUUUGAAUUUAACUUUACUUGGGAACUUAAUGAAAUAAAAUACUUAUUCCUUAAUAGCUAUCUUUCCCUGUUAAAGCUAGCUUUGCUAAUUAGAAUGACUCUUUUUGACGGAAAGGCACUGCUGAUGGUCAAUUCUCCCUUAAGCUUGCCAUCAGUGUCUAAUUCCCAAACCUUUUCUGAAUCCCCUCUAACCUAUAGUCCAAAAUGGCUGUAAAGGACACACAAAGAAUGCAACUUCCAACAAUAUGCCAAUUCCUUGUAUUUCAACAGUUCAGGUAAUAACGUUUCUAGUUGCCAAUUACUGAACCUCCAAGAAAUGGUUAACUUCUGGUCAUCCAAAAGACCAUAUUCCAAGCAACUCGAUUGCCUCUAUAUAGGGUUUAUCUAAUGAGUGCUCAUUAGUCACUCAUUAAAAUAUAAUUCAGGUAUUAAAUUUUUGAAAAAAUAAAUUUAAUUAGACAAAGUAUAUAAAAUAAAGAAGCGGGUGUUGUGAAACUAAUAACAUAAACUACUAUAAUAUCAAGUGAAAUAUUGGAGAUAUUAGAAAAAGAAGUAGAGAAAUAGAGAGUGAUUAUCUUAUUAUUCCAACUAAUACAAAAGUCCUCCCAAAGGGUGUCAAUGUACCUCUAUAUAUAGGUACUACAAGAUUAAAGGAACAUUAAUCCUAUUAAACACCCACUAUUACAAGAAUAUGAAAAAACUUAUGAAAUGGUUUCUCCACUACAUGAAUAGAUUUAUGAAUUGUAACUUAUAUACAUAAUGUAGUCAUAAAUCAAGAAUUAAUCCUCUUGGGAAUACAAAGGGACAUCCAUACUUUUAAUUGUUUCAUAACACUCCCCCUUGGAUGUCCAUUACACAAAGAAUAUGCCUCGUUAAAACCUUACCAGGAAAAAAUCCAUCGGGACAAAAACCCUAGUGAAGGAAAAAGAGUACACUAUUCUUGUGUAUUAAUUUCUCCCCCUGAUGCAAACAUUAUUUGAGAUCUUUUAAUCAUUGCAUUCCAAUAUUCUUCGCCACUUGCACUGAGAUAUGAUACUUCAGGACCAAGUAUCUCUUCAUCUUCCUCUUGCGAUCUAAAAGGAUCCUUUUUAUGAUCUAAUGAUCUGACAACCAUUGGAGUACUUAAUAUAUGUGUCUUAUCCAUAUAAAAUCGCUUUAAUACCUUCCGGGUAUAAGCAGUUUGAUGGACAAAAAUUCUAUCUUUCAAAUGCUCAAUUUGUAAAUCAAGGUAGAAUUUUGUCUUUCCAAAAUCUUUGAUCUCAAAUUCUUUCUCAAAUAUUCAACAUUAUUUUGAAUCUCUUCAGGAGUUCCAAUCAAAUUUAGAUCAUCAACAUAUACAGCAAUUAUCACAAAUUUUGAUCCAUUUUUCUUGAUAAAAACAUAUGGACAUAUUGGAUCAUUGGUAUAACCUUCUUUUGUCAGACAUUCAUUGAGACGGUUAUACCACAUACGUCCAGGUUGUUUGAGACCAUACAAAGACUUUUGUAAUUUAAUAGAAUAAAUAUCUUUAGAAUUUGAUUUGCAUGCUUCAGGCAUGCUGAAUCCUUCGGAGAUUCUCAUAUAAAUAUCAUUUCAUUUCAAGAUUUCAUAUAAAUAUGCAGUAAUGACGUCCAUUAGAUGCAUAUCUAAUUUUUUAUGUACUGCAAAAUUCACAAGAUAUUUAAAUGUGAUAGCAUCCACUACAGGUGAAUACGUUUCAUCAUAAUCAAAUCCAAACCUUUGUGAAAAUUCUUGGGCUACAAGUCUCACAAUUUCUUUUUCCUCAUUUCUCUUUAUCACAAAUACCCAUUUAUAUUCUACUGACUUUACACCUUCAAGUGUUUGGACUACAGGUCCAAAAACUUUUCUUUUAACCAAUAAAUCCAAUUCAGAUUGGAUCGUAUCUUUCCACUUUGAACAAUCAUUUCUAUACCGACAUUUAUCAACCGAUCUAGAUUCAUGAUUCUCAUCAACUUCUAUAAUAUCAAGUGCUACAUUUCAUUAGGUUCCAAUUAAAUUUUCUAUGAUUUAAUUCUGUUCAGGAGUUGGCUCUUCAGGAAUGACCUCUUCAAGAGGUUGAAUUUUGUCAUGACAUUUAUUUAUUCCCCAAAGAUAUUUGAAAUCAAUUUAUACCUUAUUUAGGUAGGCCGGCCUUAAAUUUAUUUGUAGCACUUGUGCAUGUCCUUCAGGGACAUCAAUUUUAAUCAAAAUAUUUCCUGCAGGAAUAAUUGAUUUAAUGACUCUUCUGGAGUCGAUAAAUAUAAUUGAUAAUUGGUUUGCAACUUUCUGCAAAUGAAUAAUCUUUUGAACUUCCAGUUCACGUUAUUUUGUAUGAGGAUCGAGAAAAUUCAAUUUUUUAAAAUGAUUUCCUUUCGGUUGAUCUUUUCCUCCCCCUAAUGUCGGGAAUCGUAACUCAUCAGAAUAAAUAAAUCAUUCAAUAGAUCACCCAUCAAUAUUUUACGAUAUUUAAUCGUAAAAGGUGAUUCAUAUCCGACAUAAAUUUUAAAUUUCUUUUGGAGCCAUAUAUAAUAUAAAGGGGGUAUGUAUAAAUACUUGUCGGCUCUCAAAUAUUCUCGCUCUUGUCAAAUCAUCUAUCGGUUGGGAUCAGUAAACUUCUGGUUUACUGCAGGUGAUGAUUAUAAAUCAAAAUGAGAAUGAAGACAACUAUAUCGAUAACCAUUUCUCUCUCGAAUGGUUAUUAUAAUAUAAUUAAUCUUUAUCUCACCUGAUUUCUAAACAUGAUCUCUAUUAUUAUCUCAUUUAGUGUCUCAAUUUGAUAUCCAUUUCAACGGAUAUUCAAAUUCAAUAAAUUCUUCGAGACAUGGUAAAAAGUAGUGCUUCAUUUAUCAUAAACUUUUCUCCUACAGGGAGAAAUAUAUCAUUGGCUCUUCUAGAGCUUUCAACUUUCAAUCACUUAAGCACUACCACUGAUUGUGUUUGCCUCUUUUGUUGGAAAAUAGUGUAUAUAGUAGCAUUUAUUAAUGAGACAUAUAUCAUUGUCACCAUAUUUCUUAUGGGACAAAUAUCAUCAUCAUAAUCCUUUGAUUCCAAAUAUUUAACAUCCAUUUCUUCUUCGGAAAGAAAAGUUAAUUAAAUCAAUCAUCAUACACCUUCAGGGUGUUUAAAGAAAUUGACUAUGUGAAGAUGCUAUUAUAAUUUUGAUUCGCCAAAUGUACUUCGGGACAUUUAUCUUCAUAAUUCUUAUUUUCUUGUCCUUAUUAUUAUUAUCCCACUUUAAGUGGUAACUUUUUCUCUUGUCAUGGUAAAAUACAUAUUUACCAAAAUCAUAGUCAUGACAUCAACCAUAACUAGUGAAUUGAAAUUUAGUCACAUUCACUUCUGGGAAUGGACUAGAACUAACAUACAAUAAGUACAGAAUACUUCUCAAAUUUUCUCUCAAUAUUGCUACUACAGGAGCGUAUUCGAGAAAUCAAUUGUAGAGAAUAUCAUUUUCAAUAUAUCUUAUGAGUAAAAUUUUCUCGACACAAUUUCAACUGAGAAGUAAUUCUGAAAAUUGCAUAAUUAUGUUCUUGUAGCCAUAGGUAAAUUUAUCAUACCAGGCUUUUGAAAUAAUGACCAUCUUCUAAUGGCCAAAUAUUUUCGUUAAAGAACGACCAUCUUCAGGUGGUCGAAUCUUUUUCUUUAAAUAUUUCAAAGGACAAGUAGAUCCUCAAAUAUAAUUGAUUUUCUAUAAUAGCAUCUCCAAAACUCAAUGCAUCAGAAUAUAAGUAUCUAUAAUGAAUAAUUCUAAAUGUAAAUAAGUAGAAUUAAAUGAAGAAAUAUUACCUCAAAGGUGUCAAAUAGUAUAUGUUUGUGUUUAGUGAUUGCUCAGCAACAAGCACUUGUAUUUUUUGCGAUAAUUCAAAUAUUAGCCAUAAGAAAUUGAAAUAAGUUUGCGGGUCAGAAAUUUACCUCAGAAGUUACUUGAAGAAAUGUGGACAGAAUUUUGGCAAAAUCUCCUGUUUCACUUUUGUUCAAGGUAGAGCUUCCGUUUUCACCUUUUGCUCAAAAGUAGAGACUCAUGCUGAUAACGUGUUGUGAAACUAAUAACAUAAACUAUUAUAAUAUCAAGUGAAAUAUUGGAGAUAUUAGAGAAAGAAGUAGAGAAAUAGAGAGUGAUUAUCUUAUUAUUCCAACUAAUACAAAAGUCCUCCCAAAGGGUGUCAAUGUACCUCUAUAUAUAGGUACUACAAGAUUAAAGGAACAUUAAUCCUAUUAAACACCCACUAUUACAAGAAUAUGAAAAAACUUAUGAAACGGUUUCUCCACUACAUGAAUAGAUUUAUGAAUUGUAACUUAUAUACAUAAUGUAGUCAUAAAUCAAGAAUUAAUCCUCUUGGGAAUACAAAGGGACAUCCAUACUUUUAAUUGUUUCAUAACAGCGGGCUUCAACAUUCAUUUGAACCAAGCGGUUAUAUUUUGUGCGGAGGAUACGUUUUCACAUGAUUAAUUGGCUGAAAGUUGCAUGGUGAGCGAAUCAUUUGGACUAGCACUAAAUUUUGUUGUCACACUUGCAAGGAUUAGAGUUGUAAAUACUUCCUGUUAUUAAUGGAGAAACAUUACCCACUAUUCCAAUUUAAGUAAUUCAUGUUACCUCAAAGUGUAGUUUCAAUUUGUUGCCUUCCGAUUGCAAAGGAUUGUUGUACUUUUCGUUUGAGCAAUUCUGAUCCUCUACCAAAAGUAUUUGCUGCUGCGCAAAUAACACCCUCUAUAAUUUAUAGUGAUCACUCCUGAUAUUUAUCACUAAUGAAGUUUUUGAAGGUAAAUACAAUAUAAUUAUGAGGACUUCACCUCCAAUCAAAUUUGAUAGCUUUGCCUUAUACUAUGUAAGGAGUUUAAAUUUGGUCAAAGCAUGAAUUUAAAUUUCAACCACAAGAAUAGGAGUAUUUUGGGAAUGUGAGUGCUUGGAGCGUGGUUGAGCUUAAGGUACAACUUAUGGCAGUAUGUGUUUCCUUGUGUUUACUAAAAUACCUUGUAUUCAUUUAAAUGCAUUGCUAAUAUGUCUAAGGUUAUGGGUACUUUGAGAAUACAAUAGGAAUUGGAGUGUAGUUGGACCAGUGGAUACAACUCAUGGUAGCUUUAGUUUUGCUAUUAUUACUUAGAAGUCCUUUGAUUCAUUUAUUAGCUUUAAUUUCUUAUGAAUUAAAUUAGCAGUUUCAAUUGGAUAUUUAGUAUAAGGAUUUCAGUACACUAUCGUUGUGCAAGGAGUUAAAUUAGCAAUUAACAUUUUGUUUCUUGGUUUACACUAACACCCUUAGCAAGGAGUUAAAUUAGAAAUUAUUUUUUGUUUCUUGGUUUACACUAAUACCCUUAGCUAUCAAGAUUAACCAUCAAAAAUCAUCUAUAUAUUAACAUAUGUUGCUGUUGUAGAAGAUGACCAAUUGAAAGUCUCCUAUUAGCUUAGGAUGUGUUUGAUAAAAUUAAAGUUUGAAAACAGAUGUCUGAAAUCUGAAAUCUAAAAUUUGAAUCCAUUAAAUUAUUGAAUUGUUAAAUACUAAAUUUAAUAUAUUUGAGUGCAUAUCACAUUCAGUGAUAAGUAAAUAGUUUAUCACUUAAUUUUGGGAACAAGUUUUGCCUAGAAAAUGAGUACCAUUUAAUUAAUUCAGAUAUUCAAUUUUUUUAUUAUAAAACGAUCUGAAUAUAUUAAAAUCUGAAUCUAUUAAGUUUAGGCAGACAUGUCCAUGUAAUAAAAUUUAUACUUAUUGAGUGCACAGAAUACAAAUCGUUAGAUUUUGUUUAGUUUGAGGUUCUUAAUUGUAACGCGUUCUUUAAUUAAGCUAUCAAACUAGUUUAGCUUCUCUUUAAUUUCGUGCCAUUUUUCAAUGGUUCCUUCUUUGGUUGGUGUAAUAUAAGAUAGAAAAAAAGUGAAUGAUGCAGGUGUUCCCAUCCUUGGAGUUAGAUGCUUGAACUUGCUUGAUUCCAAAUAAACUACACCUACUACUAUUUCCAAGUACACGUUAUUAGAAUUUGUACUAUUAAAUACUUAGUUAUUCAACAAAUUUGAUUGGUUAAUGGGGAGUCAGUCCUCGAUCACCACAUAUUUAUGAAAAGUAGCCAGUAAAUUGAGAAAAAUGUUUCACUCUAAUUGACAAUUAAUGUUACAAAAUUAAUAUCAACUGCAAGUAUAAUAAGUUCAAGAUAACAAAAGAGCUUCGAAAACAUACUAGUAGUCGCGGAGCCAAAAAUGCAAUUCAGUGAGGGCGAAUGUAAUGUGUAAAUAUAACCGUGCAAGUAUUGAGGUAUAUAUGUUUACCACAUAAUUUAAACAAUAUACUUGAACAAUUAUGUAGACAAUCACUAUGUAGAUUUCUUUCUUCUUUUUUUUUUUUUUUUUUUUGCAAAAGUGAAAUGAAGAAAAAGCAAUUUUUUUGAGUUUCAAUCACAGUUAAAAAUUUGACAAAAUUUUACAAAUGUAUUUGUGUUUUUAAAGUGUAUUGAGAAUGAAGUCGAAAAUGAGUAAAAGUAAAAUUUAGUCUUUGUUUGUGGUUUUAAUUAAGUGUAAGAGGUGAAAUGUGCAGUUAUUUAUUUAUUUAUAAAUUGUUGACUUAGAAUAUCACAUAAAUAUUUUGUUGAAGAUUGAUGGCCAAUAUUCACUAAAUGUGGGCGCAUAGUUAUUAAUUUACACAUAUAAAUUAAAGAUUUUGAUUCGAUUCAAGCAGUUAGGGCAAGUAAGCAAUAUUUUAUUAAUGUUGAGCCAACCGUUUUAAUUUAUACAUAUAAACUAAAGAUUUUGGCAGGAUUAGUGGAGGCAAAAUUGUUAGUUUACACAUAGUGUAGUUUACUCUAAAUCCGUCUCUGCCUACAAGUUUCUCUAAUUUUUUACCAAAAACAAUACAAGUUUCUCUAAUCAAUUAUUGUGUAAUCCAAGGGAUAGUCCACUUAUACUUUGUUUAUUCGUACUUAAAAGUUUUUGUUUCUAUUGUUUGGCUCGUAUACUUUUGUUGUUAGGUCCAUGUUACUUGUGACCCACAGCGGAAAAGAAAAGGACAACAAGCUUCGUAGGUAUCUAAAACUUCGACAUAUUUCGCGCGAGUUUGUCCAUCGAAUAGUCAAAUUAAGACUACAAUAACGACUUUGGUCAAAGAAGUUCAUAGUGAAUAUAAGAAAGAAGUUCAUCCUUUUUUUCUCAUAGAAAUUAACGUUUCAUUCACAAGCUCUGCAAUAAUGUAAUAGCAGAAAAUACAUCAUCAAAUAUAUCAUAGAAAUAUUAGAUUUGAAAGAUCUACAAACAUAGCAGAGUUGAACAAAUUACGAAUAUUACAUAGUAAAUAUCCAACCUACUAUAUGAUACUAUCAAUCUUUCUGAGUCUAACAAACAUAUAUGAUAUAUACAUGUCUUCUCUCACCAAAUCUAUUAUUUAACUACUUUCAAAUCCAUAUAUCAAGUUGAUAUCUGACAAAAUAAAUUUAGAAUUUUCAAAUCCGAAUUGAAGAAAUUGAGUGGAGGGGAAGCCUUGGAUUUGGAGAAUAAAUGGGAUAACACAUGAGAGGUAAAGGAAAGACUGGAUAGAGUUCUGAUGGAUAGUGAAUGGAAGGAGACCUAUGCAAGAGCAAAGUGCACUCACAUUCAUGUUGAAGCAUCGGAUCAAUGUAUGAUGUCGGUGGGAACUGAACCAAUAAAAAGAAAUUGGAAAAGGAGAUUCUAUUUUGUUAGGAAAUGGCUUGAAUAUCAAGAAGUAGGAGAGGUAGCUGCAAAAGCAUGGGGAAACAGGCAGGAGGGUUCUAGAUUUUUUAGACUUCAGAAUAAAAUCAAAGAUUGUAGAUUUGAGCUCAUGAGAUGGAACAAAAAGUUAAAGGGUAAUGCCAAGAAGGACAUUGAGGUACUAAAGCAGAAAAUCACAUACAGCAGGCAUGCAAAGGGGCCUAAUGCAAAAGAGGAAACCAAUUAUCAACUAAAAAAGCUUGCUGAUGCCUAUAAAAAAGAGGAAGUCUUCUGCGGACAAAAAGCUAUAAUAAACUGGCUUCAGGAGGGAGACAAGAAUACAAGUUAUUUUCAUGUUGUGGUUGAGGCUAGGGAUGAACUCGCGAGCAGCUCGGUCAAAAACUUGAUUCAAACUCGGGUUGACCGAGUUCGAGCAUCCAGAAGCCAUGCUCAAAGGCUCGUCGAGCCUUAUCGAGCCUUUUAAUUUUAAUUAUUUAAUAUAUUAUUAUUGUAAAAUCACCCUUAUACCUAAAAGAAUUGUUGAAUUUACGAAAUGUUUCAAGUCGUAUAAAAAUUUUAAAAGGGCAAUAAUGUCUUUUCGCUCAAAAAUUAUCAAGAAAAUGAAAUUUAGUAACUCGAGCUCGACCGAGCUCGAUAAGGCUCGCAUUGACUCGAGCCCAUGCGAGUCGAGCUCAAGUACUGCGAGCAAGCUUCAAGCUCGAGCUCCAAUAAUACUACUCGCUCGAGCUCGAGCUCACCUUUUUUGUAUGUCAAGUCGAGCUCGAGUAUGGCGAUACUCGAGCUCAACUCGACUCGAUUACAGCCCUAGUUGAGGCCAGACGAAAGAGAAAUAAAAUAUCUACACUUCAAAUGCAAAAUGGAAAUUAGUGUAAUACUGAAUCUGAAGUGGAGAAGGAAGUAACAAACUACUUUGACAACCUGUUUAAAGCCUCACAGUUGAGCCAAGUUGAUGUAAUCCUUGAAGGAAUUCCUCAGACCAUUACCACUCAGAUGAACAUAAGGUUAACAAGACCUGUUACAGAAUGGGAGGUCAGGAAGGCAGUGUUCUCAUUGCAUCCAAACAAGGCACCAUGGCCGGAUGGUAUGACACCAGUCUUUUUUCAAAGAUUUUAGAACAUCAUAAAAGGUGAUCUAACUGCUGCAAUUUCUAGCUUUUUCCAUUCUGGCCACCUUUUGUAGUCUAUCAAUGAAACCAUCAUUACUUUAAUUCCAAAAACUGAAUUUCCUGUGAUGGUGUCCCAAUUUAGGCCUAUAAGUCUAUGUAAUGUUGUGUAUAGAAUCAUGGAAAAAGCUCUUGUCAAUAGAGUUAAGCCUUUACUAAAACACCGUAUCAGUCUUAACCAAUCUGUGUUUAUACCUGGUGGACAGAUUCUGUGUGACGACCCCACCUCCCCCUAGGGCGUAACCCAGGAGUUCGGCGGACCGCCUGCCUAGUUCUCACCAGAACUCACUCACUCACAUCAAGAAAAUAGGGUGCAGCCUCAAGAAUAAAGGAAAUAACAGUUCCCAUGUUUGGAACAUACAGAUAUAUUCAUUUCUAUCUCAAACAUCCAUACAAUCUCAAAUAUAUCAAACUAGUGCGAGUACAAUCGCAAAAUUUCAAAAAAACUAGACUAUGCUAGCCUGUACCAGUCUCACACCUCGCUCAUACCCCCUGUAAGAAAAACAAAUGGCGUGGAAUGAGUUAAAAGCCCGGUGAGGUUCCCAAACAAGUAAUCAGGUAUAGAAAUCAGGGAAACGUUACAUUUAACAACUUGCAUAUUUUGCACAGUAAUAUCCAGUCAUUCAAGAAAUAAACACUCAAUUAUUGGAAGGAUGCGUGCUCACUUAGAACCAUUCAUUCAAGUCAUUCAUUCAUUCAUUGGCCCAUCAUUUUCCUUAUUCUUCUGACAUUAGAAAACAUUUACAAGUGAAAAUUCCUCCAGUUUAUUGACAUUUAUUCAUUGAUUUCAUUUCCUGCCACUAGCCAAUUCAUUGGCCAGUUCUCCACCAACUUUCAUGGUCAUACUCGAGUAUACCAAAACACUGUCCCAGGGUCACCAGCCACCCGACCGAGUCCGCUUCUAGCUCGAGUCGACUGGUAAUGAAGGACAAGGGCUCAAUUCAGCCAAAAGACUUACAUUCAUGCACAAGUAGUAUUCAAUCAUUGAAAAUUCACUUUGGCUUGGGUUGAGUGCGAUAAAAUAUACACUCGCCCAUCCAAAAUCCAUUUAGCAAUCCUUAGAAAGCAUUUAACAUUCAAGCAAACAUUCACAAAUAGUCACAUAGUCACUUAUUGUACAAACACACAAGGAACACUCACCUGUCUAAGCCAAAAUAACGUCAAAAGUUUCCUUCCGGAUUAUGCCCUUGAUCACCGACAAGCCCUAAGAAUAACCAAUCCCAAAUUGAAGUGAGCAAAUGUAAUUCAAAGUUUUCGAGAUAAAACUAACACUUUUCAUCUUAGUUGAUACCAAAUCUUGGUCAAAAACAACUCAUAUACUACUAUUAAAGUGCAUUUAAGGAUACAUGUGUAAUUUAAGAUCCAACUAACCCUAAAAUCAAACCUUACAUCUUACUAAUAUUCAUAAGAGCAAGUAAUAGAAAUUUGGGUAGCAUGUCCUUUGUAUUUAACUAUUUUCCAGCCACUUAGGGCUUCAUUUCUUUCCUCAACUCAACCCAAAUUCACACAUAAGCAAUCUUAACACAAUAGCUCUUCAACUAGGCUUAAUAUCAUCCAAUUACAAGUCAAUUCUAACAAUGAAACCACCAAGACCAAAGCUGGAAACUAGUUUUAAAGACAAAUAGCUAAAUAAUAGGUUUGACAUCUUCCGGCGUUUUGGUCACAAUUGAAGCUACACUUAUCAGAUUGGGGUAAAUUUUAUGGUGUUUCGAAGCUAAGACAGAGACCUACAUUUCCUAUGAGACAUCGACACCUAGUUCAUGCAUUUUCAAGGUCAAAAUGUGAAAUCUCAAAGAAAACAGAAAGCUGCCUGUGAAAUAGGGCUUUUGGCAGUCAGCGGUAAUUUAGUCAUUUCACAAGAUACAAUCAUCCGAUUGAGCUGAAAUUUUUCAGGUAGAUAUUUAACUCCAUUUCCUACAACUUUUAUGUUUUGAGCAAGACCUGAUUUGGCCUUUAUCAUGGACGAAUAUGCAGUGCAGAAACAGGGCAGAUUCCACUACACUUGCUGGCAUUUGAUGUUUUAAUGCUUAAAAUUAACAUUCAUGCCUUGAAUCACUACCCCAAUCAUGUACUAACUAAACAACAAUAAUCACAACUGAAAUUUUCAAACCCUAGCUAAACAUUCCACCAUAUCAUUCAAAACUAAAUAAUUAACCAUAGGAAACCAAGAACACAAGUUUAUCUCCCAAUUUUAACAAGAUUAAGCACAAGAAAAGGAAAGGAAACCAUUAUACCUUACAAGAGCUGCUUGUAAGUGAAAACCAAACCUCUUUCUUCCAAAACUUUUACCACACAAAGCUUGCAAAACACCACAAGGUAAGUUUAAUCGGUUUAGAUUUUGAGAUUUCACUCAAACAAGAUGAAUUCAAGGUUGAAGUUGCUAGCUUUCCUCACUUGUUUUUCUCUCCUCUCACUCUCGGCCAAGACCAGCAAGAAAUGAAGAAAAAUGAGCCAAGAAGAAAGAUAAGAAGAUAGGAAAUUUGCUUGGUUAAAGUCAACAAGUGUCACACUUUGAUUUGUGGUCAAUUUUUUUUCUUUUCUCUCUUUUUCUUGGUCCAAAAUUUUGGUUGGCUUGAGGAUAUUUUGGGGCUGAUUUUUCUCAAUUAAUAAUAAGGAGAUUAAGGUAAUAAAAUAGUGUUCAAGUGGUGCACUCAAUCGGUAGCAAACGGUGCACGUCGGUUCAAGUUUAUUUUUCGUAACUCGCGUGUACUAGGGUUUUAACCUAUGAUUCACUAACUUAUUAAUAGCACUUCUAAUCACACACACUUCCUCUUAUCUAAAACUCACUCUUAACCACCAAAUUUAGUACCCACACAUCACCAAUUAAUUACACUACCAAAAUACGCGAAAACCCUAAUUUACCCUACCGAUGAAAGUAAAGGAAAAACUCUUAAUUCUAUGAUUUAUUGCAACUAUGAAGAAGGUAAAUGAGUAGUAAAGCUAUUAUUAAGUAAUUUAUUCAAAAUAAAAGGGAAUUUUAAGAAAAUAAGAAGAAUUUUACGAGUCCUCACAUUUUGGACAAUGUGGUAAUUGCUCAUGAGUUUUUUCAUUAUCUAAGUACCAAAAGAGCUGGAAAAGUAAUGCACAUGGCUCUUAAGCUAGACAUGUCCAAAGCCUAUGAUAGAGUCGAUUGGGUCUUUUUGGCAAAAAUUAUGCAGAAAAUGGGAUUCUAUCCGAUGUGGAUCCAGUGGGUGAUGAAAUGUGUAUCAUCUGUUAGCUAUUCUUUUAAUAUUAAUGGAGAGAGAAAGGGUUAUGUUAGACCUUAGAGGUGACUUAGACAAGGAGAUCCAUUGUCACCCUACUUGUUUGUGAUGAUUACUGAAGGUCUAUCUAGUUUGUUGCAACAUGCAGUGCAAUGUCAAAAACUAUCUGGACUGCGAAUAGCAAAGGAGUGCCCUGCAAUUUCUCAUCUGUUUUCCGCAAAUGACACUCUUAUUUUCUGCAUGGCAACAAAGGAGGAGGCACAACAGGUAAUGCAGAUUUUAAAGAUAUAUGAAAAUGCAUCUGGUCAAAUGAUCAAUGCUGAUAAAUCAUCUGUGUUUUUUGAAAAAAAUAUGCAAAAGGAUAAAAAGGAAGAGGUGAUAGAGGUGCUAGAAGGCAUGAAGCAAAUACAACAGAGUAGGUAUUUGGGCCUACCGGUGGUAAUAGGAAGGACAAAAAAACAGGUGUUCAGCUAUAUAAAGGAGAGAGUGGUGCAUAGGUUGAAGGGGUGGAAGGAAAAACUAUUGAGUCAAGCUGGUAAGGAAGUAAUGCUGAAAUCUGUCAUACUAGCAAUGCCUACAUAUGCAAUGGGAUGUAUUAGACUGUCAAAAGGAGUCUGUGUUGAUAUAUGUAAAGAAAUGGCAAAGUUCUGGUGGGGUGGAAAUGACAAAGAUAGGAAGAUUCACUGGUUAGGAUGGGAGAGACUCACAGAUGUUAAAGGAAAUGGAGGAUUGGGUUUUAGAGAUCUAAUGGAAUUCAAUACUGCAAUGCUGGCAAGACAAUUAUGGAGGAUUUUAACUAGGCCAAAUCUGAUGAUGAGUAGGAUACUGAAGGGAAGGUAUUUUAAGGGGGAGUCAAUCUGGAAGAUGAAAAUUCAUGAGAGUGACUCUUGGAUGUGGAAGAGUGUGCUCAGUGCAUGUGAGUUGCUAGAAAGGGAAGCAAAAAAAAGAGUGGGAGAUGGGCGUACAAUUGAUGUAUGGGCAGAUGGGUGGCUACCUGAUAGAGGAAAAGGGGUGGUUACUACAGUAAAGCCUCCUGGUUGCUCUAUACGAAAAGCAAAUGAGCUUAUUCAGAAUGGGGAAUGGAGAAUGGAGCUCAUGAGGUCCAUUUUUAAUGAGGAAGACUGCACGAAUAUAAAAAAAUCCCUAUUAGUAUCUGCAAUAGCAAGGAUCUGGGAAGUAUACUAUUAAGAUAGGAUAUGUUUUGGCAAAGAAGUUGCACAAACAAAGGAGUAGUAGGUAUGAAAUGAUCAGAAUGCAGGUGGAGGGUGAUAGCAGAAAUAAGCGAAAUACAAAGGUUUGGAAGUUCAUUUGGAAUCUAAACAUGAAGCAUAAGCUGAAACAUUUUAUAUGGAAAUGUCUGCACAGGAUCUUGCCAGUGAAUGAAGUAAUAAAGAGUAGAAUUGGGAAAGGGGAGGACAAGUGCUUAUGUUAUGGAGAGGGAACUGAAACACUAGAGCAUAUGUUAUUUUUCUGUCAGCAGGCAACAAUGAUAUGGAAGGAUGCACCUGUGAGAUGGGAUGGAAUGGAACAUUUUAGGCCCAAUUUCCGGUUAUGGUGGAACAGCCUAAUGGAUGCUCAGCAGAGAAAGGAUAGAAGAGAGCAUAUAGUGUUGACAGUAAAUAUUCUGUGGCAGGUAUGGAAGGCAAGAAAUAAAGUUCAAUUUAAUAGAGAGAAAAAAUGUCCUAGGAUGGUAAUUAACCAAGCGGUGCAAGAGUGGCAAGAGUAUGAGUUGGCCAAUCAAAAAAUAAGAGGGGCUGAACAAGAAACAGGUCCACAAAGUCAAGACAGAUGGACACCGCCAAUAGGAGGAGUUGUAAUGCUCAAUACGGAUGCAGCAACUGAUAUAAAGCAUGGGAAAGCUAGCUGGGGUUUCAUAGCUAGGAGGGGAGAUGGUGAUAUUGUUGGAGCUUGGGCUGGUAUUGAAAAAAAGAUGUAGUGAUCCUGUUGUGGAAGAAGCUUGUGCCAUUAGGAAAGCUUUAACGGUGGCAAUGCAGGAAGGAUGGGUGAAUAUUGAAGUACAAUCUAAUUGCAAGAUAGUAGUAAGCAAGAUCCUAGAUGAAGACAUAAGGGAUGCAAAGAUUGGAACGCUAGUUGAAGACAUAAAGCUGUUAAAAAACAACUUCAGAAAUUGCAGCUUUUCCUUCAUUAGACGAGAAGGAAAUGUGGCCAGUCAUAGUUUGGCAAGGUUUGCCUUGAACUUAGUAGAGGAUGUCUACUGGAAGGUUUCCUUCCCUCUCUGGUUAAUUAGAUUAGCCAGGGAAGAUUUAGGAGCAGUUGCUCCAGUUUGUAAGCAAACUUGCAAAAGUUGUUAUGGUGCAAUUUAAUAUACCGUUUUACGUUUGAAAAAAAAAUUGAAAAGAAAUUGAGAUUUGAGAAAGAAAAACAUAUAACUAAUAAAAACUCUCACAAGGAAUCUUAGGAGAGAAUAAACUCUCAUAAAAAAAAUUCUAGAAGACAAGAAUUCUCUCAAUAGAAAAUUCUAGGAGUGAACAUUUCUCUCAUUAGAAAUUUUGGAAGAGAUUUUAUUACCUACGGAAAAAAAAUCAUUGCGUGGAUGGAAGGAGACCAAAUAGCCUCCCCCCUCCCAUGGAGGAAGGUGUUGUUUUGUUUGAAAGGAGUGGAGAAAUUAGGGAGAAGAGGAGAAUUUAGAAAGCGUGACUACAUUAAUUCCCUCCUGCUGAUUUGUACAUUUUGUAUUGCAUGCUGUUUGGGAAUCUGCACAAUUUGUUUGCAAUAGGGUAAUUAUACAUAACUCCCUAAUGUUUCAAAAUAUUUAUAUCACCACCCUAUAGUUUUAUGCAAGUUAUAACUUGACAGAAAAUAGAUUUUGUAACGUAAUUAGUUAAAAUAUUAAUAUUACCCGUACUUAAAUCUUGAAUAGAACAAAUGCUUGAGCACCUUAUCCAAAAGCAUGCGGAAGGAGAUUAUGUGGCUAAAUAAAAAAAACACAGCGUGUAAAGUGAAUUUUCAUAUAGUUUACUAUAGAGGAUUAAGUGAAUGUUCAUAUAAACUAUAGAGGAUAAAGUGAAUAUAUGAUUUCAUCACACCCAUUUUUGAAAAUUGGUCAGCUCAACUGUCAAAACCAUUGGUGUUUUCCAUCAAUUUUUUGUUUCACAUACAAACUAUAGGGAGGUUACAUCAACAUUUUGAAACGUUAGAAGGGUCAUGUAGUAAUAAAGAACAGUUGAUCCAAUUGGAAGACACUAUUUUGUUGGUUUGGAUUUGGUUACCGCUGAUAUCUGUGUUCAACUCUUCAUUAUGGAAAUUCUUCCAUUUUCGUCCUAGCUCUUUAUGGCACCAAAAACGGGUACUUUAAGACAAACUGCUAAAGAAAAUGGAACAAACAUAUAAACACUCGAUGCUCUUUGUACUUCUCUGUUUUGGGCACUUAGGAACGGCAUUAGAAUGAGGACAGAAUGAAAAAGUCGACUGAUUACGCGUAUAAUAAUGUAACUGUUCAUUCCUUUGCUUAUUAGUAAAGAUGUGACAAAUGAAUUAUGACUUCUUGGGAUAUGAUUAAAGCAUAUGGAUGGAAUGUCUGGUUCCCUGUCCAUUGUUAGGAAAGUACUCCACUUUUUUCUAGUCAAGAGCUUGACUGGGCCAAUGCAGACCAUCCUCGUGCUUAUCAAAGUUAGUGAAGACUUAUGUUACCAUAUACUGGUUAGGCAGCCUAGAUUUAACUCUUUAAAUUUUUGUUUGUUUUUUGCUACUGUCUGUACAUAUUUACUUGUAGCCGGCAUUGUGUAGAUUUUUAUGUGGGAUUUUGCAUCAUCUGGUCUGAGUUCAUGCCUAAGCUUGUCCUAUCUUAUUAUAUAUGCAGUAAUGUAUUACCAUCAUCACACUCAUCUUUUCAUAGAUUUAUACGUUUCUACAUGUUAGAAUAAUUUAGACUGAACUGAUGGCAUCUGAGAUUACUGAAGAGGAAGAUGAGGAGCCCCCUUGUGUUAUUGAUACAGAAGCUCAAAAACAAAACAUUAGGCAGAUUAUAAAGUACCAAAAAUCCCUCUACUAUUCCUCAUCUUCUUCAUCUUCAUUUUCCUCAACAGGGGCUUCUUGCUCUUCGUUUUCCUCUCCGCGGAAGAGCAGUAGUCUGUUAGACUUGAUGAAGGAAGGAAGCACAUCGCUUAGGAGAUUGAUUGACAUGGAGCAUACGAGCUUGAAAACAUAUUUGACGGAUUACAGUGGCUCCCCCAUGAUGAAGCCUAUUCUCUUGUGGGGUAGCGAUGCAGAUGAUGGAAGUCAUGAUGAUCCCUGGAUGUCAAUAAAGGAGGCUACAUCGGCUAUGAUUCAUUGCCAAAGUGAUGGUCAGAGUUGGUUAGCUUCAGAGGAAAUUUACAUGAAAAGGAACCCCAUGAUCAAAAAUGAGCUGCCAAAAACUGGCAAAAGGAGGCUGACCAGAAAAAGGUCAUUUAGGAGAUUACCUAGACUCAAGGUAUGGAUAUUUGCAGGUUGGAAAUUCAGGCUGAGGUUGAGAAGAUUGAGAGUCAUUAUCUGUGGUAGAAAGUUUUGAUAACGAAAUUUUUUGACCUUUUUCUUCUUCAUUGAUUGAACUACUCAAUGACUCGAUGAAACACUUUUCCAAUCCAGUUAUAUACACUUAACAAUUAUAUUCCUUGUAUAGAAAUUAAGUACUGGGAAAGCAAGCACCAGACUAGAGUAGAUGGUGAAAGUAAAGCUUGAAUUUAGUAACGUUGUGGCCAACUGCCUAUUUACCUUGUCAACAAAUUCACAUUGGAAAAUAUCUACCUGGCUCAACUGCCUUCAUUUGAAUUAAGCUGAAGAAAAGAUUUCUUCAAGAACUAGAGACAUUCUGGCAUAUGAUGCAAUGAUCAGCGAUUAAUGUGGCUACAAUACUUCCCUCUUCAAUUUUAGUUCUGCUACUUUGCCUAUUCCAC
rnacentral:lncRNA from 1 species